GAGGGUUGGUGGAGAUCGAGCUUGCGAACGCGUUGAAGGCGACGGAUCGAGCUUUCGUGCGCCCAUUGAAGUGGCGUGUUUUCGUUGCGGCGUUCACAUUGGGGUAAGCUUUUGGGAUUUGGCUUAAUCCUUAGCUUUAAGAGUUCUAGUAGCCUCUAAUGAUCAUUAUUAGCAUAUUGCUCCAUUUAAUUUGGAUUAUUUGGAGGUUAUUUCAUGUUAGGGCUUAAAAAUGCUAAUUUUGAAAAUAUGAGGGUUUGAUCUAAUUUGACCUCCGUAAACCUAAUUGCUAGGUAACGAAACGCGUUUGCGAAGACGGUUCGGCAAUCCGACGAGCCGUUACAAAGUUAUUAAAGAAACAGACGUUUAGGCUUCGUUUCCGCAUGGAGGGCCGAGGCGACGUCGUAAAAUCAUGGAAUCGGAUUUGAAGUAUCGUGGCACAUAACCGAAGACCUUUAAUUUUCGGAUCGGGAAUUGGAGGCCGUUCGGGUGGUCGCGCGAGAGAUCACGCCAAACCGGGUGCCGGAUGCCUCGGGAGGCCGAUUGCAAGUGUCGACAAGCAAUCGGAAUGCACUAACAGGUGGGUUGUGCUUACCGAAGCGACUAGGUCGCCCUCAUGUCGAAGAAAAAUAUGAUUUCCUAGUUGAUGCAUAUAAUGGGUUAAAUGCUACAUGAUGCAUAUAAUGGGUUAAAUGCUAUAUGAUGCAUAUGAUGUGAAGAUUGGGUAAAUGCAUAUAAUGUGAGAAAUGUAUAUUACAUGAUAAUUGCAUAUGAAUAUAAUGCAUGCUAGUGGACAAUGAUGUUAAAUGUUAAAUGCAUGCUAGUGGACAAUGAUGUUAAAUGUUAAAUGCAUGCUAGUGGACAAUGAUGUUAAAUGUUGAAUAUAAUGCAUGCUAGUGGCAAGUAAUAUGUUGAAAUGUUAAUGAAAUGCAUGGAAAUGAUGUUGUAGGAAUGCAUGAGAUAUAUUAUACUAGAGGACGUAUAAUUGGUUGUGCUAAAUGAUCUAUGCAAAUUGGAACAUAUGCAUGUUAACGUAUUUGUGAACUGUGUUGGGUAACAUAUGCUAAUUAAAAUAUGCAUGUUGACUUGAGUUUAAAACUCUUGGAUGAUUAGAAAACUUGACAUUGGAAAUACAAUGUAGUAUUAAUAUAAUAAUAUGUUUGGUUUCCUACAAUGAGAUGAUAAAUGUGGAUAAGACCUAGGUAAAUGACAACCUAGAGAUUGGGUAAAAGUAAUGCAUCGAGAACACUUGAAUUAUGACGAGUGGCAUAUAUGAAUCUUAGUGUAGCUGAGACACUAGAUUGAUGAGUAUAGAAACCUAUUGGUUCUAUGUUGAUACUAUCCUUAGUUGAUAGGGUGCUCCCAAUUCUGAGAGAUUGGAUCGUGCUCACAUAGCCUGUCUGCGCUUGGAGGGGUCGCUUCCCACAAGCUGUUUACUCCGGAGGUUGGUCACUAGAGGGACAGUCAGUGUGCUGUCUGGACGGUCUAUGUACUGUCCGCAGGCGGUCUCGGGGGACAGUUCAGUGAGACUUCUCCCCUAUGAGACUUUGAGAUGUGAGAUUGAGGGCGACCCCCUUCGGGUUAGCCAAGUGAUUGGGUAACAAGCUUAUGAGCUAUAGUGAUUGUCCUACUUGAGGGGAUUUAAGGCCGAGGUGCAAGUGAGAUGUCCUUCGCCUCGUGCCUUGCUUUGUGCGGUACUCCGCAGAUGAUUGACUCAAGACCGAGUCGGGCGGCUAGCUUUGUAAAGGUAGAUGAAACCUUAUGAUUAAAAUGGUACAUGACAGAAAACCUUAAAUGUCAAUUGGAUGAAAGUAGUAAUCGAUUGAAUUACUAGUUGGUUGUAUAGUUGCAUUAUUGCAUGAUCUUCAUAUUGCAUAUCGCGAGGCAAUGCAUGGUAUUGUUAGUUGCAUGAUCUUAUUAUCAUAUCUAUCUGUUUAUUGAACUAACCUGCAACUUGCCUCCUUCGGACAUGUCGGUCGAGCUUUUUCCUUGGGUGGCCGUACCCACUGGGAACUAUGGAGUUAGUUCUCACCCCACGUUGCUUUUGGGGUGUUACAGGUUUGCACGAGUGCGGCGCGGUGGCGCGAGGCGAGGGCGUAGCUCAGAAGAUAGCGCCCUACCACAGAGACCAGAGCUAGCAGUACCCCGUCGACAUAGCUUAGGGGUAUAGAAAAUGGAAAGAACACAAUGUAUCAAAUUGUAAUGAGUAAAUGAUGUAAUAACUUAGAUUGCAUUUGGAUGUAAAAGAAUAAUAACUUAGGAUGUGUUUAUGUUGUUUGAUACAUUCCUUAUGCAAUCGUUGUAUGUUGAAUACUGUUCCUGUUUGGAACCUGUUGUAAUUGUAUUGAUUGCGAUGCCUUGAACGUACAGGAGAGACUCUGUCCGCGGUACAGGGGAAUCCCCGGUCCGUUCGGCGCUGUCGGCGCCGCGACCUUGACCAAAUAGGCGGGGCUCACGGGCUGUGACAGCCUCAAUCCAAUGCUAUGAAUGCAUGCACUACAUAGUGAAAUGCUAACUACCACGCCACUAUGUCCAACAACGAUGCUAUUCAUCACAUCACCCAAUCCAUUAGGUUACCCCGCCUAAGACUUCAAAUCCUGUAGGUGAAGAGCUACCCCGCUCUUGUCUCACCCAAUCCAUCAUCUCGAAGGUCACAGGCAAAGAGCUACCCCGCUUCUCACCCGACUCAAUCACUAAGGUCCUAGGCAAAGAGCUACCCCGCUCCUCGCCCGACUCAAUCUCGAAAGUCCUAGGCAAAGAGCUACCCCGCUCCUCGCCCGACUCAAUCUCGAUCUCAUAGGUAUAGGGCUGCUCCACUCAAAUCUCAUAGGUAAAGGCUAACCACCACACUACUAUAUGCUCAAUAGUUUACCCAAUCACUUGGCUAGCCUAGAGGCUCACUCUCAAUCUCACGUCUCGAUCACAUGACUAUGCUAUAGGUGCCACACCUACUCUCAGUCGCACUGGUGAGGAUCCGCUCACUCACCUAAUACCAUCUACGGGACCUAAUAAGGCUAUCCCUCAACCUAAUCUCAAUGGGGAGGAUCUGCUCACUUGCCCAACUCUCGACAUAGGUGCCACGACUCAAUCUCAAUCUAGUGGGUGAGGAACCGCUCACUCAAGGUGAGAACUACUCACUCAACCAACUCUCAAUCUCAUGGGUGAGGAAUCGCUCACACAAGGUGAGAACUACUCACUCAACCAAGACCAUCUGCGGGGCCCAAAAAAGCUAACCCCUCGGGACCCAAAAAGGCUGUCCCUAUCGUGUGACAACUCCGGAGUGCACUGCUUUUGUAGAGCGACCACACCAAGCUUCGAACAGACAUAUGAGUACGAUCAAAUCCCUGUCACUGAGGAUACCCUACCAUCUAGGGUUAACAACAUAACUCUUUAGGUUCUCUACCAAACCGUAACUAGGGAAAAUUCAACUAUCCCUAUGUUCAAGACCAAGUGUCAACUACACUAAGUCCGAUGCCACUCGUCAUGUUAUUUACUUAUCUAGAUGCCACUCGUCAAGUUUAACAUUAACUAGAUGCCACUCGUUCUCAAUACUCUAAUUGUACACAACGACUAGGUGUUCUUUCAACUAGAGUCUAUCCACAUUAAUCUUGUCAUUAUAGGGUUUCUAAUCAAUAUAUCCCAAUCUCAUGCAUACAAGGCUCAAGUGUUAAACAAGUAAUACAACACUACUCUAGCAUGCAAGAAUAUAUAACAACUAAUUAAGCACCCUAUAAUGCAUCAUGCUCAAUAUGCAUAAUCGAUCAACAUAGAGAUACUUAGACAUAAGGAGAAGCCCGAUUGCUUCGGGAUGACACCCCCCAUCUUUUAUCGCUCCCACGAGGCUAGGGUUUCGUUUUUGUGAUUUUAGGAAGCUUUCGCCGCAAGCUGCCGCAAUCUGUACCUUAAUAAGCUUUUUCCUCAAUAUCUUUGUACCGGCUCGACGAAUCACCGAACCGACUUCGCCAACGCGUCAGAAUACCUAGCAAUUAGGUUUACAGAGGGUCAAUUAAGAUCAAAACCCUAUAUUUUUCAAAACCCCAUGUUGGAGCCCUAGGUAUAACCAAUGCAAAAAUCUCUCAUUGGAGCUCUAGAUUCAUGCAUAAUUCAUCUAUUAAAGAAUCUAGGGUUCCAACAAAACCAUUUCUAGGAAAUAAAAACCCAUCUAUAGGGAUCUACCAUGACAGCUCUCAUGAGCUUACCUCCAAAGCAAGCUCCAAUGGUGGAGAGGAAGAAGAAGAAGAUGCUAAUCCCUCUCUUGAUCUUGUUCUCCACCAAAUCCACCUCCUUUCCUUCCUCCUUGAAGAGAGAGAGAGAGCUUGUAGAGAGAGAGAGAGAGGUCUAUUUGGUUGCAAUGUGAGGGAGAAGGAGGAAAUGAGCCCCCAACCCUCUCUAUACACUUUGCACAUUUGCACAAAGGUCCCUCAACAAUAUGAGUUGUGCACAGCCCAAACUGGGCCAUUUUCGGGUGCUGGGACCGGUCUCUGGACUUGAGGGACCGGUCCUUGAAGGUUCAGAAAAACAGCAUUCCAGACUUAGCCAAAUUUUCAGCUUUUUCAGCUUUCGGGGUCCGAUUUCACUCGUUUUCGCUCGUUUGGCCUCCGAUUCGUCUCAAAUCGAACUGAAACUCUCCAAACAUGUUUUCGAGCGUAUUUUCACCAUCUUUACAUCCAUGCUAAUGCCGGAUUUAGCUCACAGCCCAACAUAGCCUUUCGGGUUCCGUUUUCGCGCCUACGCGCACCGAAACGCCCGAAUACUCCUAAACCUCACCGAACUUCACCGCAACCUUUCAAAUGGCUCCCCAAUCAAAUGUAUACCGUAACUUCAUGAUUUUAGAAGUCUGGUACCUUACAGACUGGCUCUCGAAAUAUUACGCCACGAUCGAUUGUAAGAAUAAAUUUGUAACAUAUCUCAUCCCUCGUAAAUCGUGCCGAGUUCCGUCGAAAUGAGCGGAAUGCGGAGUGGAACGAGUGAGUGUAGGCCCUAAGUGCAUUGGAGCCUAUCUAUAGGGCAAAGGGACCCGAGAGAGUGAAAUCCCAAAAUCUGGCUAAGUCCCAGAUUUUGUGCUCUCGGGGACCGGUCCCUGAAGGAGAGAUCGGUCCCCGUACGCAUAGCCUGCCAGGUAUCCUCAGGGCAACCGGUCCUUGGCAGUGAGACCGGUCCUCGGGAGACCGAUCCUCGAAGGAGAGACCGGUCCCUCGUCGCGGAGCAGCCGAAAAAGCCAGAAAAUUGGCUAAGUCCUGGAAAACCCACGUUCGGAAAUCGGUCCUUGGUCGGGGAGACCGGUCCCCGACAGCGAAAAUUGCCCAGUCUGGGCAGUGCACUAUGAAACAAGUGGAGGGGCUUAAGUGCAAUUAUCACAACACUUUAUAUAGCCACCCCCUUCACUCCUAUAGCCAUUUCUCUCCCCCUCUCUUAUUUUCUCUCUUUCUCUCUCUAGAACUCUUGCACUAGAGCUUGGAGAAGAAGAAGAAGAAGCAAGGAGGAAGAGGAUUUGGGGGCUUUGGUAGAUCUAGGAGCUCUCCAACAAGAAGAAUCUUGGUGGAGCUUGGACUAGAGGUAAGUUCUUGCAAGAUUUCCUCUAGGGUUUGGGUUUUAACCUAAGGAUUUGGAGCUUUGUGCUCCUUAGAGGUUUUAGAAGCUCUUUUGAGCCUUGAAUAACAAGGUACCCAUAAGAGCUCAAGGUGCUCUCAUGGUGAACCCUUGGAAGUUGAGUUAGAAGCCCUAGGGUUGGUUCCAAAAGCUUGGAAACCUUAUUAGAAUGCUUCCUUAGCGAUUCUAAGCUAUCUUUUGCUUAGCAAUAAGAUCAAUCCAAGGGGAAACCCUAAAUGGCAUUGUUAGGGCUUGGAAAUUGGGGCUUUUGCCCUAGGAUUUUUUGGGGACAAAUUGACCUCGUAGAAACCAUAUUGGGAGUGUCCUAAACGCGUGGGAUAACUCCGUUUGACGUUACGAAAAUGUUAGAGUAUGGUUUAUAUACAAUAGGCCUAAUUUGGCUCUAUUUUGGGGUUGUAGGUCGCAGAGUGGCGAUCGGUUGAGCGUGGAAAUUAUCGGCAUAGCUUUCUUAUACCUCACAAGGUGGGGGGUGCAUGCCGGAAUUGUUGGAUUCCCUUCUAUGUCUGUUUUCCUUUCUAUUGAGCAUAUACAUAUAUAUAGCCAUUCAUGCAUAGUAGGGUAGAUACAUGUGAAACUUGGUUCGAUUUCAUUUAUAUGCUUCUAACGUAGUCGAACAUAGGGAAUGGUAGAACCAAAAAUGGACAUGUGUGGUAGAACCCUCAAGUUGUGUGAAUGUGAGGUUUGGACUUGGACAAUAGAAAACAGAGGUGACAUUGACAUAGAAACAAGAUUGGCAUUGAAAGAUGAACUGUGAAACAUAGUUUAACCAAUUAUGGCAUUAUCACAGGUAUAGCCUAGAGAGUGGCCAAAAUGAAUAGGUAGAGACCUAUCAUGACACCGGCAUUGUGACUAGUGGCUAUGAAUCCUCAAGUGAGGAUUGGAUCGAUACUCACAAUACGUCUUGGCUUGAGGGAGGUCGCUCCCCCUCAGGCGGUGCGCUCCGAAGUUGGUCACUCCUGGGCGUGGUAAAGUCCCCCCAGAUGACGGUCCCUAAGGAGGUUCGAGUUCCCCAUUAUUAAGUGUAAUACACUGGACUUUCGCAAAUUGCAGAGUUCGAGUGUGUGGAAUGAAGUGUGGAACUAUUCUACAUGUUCUAAAAGGUUAGAACAAGUGUUUGGAUAAGUUAGAGGAUGAUUGGAAUGUUAAAAGUGAGAAUUUGCAUUGAUCUGGCGAAAAGCAGCAUUUUCUGCUUGCUGUACCGGUACAGCCCUUACCUUGUACCGGUACAAGCUGGCAGAUUCGGGGCAGCAAGGUUAGUUUGGUAAUUUCACAUCUUGUUCUCAGCUAUUUGAUCCCAGCACGACUCCUGGAGCUUGCUGGAGUGUGCUAGAGCUCAGAAGAGGGUUCUCCACCAUUUCUCUCUUUCUCUCUCUAGGGUUUUUCUCUCUCUACAUCGAAUUCGCCGAUUUCGCUCGUUUUCGUCGCAACGUUGGUUCUUCGUUGUUCGCAAGUGUUGCAGAGCCUACGUGGACGUGUGAGGGAGUGUUUUGGAGAGCUUUUCGCAGCUCUGGACCAGUGGGUUGCUGGUUGGAAGCUUGAAAGGUAAACGACUUGAUGUUUUUCCGUUAUCGGCACUCUAGUCGUCGAUUUGAGUAGCGAUUUCAGAUUUUUGCUCUUGGCUGUGCUAAACUGAGAAUUCAGCUAUUAUAAAUGAGAUAAUUAGCUGUGAAUGAACCUCUUUAGCUCAGGGAUCAGCUAUUUUAAAGCUUGAUUGUGUAACCUAGUUCAUUAUGAAGUGAAUUUGGAAUUAAACGCGAGUUUUUGCNUUGUGCCUAUGUUGAUAGUGCCAUGAUAGUGAAAGAUCCUAAUGCCAUAUGUAAAUUAGCAUUACUCCUGUAUGCUUACUAAACUAGUGGAUUCUAGUUGUUGUUAAUAUUUGUUAUACUGAAAUGUCGAUCAAAGGAUCGAGAGCGAGAACAUUGCAAAUGAAAACAUGAGAAUUGAGACAUGUGACAGUGAAAUAUGCUUGCUUGCCAUCGUGCUCAUUCGCACACGCUUGUGAGGGUCGCUCCCUACAAGCCGGCACUCCGGAGUUGGCCUUCGCGACAGUUGCUCGCCGGUGCGGGAUUGGGUGCCGAAGUGGAUUGCCGUGGGAAGUGUAUACUACCACGGGGCCAUUAGGCGCGGCGCAAGCUGGACUACCUUGGGUAGGUCCCUGUGAAGGAAAGGAAAGUACUAAAUGAAAAAGGACGGUAAUGAAUGUUUAUUACUUAAAGUGUACAGCAGUCACUUUUAUGUUCGUGCUUAUACUCAUGUAUAUGUUCAUGAUUACAGAAGUUGCUCUAUCUCUUUUAUGCAAAUGGUUCAUUACUGUAGAAAGCUAUUACAUGUCGAUUACAUGCUUACUACUUAUUAGCAUCAUGCUUAUAAAUCAUGCAAUUAUUGUUAUUGCUUCCAUUUAGUACAUCUUGAGCCUAGUGGUGUAAUUCGCCGAGGCUGGCGGCUUACCCACUGGGAACUAUUGUUAAUAGUUCUCACGCCCUUUUGGUGGUUGUUUUUACAGAGCCUGUUACAGGAGAGGCUAGGGAUCGUGGCAAGGGAGUCGCGCCUAGCUAGGGACUACUAGGAGCGUGCUAGUCGAUCACCUUGCUACUCGGACUACGGCCGAGGGUGAUGUCCCUUUGUAUAGAGAAACCACCAUUGUAUCUAUCCUAUUUUUGUAUACUCGUGAUGUAUAUGUACCACUUGGACCGUGAACUACAGUUGUGACACUUCUCUUCUGUCGAGAUUUUGGGUUUGUACACUUUUUGUUCUUUUGUUGAUAUAUAUCGACCUGUACAUUGCUCUGAUAUCAGGAUAGGACUUUCUUUGUUUUACUUCCUAUCGACUUGUUGCUUGUAGACGCCUUAUAUACUGCAGGUGUAUGGCGGGUCUGUGCACGUGCCGGAUAUGCUUCCGCUGGUACCCGGGCGUGACAUUAAGGGAUUUUGGGUUGUGAGUUAUUGGGGUUAACAAGCUUAACCGGUAAGAUUGGGUAAGAGCCAAAGUUUAUUUAUGAUUUGAGCAUGCAUGCAUUUCUAUUAUUGCAUUGAGUAUAUGUAUCCACUGACAUUCUUCUGCAGGCAUAGUAUUAGAUGCAUUAGUAUUGGUUACUUUUCUUUCCUUGAAAUACUUAUGCUUGGAUAGACCUAGUGGGUAAAUCGGCGAGGUCGGAUGCCGAACCCACUGGGAACUUCGUUGUAGUUCUCACACCACUAACCCUACAGGUCCUAGCACGAGCGGGGCGGCGGAGGACCGAGGCAAGGGUUUAGCGCCGUAGAUAGCGGCCACCGGGACCUUAUACAUUUUGUAGUCAUUCCCCUUUUUGGUAUACAUGUAUCAACUUCUUUUGUUGAUUUAGAGAUGUAAAGUUGUAGACAAACAUGUACUUGGUGUAUGACUAAAUGUAAAAAGAUAUGAUGGAUAAAUGGAAUGUAAUAGUUUUAAUUACUUGUAUUUGGUUUAAAUUUAAUCAAAUAUCAUGUAUGUUGUAUAUUUAGCUUAGAGCUUUUGCUUCCGUUGUUGCUUGCCCUCGUGCAAGUCUUGUAUUAUAUAUGCAAAUCUCUUAUUGAUUGCUUAUUUAUACAUGUUGUUGGAGUCUUGGGCGGACAGGGGAGGCCCUGUCCGUUCGACGUCUGUUGACGUGACCCGAACCCGACCAAAUUGGCGGGGAUUGGGGCGUGACAGAUAUAAUGGUAUCAGAGAGAAGUGGAAAGCCAAAGUCUAGGAAUGACCUAUAAACCAUAGGUUGGAGACCAUAGGGACUCAGGAAAACGUUCAACGUGGACUUGGUUUAUGCGAAAGCGAGUGAUUUGAUUAACGGUAACACUUUUCUAGAGGAAAGUAGAGAUGGACUAGGAGGCUUAAUUGUUGUCUACUUAAGGGACCUUGUGGGGCGGCCGACCACAUGACACCAAUAGUGGAAACGAUUAUGCUUGUUGCUUUCGCUUAAUUGGGUAGUUAUUUGGAACGUGUAAGAGUUACGUGUUCGAGUAUUGAUGUGUGUGUGCAUUGCGUUUCAGGACGCGAUGGCACCACCAAGGAGAGUUACGAGGUCCACACCGGCGGAGCUUCGGGAGGAGCCCGGGCAGUCGAGGUCGGACGAAGUGCGCAAGUUACGAGCCCAGGUAGCGGCUUUGGCCGGGGCUAUGCGACAACAAGGGGAGCAGAUUGGACGGCUCCACGAGAUGAUGGCGCAAUAGGCAGCGGCGGCAUCAGUGUCGAGGGAUCCACCCCCACCGGCUACUCCUGUAGCACCACCUCCUGCGGUGGCGGCAGCACCAGUGACGAUGGUCCCUCCGACGGCAUCGGGUUCAUCGGCUCCUAUCCCUGAUGUACUUAAGGCCGAGCAGGAGCGCACGGUGGCGGCGCUGACGGCAUUCAAGCGAUUCAACCCUCCGACCUUGAACGGCGAUGUGAAGGACCCGUGGGUGACGGAGAGUUGGCUAGCCACGAUGGAGGCCUUGUUCGAGGAUAUCUAUACCCUCGGGAAGGAUAAAGUUCACCUAGCGGCUCAUUGUUUUGAUGGGUAGGCCCGGUUGUGGUGGAAUCAAGUGAAGAAAAAUCGCUCGCUAGAGCACGCUUUUGUUACUUGGGAGGCGUUUCGGGAGAUGCUGCUUAUGGAGUAUUUCCCUGAGAGUGACAAGAGGAAAAUCAAGGAGGAUUUUCGGAAGCUAAGGCAAGGAAGCCGAUUAGUGCGGGAGUACCAGAGGGAAUUCACGCACAUGAUUAACCGCGUGCCGGGCUUGGUUCACGGUGAUAGGGACCGAGCGGAGGUAUUCGAGCGCGGCUUGCGACCCAAGAUUUUUAAGGUCAUACAUGCCUUCCGGUUGAAGACCUACGAGGAAGUGCUCGAUCGCGCGCUUUGGGUGGAGCGCGGGAAUGCCUUUGCGCGUGAUGAGCGCGAGACUUUUGAGAGGGACAUGGAAAGAGAUAGGUCCAAGAAGCGGCCGGCUGGUGGAUCUGCGGGGCAAUCAAGUUCUAAGCGACCCCCGCGACCUCAGCGAUCACAGUGGCGGGGAGGUAGGAGUCAGACACAGGGCCAGAUUACCUACCCGUGUGUGAUAUGCGGCGGAGAACAUAGAGCCACCACAUGCCCACAGCGGGAGGGGUGGUGUUACCAAUGUGGCCAACCGGGGCACAUGAGCAGAGAGUGCCUGGGCGGCGCAUCCCCAGCCCUGUCAUCAGCAUCUGUUUAGUACACUCAGCGGCAGCUGAUGGGACUACCACCCGCCGUAUCUGCUGGACGAUCGUCGGCGCCUCGUCAGCCGGAGGCCUCUCGAGCACCUAGUGGGCAGGUAUUUGCCACUCAGGUGGAGGAGCCACCAAUUAUUGUUCCCGACGACGUCGUGGCAGGUAUUAUUCUUAUCAGAGGCACUAGAGCUAGAGCCAUAUUCGAUACGGGUGCAUCUCAUUCAUUCAUAUUAGCAUCAUUUGCACAAGCUCAUAAUAUAGAGAUCACUUAUAGCGAGGAGUAUUGGUCGCUGAACACUCUCGAGCACUCUUUCGACGUCCACGAUGAGUGCUUGGACUGCCCAGUGCAGAUAGGUGAUUGGAUUAUACCGAUCGACCUUCUAGUGUUAAAAGAAAUGUGGGGCUUCGAGGUAAUCUUGGGGAUCAAUUGGCUCUCCAAAUACUACGCGGUUAUAGAUUGAGAAAGAAGGGUGAUCACGUUCCGUGAGCCUAACCAAGAGGAGUUUGUGUAUCGGGCGUGCAAAGGCAAACGCUUCGCAGCCACUAUAUCGACGGUGAGGGCAAAGAGAAUGAUUAAGGGUGGUUGCAAGGCUUACUUAGCGACUAUCGUAGACCCUCAAAAGGAAUACCCGGAGCUGGACAGUAUUCGAGUUGUGUGUGUGUAAGGAAGUGAAUCCUCGAAAUCCGAGGAUUUGACUUCGAUUGGAAUCGACGUUUUGUUGAGUGUGUGAGCUUCGGAAAGUCCGAAGGUGAUUAAAAUGCCUAAAACGCAUUAAGGAAAGGUCUGCGAGAGCACCAGUGCAAAACUUGCACUGGAGCAGAAAUGCUCUCGAGGACCGGUCCCUGGUAGGGAGGGACCAGUCCCAUCCUGCUGGGCUGCGGAGGUCUCUGAUGAGACCGGUCCCUGGCAGGCAGGGACCGGUUCCCGAACGUCAGCCCAGCGAGAAUAGCCGAAAUUUGGCUAAGUCCCGAGAAUCCAACUUUCAGGAACCGGUCUCUCGGAAAAGGACUCUCAAGCAAAGACUGGUUCCCGAACGCGAAAAUCCCUCUGCUUAGAAUUGCAGCUUUCGGGGACCGGUCUCCCCGAGCUGGGACCGGUCCCUCACUGCGAAAAUGCCCAGAGAGGGCUGAUUUGAAGGAUGAAAAGUUGAGGGGGCUAUCUGCAAAAUGGCCUUUAUUAGAGGUUGGGGGAUCUCUCUCUCCCUCUUAUUUGCUCUCUCUCCCUCUCACACUCUUUCCCUCUCUCUCUCUAGAAAAUAAGGAGAAGGUGAAGGAGAAGAAGGGAAGGAAGGAAAAGAGGAAGAAGUGGAAGGAGAAGUUCAAGAAGAAGAAGAAGGAGGUCUUUUUCCCUCUCUUCUUCAAGCUAGAGCAAGUUUGGAGCUUGGCUUAAAGGUAAGCUCCCAACCCAUCCAUGGUGGAUUUCUUAGGAUUGGGUUUUAUUGCCUAGAAAUGAUUUGAAUGGAACCUAGAGGAGAUAAAUCGGUGGUUCGGGCUCGCAAUUGAAGCUUGCGCCACGAAUUUCCUCACCGAUGCUAAUCUAGGGCACGGAUUUGGGAUUUUUGGAAAUCUAGGGUUUUGAUCUAUCUUAAUAGGUUGUAAACCAAAUUGCUAGGUCUCGGAACGCGUCGGCGAAGACGGUUUGCCGAUCCGACGAGCGAGUGCGGAGUUAUCACCGAAUCGGGUACUUGAGGGCUCGCUUCGCCCCGAGGAGUUGAAGCGACGUGCAAAGACCGCAGCGUCGAGUUUUCUACCAUCGCGGCAUCGCCAAGAGGUGGGUGGUGUCCAUCCUGAAGCAAUCGGGCUCUCUCUUAUGUCUUAGUAUUUUAAGACCUUGCAUCUCGAGUUCAUAUGCAUUGUAGGAUGAUUAUGCAUCGCCUUUCCCUAUGAUUUCCUAUCUGAUAUCGUAUUAUGCAUUGGUAACUGGAUAUAGGGGAUUGAUGAGGAUUGGGUCGAGUCUUAUAAUCCUAUAGUGUAGUGAUGAAAGUAUGAUGUAAUAGUUGAAAUAAAAGAACGAGUGGCACCUAGUUAUUAAUUGACAAAGAACGAGUGGCAUUGUGAGUCGUAGCGUAUAUGAAACCCAUUGACUAUGGUGACAGUAACCCUAGAGGAUAGGCACCCUUGAGGUGGGAGAAUUGGGAUCAUACUCAUUGUCCGCUCCCAACUUGUGGUGGUCACUCCACACAAGUAGUGCGCUCCGGAGUCAGUCACGAGGGAUGGCCUAUUUGGGGUCCCGUGGGAUAGGGAUGGCCUACUUGAGGUCCCGAGGGAUGGCCUAUUUGGGGUCCCGCAGACGGUCUCGGAUGUGUAGUGAUCGAGACGGUUAGGUGAGUAAUGGAUAGAUCCCUAAGUGAACCACGAGAUUGAUGAACCAGUAAAUAGCUUUACCUUUCGGACAUAUGAAGAGCUAGUUGAACUGUCUAUUUCUUUGUGCAUGCAUUCAUCAUAUACAUAAUUCGGGCACAGUAGUAUAGUUUUAUUAUCUGCUUCUACAGCUUUUCAUAUCUAUCUAUCUAUCUGUUUAUCUACUUGCGCCCACUUGGACCUAGUGGGGAGACCGGCGGAGUCGGCGGCCGAACCCACUGGGAACUAUGGAAGAUAGUUCUCACCUUACUUUUUACAGGUUCGAGUUCGGGUGUCCCGGGCGAGCGUGAGGAUCGCGGUAAGGGCCUAGCGCCCUAGUUGCAUUAGCCACCUACCCUUUUGCAUUAGCUCUACCUGUAUUUAUGUUCGAGAGUAGAUGAUGUAUAGGGUGAGGUUUGAGUGCUUGUAUUUAUAUUUUGGAGGAAUAUAAAGGAUGUAAUUAAAUGUAUUAAGUCAAAUGCAUGUAAUAGAUAGAGCUUUCUCUCUUUAUGUACUUGUAUAUUUCAUACUUGUAUCUUGCUCUUGGUUGUUGCACUGGUGGUGCUUCUUGAUCGUGUAUUUAUGAAUUGAUUCCUGGGUAAAUUCUUAUACAUGAUCUGUUGGUUAGCCUUGGGCGGACAGGGGAGGUCCUGUCCGUUCGGCGUCUGUUUGACGCGCCCGGGGCCGGAUCAAAUUAGAAGCGGUCUCGGGGAGUGACAGCGUGAGUAUCCGGAUGUAUUCCCAGCGGAGUUACCGGGACUGCCUCCGGAUCGGGAAGUCGAGUUUGUUAUCGACUUGAUUCCCGGGGCGGCGCCAAUUUUGAAGGCUCCGUAUAGAAUGUGUAAGGGAAGUGAAUUCUCGAAAUCCGAGGAUUUGACUUCGUAUGAAAUCGACUAAUCGUCGAGGGUGUAAGCUUCGGAAAGUCCGAAGAUGCUUAGAAUGCAUGAAGUGCAUUAGCGAAGAGCCCGCGAGAGCAGCAGUGCAAAACCUGCACUAGAGCAGAUUUGCUCUCGGGGACCGGUCCCUGGCAGGGAGGGACUGGUCCCAUCAGGCUGGGCUGGCGGGGACCCUUGUGGCAACCGGUCUCUGGUGGGUAAGGACCGGUUCCCGAACGUUAGCCCAGCGAAAGAAGCCGAAAUUUGGCUAAGUCCCGAAAGUCUAGCUCUCGGGAACCGGUCUCUCGGACAAGGACCGGUCUCCCGGGGACCGGUCUCUCAGGCAGGGACCGGUUCCCGAAUGCGAAAUCCCCUCUGCCCGAUUGUGCAGCUCUCGGGGACCGGUCUCCCCGACCUGGGACUGGUCCCUCACUGCGAAAUUAGCCCAGUGAAGGCUGUUUAGUGGAUGGAAAGUUGAGGAGCUUAUUUGCAAAAUGGCCUAUAUGAAGGCUUGGGGGACCCUUUCUCCCUCUCAUUGCUCUCUUCCUCUCACACCCUUUUGCUCUUUCUCUCUCUAGAAAGGAAAAGAAGGGAAAGAAGAAGGAAAGGAAGAGGAAGGAGAAGACUAAGAAGAAGAAGGAGAUCAUCUUCUUCUCUCCCUCUCUCAAGCUUGAAGCUUUGUUUAGAGGUAAGCACUAAAUCCUUUAAUGGUAUUUCUAGGGUUUGGGGUUUUUGUUUUUUAGAAAUGGUUCGAAUGGAACCUAUUGAAGCUAGGGAGAAGGUUUGAGCUCGAAAUUGAAGCUCGCACAAUGGAUUUCGCCACCGUUGCCAACCUAGGGCACGGAUUUGGGAUUUUUUGGAAAGUUAGGGUUUUGAUCUAUUUUAAUAGGUCGUAAACCUAAUUGAUAGGUCUCUAAACGUGUAGGCGAAAACGGUUCGUCGAUCCGACGAGCGAGUGCGAAGAUAUCGCUGAAACGGAUAUUUGAGAGUUCGCUUUGCCCCGAGGUGCUGAAGCGACGUACGAAGGCCGCGGCGUCGAGUUGUCUAGCCGCGCGGCACUACUAAAAGGUGGGGGAGUGCCAUCCCGAAGCAGUCGAACUGCUCUUUAUGUCUGAGUACUAUUGUCGAUCAAUUUCAUAUUGUAACAUAGCAUUAUAGGGUGUUAAAUGUAAUUGUACAUAUCCUUGCAUGCUAGUGGUAGUUUGGGUCAUGGAUACAAUGUAUGAGAACCUAGUAUGCAUGAGUUGAACACUAUGAGAUAGUUAACCCUAUAUGUGAAGAAUAUGUCUUUGUGAAUAAGAACCUAGUAUAUUGUAAACUAGUGUAUCAAGAACUUGUCAAGGGAACGAGUGGCAUCUAGUUAACCUUAAACAUUGAACGAGUGGCAUUAAGUAGUACCAGAGUGGCAUGAGAACACUAGUAUAGCUGAGAUACUAUGUGAUUGACUACUAGAACACUCGAUUCUAUAUUGCUAUCACCCUUGGUUGGUUAGGGUGUUCCCAGUUCAUGAGAUUGGAUCGAGCUCACUUAGCCUGUCUGCAUCUGUGGAGGUAGCUCCUCACAGGUAGUGCACUCCGGAGUUUGGCACGCGAGGGGGCCAGUGUAGUGCCCUUGGACUAGUGUAGUGUUCGCAGGCGGUCUCGGGGUAGGUGAAUAGCUAGCCUCCUCCCCUAUGAGACUUACACACGUGAGACUGUGAGCGAGCCUUGUGUUCGCCAAGAGAUUGGGUAAUCAGAUGAAUGAUUUCGUUGUUGAACAUAGUAGUAUGAUAGCUGACAUUCUUACCAUGAGUUCCAUGGAUGCAUUUGAGUGGAUUGAGGCAUUGAUAGAUCCUAGUUCAUAGCUGUUCAACACUGCUAUUGCUUUCAGUUCCAUAUACCUAUCUAUCGGCAUAUCUAUCUGUGCCUGCUUAGACCUAGUGGGGAGAUCGGCGGAGUCGGCGGCUGAACCCACUGGGAACUAUUCGUAGUUCUCACUCCACCAUGUUGCAGGUCCGAGUUCGAGCGCCCCCAGUGAGGAUCGCGGCAAGGGUGUAGCGCCCUAGUGGAACAUGUAUAUAGUUAGCUUACCUCCUUUUGCAUUAGCCCUACCUUGUACAAUGUUUGAGAGUAGAUGAUGUAUAGGGUGAGGAUUUGGGAGUGAUUGUAUACAUAUUUUGGACGAAUGUAAAAGAUAAAAUAAUUGUAUAAAGUUUAAUGAGUUAAUAGUUAAGUACAUCUCUCUUUUAUCACUUGUAUGCCUUACAUGUGUUGCUUGCUCUUAGUUGAUAAGCACUGUUUGUGCUUCGUCGUUAAUAUCUGAUUGUGUAUGUAUUCAAGUUGUUUCCUGGGAGCUUGUUGUACACAACCUAGUCGUUUGAGCCUUGGGUGGAUAGAAGAGGUGCUGUCCGUUCGGCGGUCCGUUCGCCGCGCCUGAACCGGACCAAAUUGGUAUCGGUCUCGGGGCGGGGGCGUGACACCUUGAGUACCAAAACAGCGAGCGUCGGCUGGAGCGCGAAAUCGACUCGAAUCGGCGGCUUUUACGUAGAGAGAGAGAGAAAAACCCUAGAGAGAGAGAGAGAGAAGGUGAAAGAAGCUUUCUCUGAGCCUAGCAACCUCCACUGAGCCUCCAGAGUCGUGCUGGAUUCAAAUAGAUGAGAACAAGAGGUGAAAUUACCAAAUUAGCCCUGCUGCCACUUUUCUGCCAUUGUGUACCGGUACACAUUGAUGGCUGUACCUGUACACAAUGCAGAAAACCCUGAUUUUCGCCAGAGCAAUGCACUUUCAUACUUUUACCCAUCCAAUCAUUCUCUAACUUGUAAAAAAAACUUGUCCAAGUCAUUUAGAACAUGUAGAAUAGUUCCACAUAUCAUUCCACACACUCGAACUCUGCAAAUUGCAAAAGUUCAGUGUAUUACAUCAGCGGACUCAGCGGCCGAACCAACUGGUAACUAUUCGAAGUUCUCACUCCACCAUAUUGCAGGUCCGAGCUCGAGCGUCCCCGGUGAGGAUCGCGGCAAGGGCAUAGCGCCCUAGUGAUAUUAGCAGAGGUUUACUUUCCUUUAUGCAUUAGUUACACCCUGUACUUAUUUUGAGCGUAGAUUGAUUGAUAGGGUGAGGUUUUGAGAGGAUUGUAUAUGUUGUACAGGUUUAGAAGAUUGCAAAAUGUAAUAAUUGUAUUAAGUUGAAUGGAUGUAAUAGAAUAGUUAAGUACCACUCUUUCACUCCACUGUAUGGUUGUUUUACUCGUGAUGCUUGCUCUCGUAUUGUAUAGCACUAACUGUGCUUUCGUUGUUGUUGUAUGAUUGUGUAUGUAUGCAAGAUGUUAUUCUGGGAACUUGUUGUACACAAUCUCGUCGUUGUGCCUUGGGCGGACAGGGGAGGUACUGUCCGUACGGCGGUCCGCCGCCGUGCCCGAACCGAACCAAAUUGGUAUCGGCCUCGGGGCGGGGGCGUGACAGAAAAAUUACUAGUUGCAAAGUUAUACUGUUGGGGCGCAACAGAGUAGUCUAUUGUUGUUCCGGUUUUGGUUAUUGUUAAGGUUGACAUCGAUUCGUUUCAAAUUUACACUCUCGAGGCAUAAUAGAACAAUAUAAUUAGGUUUUACUCUUUGUUCGAUAGAAUGAGAAAAAGUACUCAUUGCAAAGUUAUACUGUUAGGGCGCAACCGAAUAGUCUAAUGUUGUUCCGGUUUUGGUUCUUGUGAACGCUGACAUCAAUUGGUUCGAAAUUACAACUCUCGGGGCAUAAUUGAACAAUAUAAAUUAGGUUUUACUCUUUGUUCGAUAGAAUGAGAAAAAGAACUCGUCGCAAAGUUAUACUGCUAGGGGGCAACUGAGUAGUCUAAUAUUGUUCCGGUUUUGGUUCUUGUGAACGUUGACAUCGAUUCGUUCCAAAUUUACACUCUCGGGGCAUAAUAGAACAAUACAAUUAAGUUUUACUCUUUGUUCGAUCGAAUGAGAAAAAGUACUCGUUGCAAAUUUAUAAUAUUAGGGCGCAGCUGAGUAGUCUAAUGUUGUUCCGGUUUUGGUUCUUGUGAAGGUUGACAUCGAUUCGUUCCAAAUUUACACUCUUGGGGCAUAAUAGAACAAUAUAAUUAGCUUUUACACUUUGUUCGAUCGAAUGGGAAAAAAGUACUCGUUACAAAGUUAUACUGUUAGGGCGCAACUGAGUAGUCUAUUGUUGUUCCAGCUUUGGUUCUUAUGAAGGUUGACAUCGAUUCAUUCCAAAUUUACACUCUCGCGGCAUAAUAGAACAAUAUAAUUAGCUUUUACACUUUGUUCGAUUGAAUGAGAAAAAGUACUAGUUGCAAAGUUAUAUUGUUGGGGUACAACAGAGUAGUCUAUUGUUGUUCCGGUUUUGGUUCUAGUGAAAGUUGACAUCGAUUCGUUCCAAAUUUACACUCUCGGGGCAUAAUGAAUAAAAUAAUUAGCUUUUACACUUUGUUCGAUUGAAUGAGAAAAAGUACUAGUUGCAAAGUUAUACUGUUGGGGCGCAACAGAGUAGUCUACUGUUGUUCCGGUUUUGGUUCUUGUUAAGGUUGACAUCGAUUCAUUCCAAAUUUACACUCUCGGGGCAUAAUAGGACAAUAUAAUUAGGUUUUACUCUUUGUUCGAUAGAAUGAGAAAAAGUACUCAUUGCAAAGUUCUACUGUUAGGGCGCAACUGAAUAGCGUUAUGUUGUUACGGUUUUGGUUCUUGUGAACGUUGACAUCGAUUCGUUCGAAAUUACAACUCUCGCGGCAUAAUUGAACAAUAUAAUUAGGUUUUACACUUUGUUCAAUAGAAUGAGAAAAAGUACUCGUCGCAAAGUUAUACUGUUGGGGCGCAACUAAGUAGUCUAAUGUUGUUCCGGUUUUGGUUCUUGUGAACGUUGACAUCGAUUCGUUCCAAAUUUACACUCUCGGGGCAAAAUAGGACAAUAUAAUUAAGUUUUACGCUUUGUUCGAUCGAAUGAGAAAAUGUACGCGUUGCAAAUUUAUACUGUUAGGGCGCAGCUGGGUAGUCUAAUGUUGUUCCGGUUUCGGUUCAUGUGAAGGUUGACAUCGAUUCGUUCCAAAUGUACACUCUUGGGGCAUAAUAGAACAAUAUAAUUAGCUUUUACACUUUGUUCAAUCGAAUGGAAAAAAAUACUCGUUGCAAAGUUAUACUGUUAGGGCGCAGCUUAGUAGUCUAAUGUUGUUCCGGUUUUGGUUCUUGUGAAGGUUGACAUCGAUUCGUUCUAAAUUUACACUCGCGGGGCAUAAUAGAACAAUAUAAUUAGCUUUUACACUUUGUUCGGUCGAAUGGGAAAAAGUACUCGUUGCAAAGUUAUACUGUUAGGGCGGAACUGAGUAGACUAUUGUUGUUCCGGUUUUGGUUCUUGUGAAGGUUGACAUCGAUUCGUUCCAAAUUUACACUCUUGGGGCAUAAUAGAACAAUAUAAUUAGUUUUUACACUUUGUUCGAUUGAUUAAGAAAAAGUACUAGUUGCAAAGUUAUACUGUUGGGGCGCAACAGAGUAGUCUAUUGUUGUUCCGGUUUUGAUUCUUGCUAAGGUUGACAUCGAUUCGUUCCAAAUUUACACUCUCGGGGCAUAAUAGAACAAUAUAAUUUGGUUUUACUCUUUGUUCGAUAGAAUAAGAAAAAGUAGUCAUUGCAAUGUUAUACUGUUAGGGCGCCACUGAAUAGUCUAAUAUUGUUCCGGUUUUGGUUCUUGUGAACGUUGACAUCGAUUCGUUCGAAAUUACAACUCUCGGGGCAUAAUUGAACAAUAUAAUUAGGUUUUACUCUUUGUUCGAUAGAAUGAGAAAAAGUACUCGUCGCAAAGUUAUACUGCUAGGGCGCAACUGAGUAGUCUAAUGUUGUUCCGAUUUUGGUUCUUGUGAACGUUGACAUCGAUUCGUUCCAAAUUUACACUCUCGGGGCACAAUUGAACAAUAUAAUUAGGUUUUACUCUUUGUUCGAUAAAAAGAGAAAAAGUACUCGUUGCAAAGUUAUACUGUUAGGGCGCAACAGAGUAGUCUAAUGUUGUUCCGGUUUUCGUUCUUGUGAACGGUGACAUCGAUUCGUUCCAAAUUUACACUCUCGGGNCUGGGAACUUGUUGUACACAAUCUCGUCGUUGUGCCUUGGGCGGACAGGGGAGGUACUGUCCGUACGGCGGUCCGCCGCCGUGCCCGAACCGAACCAAAUUGGUAUCGGCCUCGGGGCGGGGGCGUGACAGAAAAAUUACUAGUUGCAAAGUUAUACUGUUGGGGCGCAACAGAGUAGUCUAUUGUUGUUCCGGUUUUGGUUAUUGUUAAGGUUGACAUCGAUUCGUUUCAAAUUUACACUCUCGAGGCAUAAUAGAACAAUAUAAUUAGGUUUUACUCUUUGUUCGAUAGAAUGAGAAAAAGUACUCAUUGCAAAGUUAUACUGUUAGGGCGCAACCGAAUAGUCUAAUGUUGUUCCGGUUUUGGUUCUUGUGAACGCUGACAUCAAUUGGUUCGAAAUUACAACUCUCGGGGCAUAAUUGAACAAUAUAAAUUAGGUUUUACUCUUUGUUCGAUAGAAUGAGAAAAAGAACUCGUCGCAAAGUUAUACUGCUAGGGGGCAACUGAGUAGUCUAAUAUUGUUCCGGUUUUGGUUCUUGUGAACGUUGACAUCGAUUCGUUCCAAAUUUACACUCUCGGGGCAUAAUAGAACAAUACAAUUAAGUUUUACUCUUUGUUCGAUCGAAUGAGAAAAAGUACUCGUUGCAAAUUUAUAAUAUUAGGGCGCAGCUGAGUAGUCUAAUGUUGUUCCGGUUUUGGUUCUUGUGAAGGUUGACAUCGAUUCGUUCCAAAUUUACACUCUUGGGGCAUAAUAGAACAAUAUAAUUAGCUUUUACACUUUGUUCGAUCGAAUGGGAAAAAAGUACUCGUUACAAAGUUAUACUGUUAGGGCGCAACUGAGUAGUCUAUUGUUAUUCCAGUUUUGGUUCUUGUGAAGGUUGACAUCGAUUCGUUCCAAAUUUACACUCUCGGGGCAUAAUAGAACAAUAAAAUUAGCUUUUACACUUUGUUCGAUUGAAUAAGAAAAAGUACUAGUUGCAAAGUUAUAUUGUUGGGGUGCAACAGAGUAGUCUAUUGUUUUUCCGAUUUUGGUUCUGGUGAAGGUUGAUAUCGAUUCGUUCCAAAUUUACACUCUCGGGGCAUAAUGAAUAAAAUAAAUAGCUUUUACACUUUGUUCGAUUGAAUGAGAAAAAGUACUAGUUGCAAAGUUAUACUGUUGGGGCGCAACAGAGUAGUUUACUGUUGUUCCGAUUUUGGUUCUUGUUAAGGUUGACAUCGAUUCAUUCCAAAUUUACACUCUCGGGGCAUAAUAGAACAAUACAAUUAAGUUUUACUCUUUGUUCGAUCGAAUGAGAAAAAGUACUCGUUGCAAAAUUAUGCUGUUAGGGCGCAACUGAGUAGUCUAGUGUUGUUCCGAUUUUGGUUCUUGUGAAGAUUGACAUCGAUUCGUUCCAAAUUUACACUCUCGGGGCAUAAUAGAACAAUAUAAUUAGCUUUUACACUUUGUUCGAUUGAAUGAGAAAAAGUACUAGUUGCAAAGUUAUACUGUUGGGGCGCAACAGAGUAGUCUAUUGUUGUUCCGGUUUUGGUUCUUGUUAAGGUUGACAUCGAUUCGUUCCAAAUUUACACUCUCGGGGCAUAAUAGAACAAUAUAAUUAGGUUUUACUCUUUGUUCGAUCGAAUGAGAAAAAGUACUCGUUGCAAAGUUAUACUGUUAGGGCGCAACUGAGUAGUCUAAUGUUGUUCCGGUUUUGGUUCUUGUGAACGUUGACAUCGAUUCGUUCGAAUUUACACUCUCGCGGCAUAAUAGAACAAUAUAAUUAGGUUUUACACUUUGUUCGAUAGAAUGAGAAAAAGUACUCGUUGCAAAGUUAUACUGUUAGGGCGCAACUGAGUAGUCUAAUGUUGUUCCGGUUUUGGUUCUUGUGAACGUUGACAUCGAUUCGUUCCAAAUUUACACUCUCGGGGCAUAAUAGAACAAUAUAAUUAGGUUUUACGCUUUGUUCGAUUGAAUGAGAAAAAGUACUCGUUGCAAAGUUAUACUGUUAGGGCGCAACUGAGUAGUCUAAUGUUGUUCCGGUUUUGGUUCUUGUGAACGUUGACAUCGAUUCGUUCCAAAUUUACACUCUCGGGGCAUAAUAGAACAAUAUAAUUAGNNNNNNNNNNNNNNNNNNNNNNNNNAGAUCGAUUCGUUCCAAAUUUACACUCUCGGGGCAUAAUAGGAAGUUUUUACUUCUUGUUCGAUAGAAUAAGAAAAAGUACUCAUCGCAAAGUUAUACUGUUAUGGCGCAACUGAGUAGUCUAAUGUUGUUCCGGUUUUGGUUCUUGUCAACGUUGACAUCGAUUCGUUCUAAAUUUACACUCUCGACGCUUGAACAAUAUAAUUAGGUUUUACUCUUUAUUCGAUUGAAUGAGAAAAAGGACUAGUUGCAAUGUUAUACUGUUAGGGCUCAACUGAGUAGUCUAACGUUCUUCCGGUUUUGGUUCUUGUGAACGCUGACAUUGAUUCGUUCCGAAUUUACACCCUUGGGGCAUAAAAGAAAGCUUUUACUCCUUGUUCGAUGAUUGAGAAAAAGUACUCAUUGCAAAGUUAUACUGUUAUGGCGCAAUAGAGUAGUCUAAUGUUGUUCCGGUUUUGGUUCUUGUGAACAUUGACGUCAAUUAGUUCCAAAUUUACACUCUCGGGGCAUAAUAGAACAAUAUUAUUAUGUUUUACGCUUUAUUCGAUUGAACGAGAAAAAGUACUCGUCGCAAAGUUAUUCUAUUAGGCGCAACUGAGUAGUCUAAUGUAGUUCCGGUUAUGGUACUUGUGAACGUUGACAUCGAUUCGUUCCAAAUUUACACUCUCGGGGCAUAAUAGAAAGCUUUUACUCCUUGUUCAAUAGAAUUAGAAAAAGUACUCGUUGCAAAGUUAAACUGUUAAGGCACACAGAGUAGUCUAUUGUUGUUCCGAUUUUGGUUCUUGUCAACGUUGACAUCGAUUCGUUCCAAAUUUACACUCUUGGGGUAUAAUAGAACAAUAUAAUUAGGUUUUACUCUUUAGUCGAUUGAAUGAGAAAAAGUACUAGUUGCAAUGUAAUACUAUCAGGGCUCAACUGAGUAGUCUAACGUUGUUUCUGUUUUGGUUCUUGUGAACGUUGACAUCGAUUCGUUCAAAAUUUACACUCUCGGGGAAUAAUAAAAAGCUUUUACUCCUUACUCGAAACAAUGAGAAAAAGUACACGUUGCAAAGUUAUGCUAUUAUGGCGCAACAGAGUAGCCUAAUGUAGUUCCGGUUUUGGUUCUUGUCAACGUUGACAUCGAUUCGUUCCAAAUAUACACUCUCGGGGCAUAAUAGAACAAUAUCGUUUGGUUUUACUCUUUAUUCGAUUGAAUGAGAGAAAGUACUCGUUGCAAAGUUAUACUGUUAUGGCAAAACUGAGUAGUCAAAUUUAGUUCCUGUUUUGGUUCUUGUGAACUUUGACUUCGAUUCGUUCCAAAUUUAUACUCUCGAGGCAUAAUAGAACAAUAUUAUUAGUUUUGCUAUUUGUUCGAUUGAAUGAGAACAAGUUCUAGUUGCAAAGUUAUACUGUCAAGGCUCAACUGAGUAGUCAAACGUUGUUCCGGUUUUGGUUUUUGUGAACGUCAACAUCGUUACGUUGCAAAUUUACACUCUCGGGGCAUAAUAGAAAGCUUUUACACCUUGUUCGAUAGAAAGAGAAAAAGUACUCGUUGCAAAAUUAUAUUGUUAUGGCGCAACAGAGUAGUCUAAUGUUAUUUCAGGUUUGGUUCUUGUGAACAUUGACAUCGAUUCAUACCAAAUUUACACUCUCGGUGCAUAAUAGAACAACAUAAGUAGGUUUUGCUCUUUGUUCGAUUGAAUGAGAAAAAGUACUAGUUGCAAUCUUAUACUGUUAGGGCUCAACUGAGUUGUCUAACGUUGUUUCGGUUUUGGUUCUCGUGAACGUUGACAUCGAUUCNNNNNNNNNNNNNNNNNNNNNNNNNAUACUGUUAUGGCGCAACUGAGUAGUCUAAUGUUGUUCCAGUUUUGGUUCUUGUGAACGUUGACAUCGAUUCGUUCCAAAUUAAAACUCUCCGGUAAUAAUAGAACAAUAUAAUUAGGUUUUGCUCUUUGUUCGAUUGAAUGAGAAAAAAUACUAGUUGCAAAGUUAUACUGUUAGGGCUCAACUGAGUAGUCUAACGUUGUUCCGGUUUUAGUUCGUGCGAACGUUGACAUUGAUUCGCUCCAAAUUUACACUCUCGGGGCAUAAUAGAUAGCUUUUACUCCUUAUUCGAUAGAAUUAGAAAAAGUACUCGUUGCAAAGUUAAACUGUUAAGGCGCAACUGAGUAGUCUAGCGUUGUUCCAGUUUUGGUUCUUGUGAACGUUGACAUCGAUUCGUUCCAAAUUUACACUCUCGGGGUAUAAUAGAACAAUAUAAUUAGGUUUUACUCUUUGUUCAAUUGAAUAAGAAAAAGUACUGGUUGCAAUGUCAUACUGUUAGGGCUCAACUGAGUAGUCUAACGUUCUUCCGAUUUUGGUUCUCGUGAACGUUGGCAACGAUUCGUCCCAAAUUUACACUACCGGGGCAUAAUAGAAAGCUUUCACUCCUUGUUCGAUAGAAUGAGAAAAAGUACUCGUUCCAAAGUUAUACUGUUAUGGCGCAACAGAGUGGUCUAAUGUUGCUCCUAUUUUGGUUCCUGUGAACGUUGACAUCGAUUCGUUCCAAAUUUACAAUCUCGGGGCAUAAUACAACAAAAUUAUUAGGUUUUACGCUUUAUUCGAUUGAACGAGAAAAAGUACUCAUCGUAAUGUUAUACUGUUAUGGCGUAACUGAGUUGUCUAAUGUUGUUCCGGUUAUGGUUCUUGUGAACGUUGACAUCGACUCGUUCUAAAUUUACACUCUCGGGGCUCGAACAGUAUAAUUAGGUUUUACUCUUUGUUCAAUUGAAUGAGAAAAAGGACUAGUUGCAAUGUUAUACUGUUAGGGCUCAACUGAGUAGUCUAACGUUAUUCCGGUUUUGGUUUUUAUGAACGCUGACAUCGAUUCAUUCCAAAUUUACACCCUUGGGGCAUAACAGAAAGCUUUUACUCCUUGUUCAGUAGAUUGAGAAAAAGUACUCAUAGCAAAGUUAUACUGUUAUGGCGUAAUAGAGUAGUCUAAUGUUGUUCCGGUUUUGGUUCUUGUGAACGUUGACAUCGAUCAGUUCCAAAUAUACACUCUCGGGGCAUAAUAGAACCAUAUUAUUAGGUUUUACGCUUUAUUCGAUUGAACGAGAAAUAGUACUCGUCGCAAAGUUAUACUGUUAUGGCGCAACUUAGUAGUUUAAUGUAGUUCCGGUUUUGGUUCUUGUGAACGUUGACAUCGACUCGUUCUAAAUUUACACUGUCGGGGCUCGAACAGUAUAAUUAGGUUUUACUCUUUGUUCGAUUGAAUGAGAAAAAGGACUAGUUACAAUGUUAUACUGUUAGGGCUCAACUGAGUAGUCUAACGUUAUUCUGGUUUUGGUUUUUGCGAACACUGACAUCGAUUCGUUCCAAAUUUACACCCUUGGGGCAUAAUAGAAAGCUUUUACUCCUUGUUCAGUAGGUAUUGGAGCAACAUUACCUAUUGAUAAAUCCCUAACUUUAGGUCUUUUUCAAAUUGAUUCAACCGCGAAGUACCAUGAUGUAGUUCCCAAGAUCCUAGUUACUUCAAAGUGAAUCUUCCCUAGAUACAUUAAUUUGAUUAUGAUCUAUUCCGCGAAAAUACGGAUUGUGCCAAAGAUGCAAAAUUGUUUUCUUUUUUUCUUUAGAAUUUUCUUUCUAUUAGAAUUAGAAAAAGAAGAUGAAAAAAUUACAAUGGAUUUAAAAUGAGAACUUAUUCUUAGGUAAAUCAAUUGCGAAAUGCUUCUGUAGAGUGUCCAAUAUUUGUUUUACAUCUUCCAUGCGAAAAUAUUCAAUUCUCAUAAGAUCUUCUUGACUGUUACUCAAAAGGUCCAAUAAUGUAUGUAUAUUGGACCUUUUGAGACAAUUAUAGGUCCUGGAAGGCAAUUCUAAUUGGUCAAUAAAAAUACAAUUCAAUGGAAUUCCUUUUUUGUUUUUCUUUAGAUUAGUUAAUCUAUCUUGAAAGGUUAAAAAGGGUAGAGUAAACCUGUUUUUAUUUUCUUCGAAAUUAAUGUCCUCUUCCUCCGCAUGUAGAAAAGGAAUAAAUAAAUCAAUCAAAUUACGAGAAGCCUCAUAAAGUGCUUCCUUAGGAGUUAAACUUCCAUUUGUCCAUAUUUCUAGAAAAAGUAUCUCUUGUUUUUCAUUCCCAUUCCCAUAAGAAUGAAUACUAUGAUUCGCAUUUCGAACAGGCAUGGAUACAGCAUCUAUAGGAUAACUUACAUCUUGAGAGUCAUUUAUGGGUUCCAUACGAUAUCCGCGAUCUCUCUUGAUUUGUAAUCCAAUACACAAAUCAAUUGGUUCCGUCAGGUUAGCUAUAUGUUGUGUCGUGUCAACUAUUUCUACGGAAGGUGGUGAGAUGAUAUCUUGAGCGGUUACGUAUCUAGGACCCCUNNNNNNNNNNNNNNNNNNNNNNNNNNNNNNNNNNNNNNNNNNNNNNNNNNNNNNNNNNNNNNNNNNNNNNNNNNNNNNNNNNNNNNNNNNNNNNNNNNNNUGCAAAUGGUUCAUUACUGUAGAAAGCUAUUACAUGUUGAUUACAUGCUUAUUACUUAUUAGCAUCAUGCUUAUAAAUCAUGCAAUUAUUGUUAUUGCUUUCAUUUAGUACAUCUUGAGCCUAGUGGUGUAAUUCGCCGAGGCUGGCGGCUUACCCACUGGGAACUAUUGUUAAUAGUUCUCACGCCCUUUUGGUGGUUGUUUUUACAGAGCCAUCUACUGGAGAGGCUAGGGAUCGUGGCAAGGGAGUCGCGCCUAGCUAGGGACUACUAGGAGCGUGCUAGUCGAUCACCUUGCUACUCGGGCUACGGCCGAGGGUGAUGUCCCUAUGUAUAGAUAGACCACCGUUGUACCUAUUCUUUUGUAUACCCCGAGAUGUAUAUGUACUUUUGGACAGUCACUUUAGUUGUGAUACUCAUCUUUUGGUUGAGAUUUUUUGGACUAUACUCCUUUACUCUAUUGUUGACUUGUACUUUGCUCUGAUAUCAGGAUAGAAUUUUCUAUGAUCUUCUUCCUAUCGACUUGCUUGUUUGUAGACGCCUUAUAUACUGCAGGUGUAUGGCGGGUCUGUUCACGUACCGAAUGUGCUUCCGCUGGUACCCGGGCGUGACAGCUCAGGGCCAAUCGCGCCAUCUCAGGCUGGCGCGGCAUCAUCGCACAUCCCGCCGACACGGCCGUCGGUGGAACUCCUCCAUAGUAGGCCGGAAUCGCCAGCGCCGAUACAGUGGAUGGGGCAGGUGAGGCUCCUCCUCCCGGGCAAUCACAUAUGAAGUGCCCCGGUUGCCCGCACUUGUAGCACUUGCCUUGGCGCUGCUCACAACGCGACACCAGGUGGUCUCCACCACAUAUGAUGCACCGUCGCGCUCUACUGCCCUUUGGCUGAGUCCGCGGAUACUUCGGGGGCUUCUUGGAACGUGCUUGUCCUCCCGAACCGCCGCCUUGACACUUCUUGCCUUUGUCCUUGAACUUGGCCAACAUCUCGCGCUUCUCCCGAACAUGGGCGUCACCGUGCUCCGCCCAGAGUGCUUGGUCAAAGACCUUCCCGCGAAGGUUGUGAGCUUGAAUAUCUGCACAGCCUUGUAGAUCCCCGGCCGAAGUCCUCGCAAGAACCAAUCGGCCCAGUCCCGGUCAUCUCGUAUUACGUCCGGGACACAGUCAAUGAUGUGAGAGAACUCUUGCUCAUACUCCACUACUGAGCGGUCCCCCUGCUCCAACUUGCGGAACUUUUCCUGGAGCUUCCGCUUCAAUGUGUCGGGGAAAUAAUUGGCGAACAUCGCCCUCUUGAAUUCCUCCCACAGUAUUGGCGGAAGGUCGGGAAGUCGAUCCCGUUUGACGCGCUUCCACAAGACCAUCACCGCUAUUUCCAAGCAGUGGGUAGCUAGAUACACCCUAUCUNCCUUAAGAGGCUUGGGGACUUGUACUACUUGAGAAUGAUUCGGCUAAUGUCAUAAAGGGGCAUUGAGCUCGGGUUAAAUGAGAACCUAGUACUAAUGUCAUGAAUGGAACAUAGAAUACGAAAUGUGUUUAACUUAUAACAAACUUAAGUGUCAUAAAGAGGCACUAAGCAUAGUGAGUGUUGGAACAUCACCUUGAGACAUUGAACUAGAUCUUUGGGAUGCUAGUGGCUUUGACCAUAUUAGAGACAUGAUGAUUGGACACUUAAGACAUUGACUAUGCUUGCUUGCUAUUUAUGCUCAUUCGCACACGCUUGUGAGGGUCGCUCCCUACAAGCUGGCACUCCGGAGUUGACCUAUGCGACUUAUGUUCGCUCGUGCGGUAUCGAGAAACCUACGGGGUCGGGAGGGAUAGACUUAUUCCUAGAGUGGGAAUGCUGGAGCUACCACCGACACUUAGGCGGCACAAGCUGGACUACACUUGUGUAGGUCCCAAAAUAAGAUUGAACAAUGACAGCAAUUCAUAAAAGUUAAUCACUACUAGAUAGGGAGUAGUAGUUGGAUUACCUUGACAUAUAUGCUUGUAGCAUAGCGUUGGGACAUGUGGUAUACUUGAUAGUUUACUUGUUGCAUUAUAGUAUACUUGGUUGUUAUGAUAGAGCAUAUUCAUAACAUAAUGAUAUAUUGGAUCAUGAUAUCUACUUGCUCGUUAUGUUGGGUUAUAUUAGUCAUGCUAUGGACAUACUUCAUUUUUGAUAGGGUAGAUGUACAACACAUUGACAUCAUGUUUACUUGUGACAUAGUAAUACAGCAUUUUAUUUAUGCUUUUACUAAAUGCAAUCUAUUUAUUAUUAUUAUUGCUUUUUGGACUUACCCUUUUUUUUUGGACCUAGUGGUGCAUUGAGUUGAGGUCAGUAAUUACCCACUGGGAACUAUAACUUAUAGUUCUCACGCCCUCUGUUUCAUGUUUUUAUUUCAGAGCCUUCCACGCCGAGAGAGGCUAGGGACCACGGAAAGGGAAUUGCCUCCAGCUAGCUUGCUUUGAGGGACGCGUCGAUCGGUAGUCUACCUCUCGUUGUUUACUUUUUUUUUGGAGAGGUUGAGAGUUGUACCCAUGUAUAGAGACCACCCCUUUUGUACCUUUUUGGAGAGGAUUACUUGUAUAACUCUAUGUUUUACCUUUAUUGUUUAGUUACGCUUUAUUUACUUUUGUUAUAGAUGAUAGAUAUAUACUUGCUCUGAUAUCUCUAGCUGUAGAUUAUCUUUGAUUUUAUUUCCGCUGUUGUUGUAGAUGCCUUAUAUGUGUAGAUAUAUGGCAGGUCUGGGCACGCUUCCGGUAGGGCCUCCGCCGGUCCUAGAGUGUGAUAGAUUAAUUUGGUAUCAGAGCCUAGGGUUGAGUCUUAGUGGACCUAGCAAACCUUAGGCCAGUUGGACCAUAGGAUAUAGGCUCGUAAGAGACGAGAUCUAUUUGACUUGUAAGCGAAAGUAUUUCGAUUGGGUUUUAUGAUAACUCUAAAAAGUUAGAGUUGAAUCGGAGUGUAUGGCUUCUAACUUCGCGAAGGGUUACAUUGGCGGCUGACAACGUAACAUCGGGAGUUAGUAGUGAAGAACACUUCCUUACUUUCGCAAGAUUUGGAUUUUAUUUACUUGAGCGGGGAUGCGAUAGCGUGGGUUGUACUAACUUGCGCUUUUAUGAUGUUGUAGAGACGAUGUCGAUUACACGCUCCCAAUCUGCCAGAGCGGAUGAUGCGGCACACCUCGAGGAGGUUGAGACCUCCGCUACUUCCGGAUCUAGCGAGGUCCGUGACUUGAGGUUCCAGCCUGCGGUCCUCACUGAUCUUGUAGCGCAGCAGGCGGCGGCUGCUCAGCGACAGGCCGAGGUAGCAUAGCGGCAGGAGGCGCGGAUGAAGCACGUAAAGAAUCUCUUACUACAGCAGGUGGUAGCUUCUAGGGAGACUCAGGUUCCCACACCACCAGCGCCCAUUGUGGACAUCGUGCCGAGGGCGCAAUCCCCCGCGCCUGGUUUUUCCCGUGUGGUGCCCGAGACCACACCUCGGGAGGAGGUGGUUGCAGCACUACGGGCUCAGAUACCUGCGGCGAGGGUAGCUUUCCCUGUGAUGGCCGAGGGAGCCGAGCGAGAUCGGCUCAUGGAUCGCCUCAACGAGUUCAGGAGAUGCAAUCCGAGGAUCGUUGACGGCGAAAAGGUCGACCACUGGAUAGUUGAGAAGUAGUUGAUGCACAUGGAGAAGCUUUUUCGAGAUACCUUCAUUAAGGAAAGGGAUAGGGUUUGGCUCGCCACACAUCACUUGGACGGCGAGGCCUACCGUUGGUGUUUGGAUAUCCAGGACAACCCCAAUACUGAUUUGGCAGCAAUUUCUUGGACUAGGUUCAAGGAGCUUCUUCUAGCGCACUACUUCCCUACCAGCGUCAAGAGGAAGAUGGAGCAGGACCUGCGCAGCUUGCGCCAGGAGGAGCGGACAGUGGCCGAGUACGAGAGGGAGUUUUCUCGGCUACUCCAUUAUGUACCUUUUGUGGUUCGGGAUGACAAGGAGGCCCGCAUUUUUUAGCCUGGAUUGCGGCCUUCGAUCUUUCGGUUGGUGCAGUCCUCCAACCUCCAAACCUACCGGGGGGUUGUGAACCGUGCACUCAUUGUGGAGGCUGGAGCGGCAGACCUUCAAGAGCGUCGCGAAGGCUUGGAGAAGGGGAAGAGCAAGAGGCCUACGGCUGAGGGUGCGAGCCAGACACACUUGCGGAGGCCGCCGAGGCACCCCAGGAGCCGGAGCCAGUCGCGGGGACGUGGCUCAUCUACUUUGCUUUUCGAGUUUCGCAGACGAAACUCCUUUUUAGGAGGGGUGAAUGUAACACACUGGACUUUCGCAAAUUGCAAGGUUCGAGUGUUUGGGUUUGCUGUUCCGAGCUUUUUCCAUACUUGGUGGAGAGUCGUAGACUGCAUUCCGACCAAAAAGUUCGAAAUCUGAAUUUCUUACGAAUCCUGAGAUUUUCACUCUCGGGGACCGGUCCCUGGUGGGAGAGACCGGUCCCCCACGGCGAAGCAACCGGUCCUCGGCUGGGGAGAUCAGUUCCCGAGAGUUGGUUUUGCGGGAGGGUCCCAAGGGACCGGUCCCAACUGGGAGAGACCGGUCCCUCUGGGCGAAAACUACCCAGUUCGAGCUGAUGCAGAGGAUGAAAAGUAGAGGGACUUUUCUAGAUUUUGUUACAAUAGAGGGCCUAUAUGGCCAUUUCACUUCUCUCUCUCCCUCAUUUCACACUCUCCCUUACAUCUUAGAGAGAGAAGGAGAUGAAGGAAAAAGAAAAAGAGUUUGUUUGAGGACUUGGAGCUUCACCCUCUUCCUCUCCCUCCCUUCCCACCUUGUUGGUGCUUGGAGGUUUGGGCUUGAAGCUUGCUAGAGAGGAGAUCUUCACUCUUGGAGCUUGGAUUGGAGCUUCUAAAGAGGUUAGUUGCUUGUUCCUCCCCUUUAGAUUUUAGGGUUUAUUUUGGAGCUUUUUAUUUGGAGGCUUUUGGGGCUAAUCUAAUGGGAUUAAAACCUUGGUUUAGGUUGCUUUGGAAGGGAUUUGACUUUCAUUUGAGUUUUGAAGAGGGAUUUCUUCACUAUAGGUGAGAUUUUGGCCCUUUUGUCUAGUUGGUUAAUGAUUGAGCUAGUAGUUGUUCGUUUACGGCNAGGUGUGCUAAUGCAAAAGGAAAGCUACUACUCUACCAAUAAUCCUCACUGGUCGGUUGCGAUGCCCUUGCCACGGUCCUCGUCUGGCAAACCUGUACCUAGCCCUGGAAAUAGAGUGGGGUGAGAACUAUCUUCCAUAGUUUCCAGUGGGCUCGGCCACCGACUCCGCCGAUCUCCCCACUAGGUCCAAGUGGGCACAAGUAACAACGAGAUAGAUAGAUAUAUAUAUCAAAGCUGUAAAGACAUAAUAGGAAAACUAUGCUACUAUGCCCAUAAUCAUGUGAAAUGAAUGCAUGCAUCAUUUAGUAAAAGUUUACUAUCAUGCUAACAAGUUCGAUCCAUAUUCGAUAAGCAAUGUUUGAUGACAAUGUUAACUUUUCAUUACCCAAUAAGUGGCGAAACCCUUGGUUUGCCGACGCCUCACAUAUCCAUCCCAUUGGGUAAGGAGGCUCCAUGUGUCCCCGAACCCGGGACUGUCUACGGACAUCAACUCUGUCCUAAUCGCCCGGCACUCCGGAUCGACGAUUGUAACACACUGGACUUUCGCAAAUUGUAAGGUUCGAGUGUUUGGGUUUGGUGGUCCGAGCUUUUCUCACACUUGGUAGAGGAUCGUAGACUGCAUUCCGACCAAAAAGUUCGAAAUCUGAAUUUCUGGACAAGUCCUGAGAUUUUUACUCUCGGGGAUCGGUCCCUGGUGGGAGAGACCGGUCCCCUAUGGCGAGGCAACCAGUCCCCAGCUGGGGAGACCGGUUCCCGAGAGCUGGUUUUGCGGGAAGGUCCUGAGGGACCGGUCCCAGCUAGGAGAGACCGGUUUCUCUGGGCGAAAACUGUCCAGUUCGGGCUGAUGCAGAGGAUGAAAAGUAGAAGGACUUUUCUGGAUUUUGUUGCAAUAGAGGGCCUAUAUGGCCAUUUCACUUCUCUUUCCCUCAUUUCACACUCUCCCUUGCAUCUUAGAGAGAGAAGGAGAAGAAAGAGAAGAAGGAAGAAGAAGAAAAGCUUGUUUGAGGACUUAGAGCUUCACCCUCUUCCUCUCCCUCUCUUCCCACCUUGUUGGUGCUUGGAGGUUUGGACUUGGAGCUUGCUAGAGAGGAGAUCUUCACUCUUGGAGCUUGGAUUGGAGCUUCUAAAAAGGUUAGUUACUUGUUCCUCCCCUCUAGACCUAGUUUUGGUGGAUUUUGGAAGAUGAAACCGUAGAUUUGGAUUUUAAGAUUUAUUUUGGGGCUUUUUGUUUGGAGGCUUUUGGGGCUAAUCUAAUGGGAUUAGAACCUUGGUUUAGGUUGCUUUGGAAGGGAUUUGACUUUCAUUUGAGCUUUGGAGAGGGAUUUCUUCACUAUAGGUGAGAUUUUGGCCCUUUUGUCUAGUUGGUUAAUAAUUGAGCUAGUAGUUGUUCGUUUACUCCUUGUAGCUCACUUUUUGAUGCUUCUAGGGUGCUAGGAGCGUAGUGGACAUCUUCGUUGGAGCAAACGAAGAGUUACGCGUUGUUCGGUGGGUUUGACCUAGCCUACAAUAUAAAAAAUGCUCAUAUUUGGUGAUUUAUACUUCGUAAAGUGAAAAUUCAAACAUUUUUAUGUUAAAUGUAUUUAUUGUGAAUUUUAGAAUGCUUAACAUCCCUAUGUCAUGUACAAUGAAUUUUCGGAUCUCUAUGUAGUAGAGAAUUGUAUGUGAGGCUUAUACUAGCAUUCGGCAUUCUUAUGUUUGACUUGGGACCAUGUUUCUUACAAUGAAAAUGAGCAUUGUGUAGUGCACUUAAACCUAUGCAUGUUAGAGACAUGAGAGAUAGCUAAUGCCAUAAAGAGGCAUCGGACUAGACUAUUAUGGAAAAAUUUGGAGCUAAUGUCAUAAAGCGGCAUUGAGCUCGGGUUAUGUGUGAACCUAGUACUAUUGCCAUGAAGGGACAUAGAAUGUGGAUUGUACUUGGGUUACCAUAAGGCUUAAGUGUCACAAAGAGGCACUAAACAUAGUACGUGUUGGAACAUCACAUUGAGACUUUGAUCUAGACCGAUGGGUUACUAGUGCUACUACCAUGUUAGAGGCAUGAUGAUUGGAUAUUUGAGCUAUUGAUUACGCUUGUUUGCCAUUUGUGCUCAUUCACACAUGCUUGUGAGGGUCGCUCCCUACAAGCCGGCACUCUGGAGUUUGCCUACGCGACUUAUGUUCGCUCGUGCGGUAUCGAGAAACCUACGGGGUCGGAAGGGAUAGACUCAUUUCCAGAGUGGGAAUGCUUGAGCUACCACCGACACUUAGGCGACACAAGCUGGACUAUACUUGUGUAAGUUCCAGAUGAGAUUGAACCAUGAUAUCAACUUACAAAAGUUAAUCACUACUAGAUAGGGUAUAGUAGUUGGAUACUUGGACAUGCUUACCGCAUAGUGGUGGAUAUUGCGAUAGACUCAUAGUAUACUUGAUAGUAUUACAUUUUAGUAUGCUUGUUGCCAUCAUAGAACAUUCGAACUAUGCAUUGGGCUUAUUUCAUCUUGAUAGAAUGGUUACAUAUCAUAUAUCUUAUGGCAUAGUAGUAUUGCAUUUCAUAUAUGCUUUCAAUUCAACAGCUUAUUAUUGUCUAUUACUAUCGUUACUUACCCCUUUUCUUUGGGCCUAGUGGUGCAUUGUGCUCAGGUCAGUAAUUGCCCACUGGGAACUAUAAAUUAUAGUUCUCACACCCUCUGUUUUAUGUUCUUAUUAUAAAGCCUUCCACUCCUGGCGAGGCUAGGGACCGCGGAAAGGGUAUCGCCACGAGCUAGCUUGUGAGCGAGGGACGUUCGAUAGGUGGUCUACCUCUUCUUUGUUUUUUUUUUGGGAGAGGAUGAGAGUUGUACCUUGUAUAGAGACCACCCUUUUUGUAGUACUUUUGUGAUAAUUCUUGUACUUACUUUAUCUUUAUGUCUAGUAGUUUACUUUCCCCUUUCUCUGCUUGUUGUUAGUUGUUAGCUGUUAGUAGCUCUGAUAUCUCUAGUGACUUUAUUUCUUCUUGCUUCCAUAUCUCUUUUGUUGUAGACGCCUUAUAUGUGCAGGCAUAUGGCGGGUCUGGGCACGCACCGGGCGGGCCUAUGCCGGGUCCCGGGGCGUGACAGAUUAAUUUGGUAUCAGAGCCUAGGGUUGAGUCUUAGGGGACCUAGCAAACCUUAGGCCGGUCGGAUUAUAGGAAAUAGGCUCGUGAGAGACAAGGUCUAUUUGAUUUGUAGGCGAAAGUAUCUUGAUUGGGUAUCUUGACAACUCCGAAAGGUUGGAGUUUGACUGAAGUAUAUGGCUUCUAACUUCGCGGAGGGUUACGUUGGCGGCCGACAACGUAUCAUCGGGAGUUAGUAGUGAAGGACACUUCCUUACUUUCGCAUGAUUUGGGGUUCGGUUAUCUUGAGUAGGGUUGCGAUAGCGCGGGUUACUAACUUGCCCUUUUAUGCUUUGUAGUGACGAUGCCGAUUACACGCUCCCAAUCUGCUGGAGCGGAUGAUGCGGCACACCACGAGGAGGUCGAGACCUCCGCUACUUCCGGAUCUAGUGAGGUCCGCGACUGAGGGUGCGUGUAAUAUACCGAAAAUUCGGAAAAUAAAAUGUCGAACUUUAGUCAAAUUGACCAAAGUGCGAGGAUGGUACACUUCGGAAAGUCCGAAGGUGUUAAAANUACAUCUUCGUUGAAGCAAACGAAGAGUUACGCGUUGUUCGGUGGGUUUGACCUAGCCUACAAUAUGAAAAAUGCUCCUAUUUGGUGAUUUAUGGCUUCGUAAAGUGGAAAUUCAUGCAUAUUCAUACUAAAUGUAUUUAUUGUGAAUUUUAGAAUGAUUAACAUCCCUAUGUCAGAUACAAUAAAUUUUUGGACCUCUAUGUAGUAGAGAGUUGCAUGUGAGGCUUAUACUAGCAUUCGGCAUUCUUAUAUUUAACUUGGGAUCAUGUUUCUUACAAUGAAAAUAAGCAUUGUGUAGUGCACUUAAACCUAUGCAUGUUAGAGACAUGAGAGAUAGCUAAUGCCAUAAAGAGGCAUCGGACUAGACUAUUAUGGAAAAAUUUGGAGCUAAUGUCAUAAAGCGGCAUUGAGCUCGGGUUAUGUGUGAACCUAGUACUAUUGCCAUGAAGGGACAUAGAAUGUGGAUUGUACUUGGGUUACCAUAAAAGGCUUAAGUGUCACAAAGAGACACUAAACAUAGUAAGUGUUGGAACAUCACAUUGAGACUUUGAUCUAGACCGAUGGGUUACUAGUGCUACUACCAUGUUAGAGACAUGAUGAUUGGAUACUUGAGCUAUUGAUUACACUUGUUUGCCAUUUGUGCUCAUUCGCACAUGCUUGUGAGGAUCGCUCCCUACAAGCCGGCACUCCGGAGUUGGCCUACGCGACUUAUGUUCGCUCGUGCGGUAUCGAGAAAUCUACGGGGUUGGGAGGGAUAGACUCAUUUCCAGAGUGGGAAUGCUGGAGCUACCACCGACACUUAGGCGGCACAAGCUGGACUACACUUGUGUAGGUCCCAAAUGAGAUUGAACCGUGAUAUCAACUUACAAAGGUUAAUCACUACUAGAUAGGGUAUAGUAGUUGGAUACUUGGACAUGCUUACCGCAUAGUGGUGGAUAUUACGAUAGACUCAUAGUAUACUUGAUAGUAUUACAUCUUAGUAUGCUUGUUGCCAUCAUAGAACAUUCGAACUUUGCAUUGGGCUUAUUUCAUCUUGAUAGAAUGGUUACAUAUCAUAUAUCUUGUGGCGUAGUAGUAUUGCAUUUCAUACAUGCUUUCAAUUCAGCAACUUAUUAUUGUCUAUUACUAUCGUUACUUACCCCUUUUCUUUAGGCCUAGUGGUGCAUUGUGCUGAGGUCAGUAAUUGCCCACUGGGAACUAUAAAUUAUAGUUCUCACGCCCUCUGUUUUAUGUUCUUAUUACAGAGCCUUCCACUCCGGGCGAGGCUAGGGACCGCGGAAAGGGUAUCGCCACGAACUAGCUUAUGAGCGAGGGACGUUCGAUAGGUGGUCUACCUCUUCUUUAUUUUCUUUUUGGGAGAGGAUGAGAGUUGUACUUUGUAUAGAGACCACCCUUUUUGUAGUACUUUUGUGAUAAUUCUUGUACUUACUUUAUCUUUAUGUCUAGUAGUUUACUUUUUCCUUUCUCUACUUGUUGUUAGUUGUUAGCUGUUAGUAGCUCUGAUAUCUCUACUGACUUUAUUUCUUCUUGCUUCCAUAUCUCUUUUGUUGUAGACGCCUCAUAUGUGCAGGCAUAUGGCGGGUCUGGGCACGCACCAGGCGGGGCCUAGGCCGGGUCUCGGGGCGUGACAACAAUAAUCCUCUCCAUGUGAGAAUAUGGAUGGCUUUACCAUCCCGAAUAACAGACCGUGAGCUUGAUCUAUCCUCUCCACAUGAGGAUACCCUACGAACUGGGGCCAACAUUUCUCUCGGAACUCACCUAUUCCGACAUUCAUGCAAAGUUACUUAGCUCUACUAAGUUCAUUGUUCACGAGUCAUUUUUUAGGGAAUCCACCUAUCACUAAGUUCACGAACCUCUAGUGUCAAAAACACUACAUAAUGCGACUCGUUCUGUUCUUUAAACAUUUAUAUGCCACUCUCUAUGUCACUAAAUAACCAUCGAGUUCAUCUCUUUCUUUUAGCACUAUAGGAUCCAUGUUCCGACCCAAUCCUUACCUAUCCAUUUUACCAAGUAUUCCAUGUACACUAGGUUAACAUUUAGAAGCAUAAGGAAAAGGUACUACAAUGCAAUCCUACAAUACCACAUGCAAGAGAUGAAAAUCAUAUAUUUCUAAGACAUAGAAAAGAGCUCGGUUGCUUCGGGAUGAAACCCCCCACCUUUUGAGGGUACGAAGGUUCUAGAAACGCUUCCCAACGAACGUUACGACGAUGUCUCGGCCUCCUUGGUCCAAAACGAUGCUCAAUCGGCUAUAUUUCGCCGAUAGCUUUUCACCCGCUCGACUAACCGAAAAUCCGACUUCGCCCCCGCGUUUAGACACCUAUCAAUUAGGUUUACAAGCCACUAAAGGAGAUCAAUCUCAUGUAUUUCCAAAAACCCCUAUUUGGGUGCCCUAGGGUUCACAUCUUGCAAUUAGCACUAUAGAACCCUAGCUUCUAGCCCUAUUCCACCAUUAAUGGUGCUAGAGGUCUAUUUGACCUCAUCUCAAAAGCCAAAAACCCAAAAACACUAAGUUCUACCAUUAGGGCUCAAGAGCUUACCUCUAGGUUAGCCCGAAUAGAGAGGGGAGGAAAAGGAGAAGAUGCUCCAAGCCUUCCCUAGCUUGCUCUCCUUCUUCUUCUUCUUCUCCUUCCUUUCUCCUUCUUCUUCUCCUUCUUUUCUUCUCUUUCUUUUCUUCUAGAGAGAGAGGAGAGAGAGAUGAGAGUUGGGAAGGAAAUGAGAGAGGGAGGGAGAGCCCUUUGCUCUCUAUACUCUCUAACUAAGGGAUAAUUGCAGCCAAGGCCCUCAACUUUUCAUUUCUCAAACUGCUCUGCCUGGGCAGUUUUCGCGCGGAGGGACCGGUCCUUCCCUGCCAGGGACCGGUCCCUGAGGACCUUCCAAAAUUCACGCGUACGGGAACCGGUCCUUGCCCGAGAGACCGGUCCCUAGAAGACCGGUCCUUGCCUGAGAGACCGGUUCCCGAGAGUGGAAAUUCUCAGGACUUAGCCAAAUUUUUGCUGUCUCGCUGGUUUCACUUACGGGGACCGGUCCCUCAGGCCUGGGACCGGUUGCAUCAAGGAUCCACCGCAACCACCAGCUACGGGGACCGGUCCUUCCUGCUAGGGACCGGUCCCCGAGAGCAAACUCUGUCCAGUGCAGACUUUUGCAUUAUUUGCUCUCGCGGACUCAACUCCAAAGCACUUUUUGUGUUUUGGACAUCUCUAGCUUCUCCAAAGCCUACUCACUCGACAAUUAGUCGAUCCUGAACGAAGUAUAACUCUCGGAUUUCGAGAAUUCACUUCCUUACACAGGCCUUCAUAUGUAGGUACAACUCCAACAUCUAGAUACAAAUACAGCAAAUCAAAUAGCAAUUUCGAGCAUGCCAGUGGUUUGCAUUUGUACUUGGGGUGAAAAAUACAAGCAACAAAACACCCCGUCCCCUUCUAGAGAAAUUAAAAUUCGGAGGAAGAUAGGAUUAGAGGGGUAAAUAUCCAACGAUAUUGCAAAAUUAACCAUCGAGAAUAGGAAAGAGAAAACAAUGAUAAAGGAACCAAAUUUAAACAAGGCGACGAAUCCCGAUGCUAGUAACUAGGCACAAGAAGAGAAAACAACAAGCCUGAUAAUAAAAGUGAGAGAUGAAAGAAACAUAUAAAUAGUAACAUGAAGAGGGUGACAUCCACGAACAAAAGAGUAUAUGGUUGAUAAAUUUGGCGUGUCACACCUAAUAAAAGAGGCAGGUUAAUAAAUUCGACCUAAUUGUUAGUAUAGUUGUACUGAAUGUCACACAUCUUUGAGACAAAUCUUUGAUGUUGGUUUUGGAGGAAAAGUAUUUAAUUAUGUGGAAAAUAAGUAAUAGGAGUCUAUAAUAGAUAAGAAAAAAGAGUCUUAAUCAUAUAAAAUAAUACAACCGUGAUUGGAUUUCAAUUGUCCCCCAUGAUUACAAUGAAGGAGAAGAACUCCUUUUAUAGCCUUCAAUUGUGAGAAUUCUAGAUCUAAAUUUUCAGAAUUUACAAUUAAUAGCUUUAGAAGUUUCUUAUUCAAUUUGUAACUCUAAAAAUUGCUAACUCCACAUGACAAUUUACUUCUUGAGAAACUCUCGAGAUUCGAUUUCAAAACCACGCAAUUAGGAUCCCUCAUGUUCUUUAAAAUUAAAGGGAAAAAUAAGAUUCAAUCUUUACCUUUACGCGGAUAAAUCUUCAUCUCAACUUGAUGAUCGUGAAAUUAGGUUCUCUUGAAACCGCACACGCGUCCGCCCUCUAUAGGUAUCCACACGAGGUUGGUGAUUUGAUCGAUAUCCUCACCGAAGUGCUAGCUCCUUCACAAAGGACGUCCUUCUUGCUAGAAGAUGGAAGAGAGAGGAGAAGAGAAAUGACGGAUAGGAUUUUUUAAAAACUCUCGUAAGUUAUAUAUAAGGAUAUAUAUCCUUUUUCUUAAUAAUAUAAUGGCCAUUAAAGAAAAGUACAAAUCUAGAUUUAAAUUCAUUCUUUCCUUAAUUGAUUAGAUCAAUCAAAUCCUAAUUUGAUUCGAUUUGAACUUUAUCUUAAUUUGAUCAUAUCAAAUUAAUAAUGCAAUAUUUGCACAUAAGUCCUCUCAUAAUUUACUAACUAUUAGUAAGUCCUCUCUUGUAACAUUUACACUUUAAUACCACUUAGUUGUAAUAAUUAUAAAUUAGUCUAAUUAUCAACAUAUUGACAAUUAAGUCCUCCGACGAUUCAAAAAUCGCGAUCUAACUAUCCGAUCAGUCACAAUAUCUUAUGUGUGUGACCCUAUAGGUUCUAUUCUAUCGGGUAGUGAAAUAUAUUUUGAUCAUUAUCAACAAUAUCACUGAAACUCCUUUCAAUGAAUCGGAACAAUUCCAACUCAGUCCAAUAAGAAUUAUCAAUCAUCUAGAUAAUUCUCAUGAAUCUCACUAUCCACCAGUGAUGCCUAGCUGUUGGCAUUCCAGUAGAAUGGAAUACUGAACCUCUCGGUGCAGUUACCGUGUCAUACAAUCCUUCCAUCAUGUGUCUCAACUAGACGGAGGUCAUAGAAUAACUCGUCAAACCCCAUCAUCUGUCAUAUAUCAAAUUUAUUCGACUCAAGUUUUUAAUAUUGGAAACAUUUUUUCGCUAUUAACUCUGCUCUGGCCAAGGUCUUCUAAACUCGAUCUCAUAAAUCACAUAGAACUAACGCCCCUAUCUAUCAAGGGAGAAAGAUUCCAUAUAAGUGCACACCCUAUCCUACAAUGAACUUACUGCAGCCAACAUGCACCGCAAGGACCCGAAUGGUUAGGGACCAAGUGUACAUACACAGUCAAACUACAGUAACCUCAUUGUGAAUAGCCGAGGCACCGCAGGUCAAAGGACUAAUCACACUACUACAACAUUGAGUAAGUCACUGACGAAUAAGUAGACAUCCAAGUGACUUCUCGCGUUAGUCAUGCUCGGUACCCUUGUUCUUCGACAACUACCUGCAUAUUCGCUUCAGUGUCCCUACACUGUCGACUCAAUACUCGUCCAUCCAAAAAGGUAAGCUACCUAUGCACCAAUCUCACCGGAUCAAUCGGAAGCAUUUAGGAAUUAACCACCAAUAACACGUCUCACAUUCUCAACUUUUGAGAAUAUAUGUCAUCAUCUUAUUAAUUCCGUAGACGAUUCAUGGACACAUACACAACAUGAAUGAAAAUAAGAAUCUAAUUUAUUCAUAAUAUUUUAAAGUCAAAUACAAAUUUAUGUCCUAAAAAGAAUACAUGUGUCGGCCCGGCACUAUAACAAUAUAGGUGUACACCAGCAGCCAAAACUGUUGAAAAAGAUUAUAAAAACUACUGGUAAUAUUUGCUCUAGCAGUUCUAAAAGUGCUGAUAAAAGUAUAAAUGACCGUUACUAUAUCCUUGCUGGUAUUACCCUUUCCCAGCACUUUUAUUAACUAUUGGAGAAGAUAUCUCUAGCAACAUUUUAUAAACCGUCGGUACUUCUACAAAAAAACCACUGGCAUAAAAUAUAUGUAGCGACAAUUUUUGACCGUUGGUAAUUUAAAACUAAUAUGAAAAAAAAAACUAAUAUCAACAAAUUACAAUAGGUCUUUUUCAUUUGAUAUUUGAUGGAAAAUUAACUAUUUGUAAUAUCCAAAAAAAUGAGAGUUAUAUUACUAAAUUGAAAUAGAGAAGUCUAUAACAAAAUAGUACAAAUGUUUGCAACAAAACUACAAGAUGGUAAAAUCAUAAUAUGUAGCAAUGACAAAAUACAACGAAACAAUUUUUUAUAUUAAUAGAAAUCAAUGCAAAAGAAAAUUUAUUUGAACUCGAAAUGUUAGAAAGCUAAGAAAAUGGAGAGUGAGCUCCAGCUGAACGUUCUUGAAAUGCAGAACAUCAAAUCCCGCUUGUUGCUUCAAUCUGAAACAAAAGAAAUUGAAACAAAUAAGCUAUACAAACAUCGAAAAAUAUAAGCUCCAUCGUAAGUAACAUAUAGCAAAAAAUGGAAGCAUCGAAAAUUGAAUUUCAUCUAUUAAAGGACCUGCUACUCAACAAGCUUGCUACUAUAGAAGAAUUUAGGAAUAAACAAACUAUAGAAGUUGAUGGCUUAAGACUCUUUGCAAAUCUGAGUAUUUACAACAUUUGUUAAAACAUUCGUCAACCAAAUAUGCAAUGAAUGGAAAAACUGGUACUGCUAUGUACUUUUUAUAACUAGAGGUUUCAAACUUUACAAACAGUAAAAAAAAAAACAUAAUAAUAAUCCUUAAUUUUACAAUCAUUCAAAUGUGGCAAAUAGGGAAGUCCUCCCAAGAAAAAUCCUACUCCAAAGAAGCACAAAUGUGGCAAAUAGGGAAGGAUGAGACUUUUACAAAUACUGAAAAUAAAAGCUAUCCCAUUCAAAAAGAAGCGCAAAUGUAGCAAACAGGGCAGGGUGAGAAAAAAAGAAUGAACGACACGAAAUGUAGUGAAUGAAAAGCUGGUUAUUGUUUUAACUGGAAAACCUGCCUAGACUUGAAGAAUACUGGCAAGAAGAGCUUGACCUUCUCCAAACGAAAUGGAACUGAUUUCUCAAGGAAUGAAGAGAUAUGGAAAAAGUCUCAGCACAGCUUUGCGUCAAAGGCUACUACCUGAGGUGUAUGAGGAAAGAAUGAUACAGGAUUAUCGAAAUUUUUAUGACCUUCCAAUAGGGCUUCAAUUUAGAAGCCAGCGUCACACCAUGGAGAAGCUUUCCCUGAAUGUAGACAAACCUCACGAAAGUGUAGGACUGAUAGGAGAGAAUUAUUCUAUUAAUAUGGUGGAUCAGUUUCUGCUGUUGCCCCUACGAUGAUUAGAAUGUAUAUGAAAAGUGUCUAAAUUUUACAUUGUUAUAGGUAACUCUACGCCUAGUUGGGACACAAAUGUUAAUGAUGUAAAAGUAGUAUAGUAAGCAAGGCUACUAGAAGAGUUGGUGACAAAAACUGUAGAAACCAAGUACAUGCAUAAAAUUCUUCUUUGAAAGAGUAAUCUGUAGAAGGAAUGAGCUAGUUAUGCAACAGUUAGGCAAAUGAGGAUUUUGUGAAGGUGAGGUGUCUCUACAAAAGGGAGAUUUCAACUGAUCUGAGAACUCAUUAGUGAGACAGCAUAAGAUGGUGAGGGCUAAUACAGUAUUAACUAUUUGACUAGUUCUCGGUCAAGAGUUUCAGACUAUAGAAGCAUUCAGUGCCAAUUUGCAUUGAAUAAACUUAUUAUACGACACAGCAUGCUGAGCACAAGCAUAUCUCUAUAUCGAUACAUGAACAGUUGGUGGUUUCAAUUCUAAAAAAUAAAGAGCUAGAUUACAUAUUUCUACAAUACAUUCAAUGCCAAUUUGCAUUUACCUCCCAGGACUGGCCUAUUAAGGCAGUAACAUGUAAGUCUAUCAAGAAUUUACUUAAAUUAAAAACAUCAGCUUCUUCUCGUUGCUCACAAAUAUGAAGCAUUUGACUACUCCGACUUGCAAUAUUAUUGUUUAACAAAAGAUUAAUGAUGGAGGGAUAAACAAAAGCCUUUUCAACUAUUUAGAGUUCAUCAACACACACACUGUUUGUUUCUAAGCGAACAUUUAAUUUAAAAAGCACAGGUUUAACAAAUCAAUUAAAAAGCAUAGGUUUAAGAAAGGCAGAGCAUGUAUUUGACCCAUUUUGAUCCAAAAAAAUUAUUUGAUUUGCUUAUAUUUAAAAUUAUAAAAAAUUCAAUGCAUUAUAAUGAUAACUCUUGCGGUAAAAUAACAUACCUUCUAUGAUUAUUUUAGAUGAUUUUCAUAUCCACAUUUAGUCUGUCCAAAACUUUUUCCUAUACAAUGAAAAAAAAUAUAUUAUGUUUAAUCAACAUGAGAAAUAGAUUAAAACAAAGAUAGCAAUGAAUAUAACUAAUAAAACUCAUACGAAGGCGACGUCGCUUGCGAUGUUGGGCAGUUUCAGUAGCUUGAAAUCCUUGCUGCUCCAAUGCACUUGCACCUUUACCAUCUCUGCUAUUAUCUGCAAUACAAAUUUGAUUAUUAUUAUUAAUCUAACACCUCAAUAUGAAUCAAUCACAAACAAAUCAACUAAAUUAUAAUCUCAAAUUGAUAAUACCUGAUGCACUUGAUCUCUCCAAAAUUAUCUCAAUAUUAAUAAGGGAGAGCUCUUCGGAAUUUUAAGUUAAUUAAACAAGAUGGGUUGAGCAUGAUGGGCUGGAUUAACUACUUUAGUCAAAUUAAAGAGGAAAGGAAGUAAAACUCAAAAAUGUUGUAUACAUAAUAAGCAAAAAGCUACAAAAGGAAUGUAAGUCUGAAGCAUGCAUCUCCUAUACUAGAAAAAGCGUGUCCAUAUGGCUCCUAUGCAUAUACGAGCCUGUGUGCAAAAGGCCUUCGCAUACAGACAAAUAUGUUUAGUUAGUUAGAGCUAAUCUAAGAAACACUAGAUAAUAUUUUCAUUAAAAUCUCUUCCAGGCCCUCAGCAUAAUGCCGCUGCAGCAUGCAUAAACAAAAGUUUUAUAAUCUGUAUUGAAGGUGAUAAUUUUAUGACUCCACAAAUAAUGGGCGACAGUCCAAACACAUCGUGCCGUAUAAAGUUGGCGAAGCAAAUCGAGCGCAUUAUAUAAAGUAUAACAGAUAAAUAAAUAAUAAUAAUAAUAAUAAUGAAACUUUACAGCUAACAGAUAAUCGCACUAGCAGAGAAUGUAUGAAUGAGUCGUAAACUCAUUAAUUGAUCUGGAUCAGUUGGUUUUAGACGCUACACAAACUCGAGGAUAAGACGGGGUGGCAUGAAAGUUCACUGAAGCACUUGCAGAUUCACCAGAUAGGUAGGAUAUAAAGCAGAUAGAGGCUACUGUGGAGAUCCUAAUACGUCAAUUAAUUCAUGAUAGUAUGCAAUACCAAUAGGAGCUCACAUGAGUAUAUAAAGUAGAAACAUAUGAAAUUGAUCACAAAUAUGAAAUUUGAUAUUUGUCAAUUAAUUCACAAAUAUGAAAUUUGAUAUGAAAUUGAUCACAAACAUGAGUAUAUCAUAAUUUGAUAUGAAAUUUGAUAUUAGUCAAUUAAUUCACAAACAUGAGUAUAUCAUAAAGUAGAUUCAUAUGAAAUUGAUCACAAAUAUGAAAUUUGAUACUAAUACGUCAAUUAAUUCAUGUUAUAAAUAAAUACAAGUUAGAUAUGAAAUUUGAGGCCAUCAGUAUAUAAAGUAGAAACAUAUAUGCGGAUGCAAGAAUUAGAUAAAUUUAUCAAAACCAAUUAUCAAAGUGAACCAAAAAAACAAUAUGAUCGAUGCAACAAUAUAAUUCAUCAGGAGAUUAAUUAGUUCCGCAUAUAAGCACCAGAAGAUUAAUUAAGUCACGAGUAGAUUCUUGAUCAAUUAAAACUAGUUAAUGACAUUUGUUUCAGAUUAUCUGUUCUCCAUUUAUUACUUUAAGAUAAAGUUACGUUGUCCCUCUAUAAUCAUAGGUUUAGUUUUUCUUCUAUAUUUAGCCUUGGACUAUAGAAGAAACAAGCAAAGAUAGAUCUAUCUAUCUAUCUAUCUAUCUACAUCCAUAUUUUGACUAAUAAGGAACUCUCAGGAUCUUUCUAAACACUAAUAAAAGGAGGAAUCUCAUCUACACUGCCAAACUAAGGUUUUUACAUCCAUUAAGUCAAAAUCUUUAUACAAGAACAGUAAAGUAACUUCAAUAACUAAAUAAUACAGUCGAAUAGUGGGCAAUGGUAGAAUUGAUCACAAAUCAAUAUGUACCAGGAAAGAGACAAGGAAAUAAGGUUGGAAUUACUCAGCAGAGGUCAAAAUGGAUUUGUGAGAACAAGAAUUUAAAUGACAUGAAAGUAUUUUACUCCAACUAAAAAUUAUUCAUGUAUAAGGUAAAAUUAUCCUACUGCAACUCAAAAUUUAUUCAUCUAUAAAGUACAAAGUUCAACACUCGCCGCUUACCAGGUCAACAGGAAAUCAAUAUGUUACUUAACAAAAGAUCUAACAUCUAUAACAACCAUAAGACUUCAAUCAACACUGAUUCAACAGGUUACAGAAAUCAGGAAGCUAGAACUUUGAUCAUCAUUACCUAGGAAGACAUCUAAAAGAAAAUAAGAAGUCAAAUUUUGAUCUCUCAAAAAAAUAAGUCAAAUUUUGGACAAAUUAAAUAUUUGAUCAGCAACUAAAACCAUCUAGUAGAGGGACCACAGGUUCUUCCAAAAACUUAUAAAACAUCUUAUCUAAAACCCUAUUCUCAACCUCUAAAUUGCUUUGAGUACCACCCUUCGCACAAACUCGCCCUCUAGCUACAAUCAGAAAUGUUUUGCACUAUUAGUUGAUAGUGUCCGAUGAAGCGAGUAGCAUGGUAUUUAAACAAUUACAUUAUAAGAUAAUAAGAUCCGUGUUUAUCGGCUCAGCUAUCGAAAUUUGCGCUAAAUAUUUCCGAGGAUGGCAAGCUGAAUGGGCCCUGGAAGUUGAUUGCAUCAGAUUUCAGAACGCCCGAGACAUUAAAAUCUACAUAGGAAAUUAGCUGGCGUUCUCCUAAAACCUAGCAAAAAACUACCGACAUUGUCAAAAUAUUGGAUAAUAUCUCCCACAAAUCGCUAUAUGAGGAGAUAGGGUUUUAUGUUUGGAGCGUAUACAUCUCAUUAAAAGCAUUGCUAGCUAUAUGAGAAGCAAACAAAUUAAAAGCAGCUGAAUUAAAAACAAGGUAUGAAUACGUACUUACCAAAUUAAUUGCAUUGAUUAACUUGCUUAAGCAAAUAAGGUUGCGGUGUUUUUUUUCUUUUUUUUUUCUUUCCUACUGCAUAAAAUCGCAUGAAAAUAUAUAUAGGGUUAAAAAAUAAAAGGAAGAAAGAAAAGUCUUACUAGAACACUCUUUAAUCGGCAUCUCAUUGGUAGUGAUAACUCUAAUCUCUCUCUAAUGUUAAUAAUAACAACUCUUAACUAUAAAUUUCCUUGUAGCUAUUAUUAAGUUUCAGAAGUUAGAAACAGAAGCAAGCGAAAAAAAAAAAAGAAAUCAACUUCAAAUAAUUUAAAACCCCCUUAACUAUAGUACAUUUUGAAAUUGAUCCUCUUUAAUAGCAGAUACUCUUUAAAGGAGUUGAAAAUAAUACAUGUCUGGCCCUUCAAAUCAACCUACAAAUAGCAUAAAAAUAUAUAGAUCACAUCUAAAUUUGACAAAAUACAUCUAUAUAAAACACAACAUUAAAAAUAAAAAUGCAAUUGAUACACUAAAUUCAACAACAACAAAUCAAUCUAAGCAUGGUUAAUGUAGAAAUUUAACAAAAUCUAUUCCAGAUUUGGAUAUAAUUAUACCAACAAACAAAAUAAUUUACACAAUUUAAACACUACACAGUAAUUAAAAAGACUAAACAUAGCAGAUUCUAGUUAUUAUCAUGCUAAAUUUCUAACCCCGGAAAAAUUUUAAAAAAAAUUAGCAAACAAAGAAAAUGCUAUAUAUAUAUAAUAACUCUCUAUCCAAACAAAGCUAACUGCAAAGAAAUUAAACUCUAUUAUCGUCCUAAUCCAAGGCUCCUUGUAACUCCCUGACACAUUUUCGUUGCAUGCUUAUAUAUGUUUUCUUGUUCACACCCAAUAAAUACAACCUAAAUCUACCAGCAAUCGCCAAAAAAAAAAAAAAAAAAAAAAAAAAAAAAAAAAAAAAACCGAGGUGAGAGGGAGCCAGAAGGUGUGGGAGUUGCGAGAGAACUGGAUUUUGCUAAUAUACAAUAAAACAAUAAAAUGCCUUCAUAAAAAAUCAAAUCACAAGGAAUCAACUUCAAAUAAUUGAAAAAAAUGUGAAAUAUUGUGAUUGGGAAACUCACGCUAUAGAAUCAGCUGAAAUUGGUGAAACCCUUUCUUACAGAACUGGAUUGAGGUCGAUUUAGCACCAAAUAGCCCAAAAUUUUUGGGUAAAUCGUUCGAAGAAGACCAAUCUCUGUGUAGAUCCGAAAAUCCCAAUCUCUCGAAGCUCGCAGUGGAGAAGCUCCGAUUUGAGGGAGAGAGACUUGAAGCUCGCGGUGGAGAAGCUCGCGAUGGAGAAGCUCCGAUUUGAGAAGCUCGCGGUGGAGAGAGAUCGAGAGAGAGAUCGAGCUCGAAGCUCUCAGUGCGUGGAGAAGCUCCGAUUUGAAAAGAGAGAGAGAGAGAGAGAGAGAGAGAGAGAGAGAGAGAGAGAUGGAGAGCUCAGAUCUAAUUAAUUAGUAUCUUCAUAUGGAGGUCCAUGGCUUUUCAAAUCCAAUAUUGGCCCAAUUGUUGGCCCAAUUGAUAAAAUAAGCUAAUAAAAUGAGGCCCAAUAUUAUUUGUGCAAUUAAAAAUUAUUACCACUAUACCAGCGAUUUACUAAAUGUUACAGAAAAAAUAAAAAAUACUGGUAUAAUAUAGUUUUAGCAGCAGUUAGCUUAACUGCUGGCUAAAAAACUGCUGGAACAAUCCUUAUUUGUUAUAGUGUGGUUGGCUUCUUGGGCGUACAUCUAACAAUCUUCCACUUGCACUAAAGCCAAUCAGCCAUAUAUUUAAGCCCCUUCUUCUCAAGGUGGACAUCAGUCUUCUGUUAGCUAAGUGGUUUAGUCAAUGGGUCUCCCGCGUUAUCCGUUGAGUCUACUCUCUGCAUCUCAAUGUAUUUCUUGUCGAGGUAAUCGCAUAUAAUAUGAAACGCCGCUCUAUAUGUUUGGACUUCUGAUGAGAUAUGGGCUCCGUAGCUAGGGCUAUGGGGCAAUUGUUGUCGUAAUAGAGUGGUAUGGCAUCGGAUGGCAUCACACCUAGUUCCGCGACAAAUUUUUUGAUCAGAAGGCUCUUUGCAGCUUUAGAUGCGACGAUAUACUCUGCUUCCAUAGUAGAGUCAGCAAUAAUUGGUUGUUUGUGUUAUGAAUUUUGUAUUGGCAAAUUUCGUGAUUUGAGUCAGAGUCUUGAAGGGUUCGGUUCGUGAUUGUCAAAAAUUGAAGAAUCCGAGAUUCCGAGAACUCAAAAACAUCUCAACGUAUGAAUCACGAUACUCAGGUAAGUUUUUUAAAUGUCUUUAUGGUGAUUCAUAUCUAUUUAUGACGUUAGAAUCAUAUAAACUAAUGAUACAUGGAUUAGAAGUGAUUUUUAAAACUUUUAAAUUGAAUGUAAUAAUAUUUUUAAUUGAGUACCAGUACCAGGUUCCAGUUCCUCAAAAUCGAAUUGAAAAAUCUGAGUUUUUAUAUUGUGUACUGAUACCCCACAUUUGGUUCCACAAAAUCCGAGAGCAACAAUACUGGAAUUGUAUUGUCUACCGGUACCAAGCCUUAGUACCGGUACUGCAUCGGCCGAGUACCGGUACUCGGCAGUAGGAAAUUUUCGUUUCAUCAUGGUGUACCGGUACCCACAUCCGAGUACCGGUACUCAAUAUAAAAUUUUCUAAUAUACUUUCUAAUCCGACUUUAAUUGAUUCUAAAGUCUAUAAAUAAGAUAUUAGAGUUCUCUAUUACGAAGAAGUAUAGAGAAUACAUGAAAGAGUAACCUUAGAGGCUAGGUUUUUCGUCCUAAAUCAUUUUCCACAAAAUAGCCUUGUUUAGGUCAAUUCGAGAUAUUGCAAUUCAAUAUUUAUAUGUCGAAUUGAUCUAAGUUUUUCGAGAUAUUGCAAUUCAAUAUUUAUAUGUCGAAUUGAUCUAAGUUUUUCUUGGAGAUUUUUCUCUGGUUCUUCAACUACUUUCUAAGCAAAGGAUCACCAUAGAAACAUGAAUUUACUCUUCAUGUGCGGCGUCGUGGAUUCGGCAUGAUCAAGGCGAUUCGUGGAUUCAGAUCGUGGGCUCGUCGAGGAUUCGAGUGGCGUUCGUUGAUUCGGACGUGAGGCGUGGCGUUCGUGGAUUUGAACAUGGCCGUGAACAAUCCGGUGACGUGCGCGAGAUUCGUAAGAGGUUAAAAAAAAGUUAAGUCCGUGGAGUCGGUAAUCACCUUAUAAUCUUUUUCUCUUAGUGGAUUAUUUUUUAGGUAAAUUGCAUUGUUACCCCCUGAACUUUUGGCGAAGUUUCACUUUAUCCCUCGAACUUCUAAAAUGGACAUCUAAUCCCUUAAACUCUAAUAUUUCGUUCAUGUUACCCCUUCCGUCAGUUUUCCGUCAAGCUCCGUUAACCGGAAACUGACGGAAGGGGUAAAACGAAUGAAAUACUAGAGUUUAGGGUGUUAGAUGUCUAUUUUAGGAGUCUGGGGGAUUAAGUGAAACUCGCCAAAAGUUCAGGGGGUAACAAUACAAUUUAUCCAAAUUUUUACUAUAAAUUAUUUUUAUAUUUUUAUAUUAAAAAUUUCUAAUUGGCUGAAAUGAAGUACAAAAAUUUUAUUUAAGUGUAUUUUAUAGAACAAUGCUUCUAAAGAUAAAAGGGACAAACGAGUACUACAGAAAAUUAACUGAGAAUUAAAAUCUCUAUAUCCGAGUGAGAACACCUAUUGUAAAUCAACCAUAUUAGCGAGUACACCAGGAUAGUAGAGUGUUUGAGCAUCGUAGGUAGUUAGUAUCGCUCUUUUUUUAUCUUUAAGCCACUCUAAUUCAUUUCUUUCACUUUUAUUUUAUUACAAUAAAAUGUAGGAUAAAUUAUGGUAUGAUUUAUUUUAGGAUAAAAAUAUAUAUAAAUUCAAAAUCAAGUAUGAUCACUAACUUGAGGAUUAGUAGUCAAUCCAUAAGUAACAUAUUAUAAUAAAAUAAUUUAUAGUCAAGAGUUCCCUACAUAGUAAAUUGCACUACUACCUCCUGAACUUUUGGCGAGUUUCACUUAACCCCCCAAACUCUUAAAAUAGACAUCUAACACCCUAAACUCUAAUAUUUCAUUCGUUUCACCCCUUUCGUCAGUUUCCGGUUAACGGAGCUUGACGGAAAAAUGACGGAAGGGGUAAUAUGAAUGAAAUAUUAGAGUUUAGGGGGUUAGAUGUCCAUUUUAGGAGUUCGAGGGAUAAAAUGAAACUUCGCCAAAAGUUCGGGGGGUAACAGUGCAAUUUACCCAUUAUUUUUUCGCGUGUUGGUCUCACGGGUUUUUCUCUAAAUUGGAGUUUUCCCACGUAAAUCUCGGUGUACUAUUUUAUUUUCCGCAUUUAUUUUUUAUUGCAUUGAGAUUUGCGAAUUUGGGCUAUACACCUAUUCACCCCCCUCUAAGUAUUUGAUAGUAUCUAGAUAGAUUCUAGGGUUUCCAUAACCUACAAAUGGUAUCAGAGCGGGAUCUAGAAUUUUCUAUCACUAUGGCUGAAGGUGGUAACAUUAAUUUUCUUCCAAGUCUUUUUCUAAAAGUAUAGGGGUUGCACUCAAAUCUACAAAGGAGGAAGACGUGGACUCGGAUUACGACGACGAUAUUUCGCUUGCCGACUUCGAACACCAAUUGGCACUUCUCACGAAGAAAUUUGAUCGGAACUUCCGAAAAAACAAAGCCAACAGAGCCUCAUCUUCAAAACAAAAAUCUUUUUUUAAAGGAUCUUCAAGCUCAAAAUCAAAAGACAAAAAACUAGCAAAACCUUCUAAAGAAAAAGAUGAUUUUGAAGGAAAAAUCCAAUGUUACAAAUGCAAAGGCUACGGCCAUAUUUCUACGGAUUGUCAUACUAAGAAAUUGUACAAAAAGAAGACUUUGCAAGCUAAAACAUAGGAUGAUUCUACUUCUAGUGAAUCGAUCUCAAGUGAUGAAGAAAAAAAAUGAUGCUAUUGCUUUAUUUACAAAUACUUCUUUACCUUCGUCAUCCGUUGUUUGUUUAUCCUCUAUUGUACCUGACUCCGCUUCUUUGGUUUUGCAUGAAUCAUCGAGCGAUGGUAAUGAAAGCAACGAGAAGUCGGACGAGUAAGAUCUCGCAGAGGCAUAUCAACAACUUCUUAUUGAGUCUAAGAAAAUAGCUAAGCACAACAAGAAGUUGAGGAAGCGAUUAUUCGAACUUGAGGAUGAAAACAAAACCAUGAAAACCGUGACUAAAGCUCUUGAGGAGAAAAGGGAACACAUGUUGAAGAAUAUUACAAUCCUCCAAGAAAAGCUAGAUCAAUCGGAGAUAACGAUCAAAUCCUAUCAAAAAAAGGUUGGUUUUCUAGAACAACAGCAUGAAGAAAUUCAUGCAUCCAACCAAAUCUUGACCAACCAAGUUCAUCAACUCAAAUCCGACAUUCACAAGUUUUCCUCCGGAUUAAAGAAGUUAGACCAUAUGCUCGGAUUGGGUCAAACGAAUAAACUUGGGCUUGGAUAAGAGCGGACAUAUGUUGAGAAAGAUCAAAAUUCAAAACUUAAAGUCUCAACAACUUUGAAGAAAAAAGUUUGCCAUAAAUGUGGACAUAAAUGUCACAUCAAGAAGACAUGCUCUAGAAAAGAAAAGAAACAUCAACCGGCUUCAUUUUCUAAGCAUUUAUCAGCAUUUUCCAAUACUCGGCAAUCUUCACGGAUUCAAAAGCAACAUCAAUCGAGUUGAGUACCUCGAAUCAACUGGAAGUCAAAGCCACAACAAAUAGUUCACACAAAACCAAAUGCAACGUGGAGACCGAAGGUUGAUGAGAAGCCAAAACAAGCGGCAACUAACAAAUCAAGACAACCAACAAUCCGACAAGUUUGGGUUUGGAAAGGUGAUAUCUUUCCUUGUCUUAAGUCUUAAUUUGUUUUGAUUUUUUGUGUAGUGCUUUGGUUAGUGCUCAUUGCAUAUUUUUUAAUCAUUGCAUAUUUUUUAAUCAUUGCAUUACAUGUUUGGAUGUUUUUUUUGCUUGGAAUUUAUUUUGGAAUCUUUUCGAGAAAGGUGAUAUUUUUUAAUCAUUGCAUUGGAAAAUUAGAACUUGGAAAGUGCCUUGAACAUCUCAAAUUCUCAUUCAUUCAUUUCGAGUUAAGUUCAUUUUAAUUAUCGAUUUUACUCCACUUUUAUUAUCUUUGAAGAUAAUUUAUUAUAGGAGUUUUUAAUACUUAUAUUCAUCAAAUUUAUGUAAUCAUGUUUGAUCUCUUGGCAAUUAAACUAUCUCGGUUGUGAGUGUUGAAUAUGAUGAAUGGUUAUUUACUAACGGACUAAAAUUUGUCAAAUUUUCUUUCAAUUGCGGGAUUGCUUAUGUAAGGAUGUGAAUCCUCGAAAUCCAAGGAUUUGACUUCGGUUCAGAAUCGACUAGUUGUCGAGUGCGUAGGCUUCGGAAAGUCCGAAAGUGAUUAUAAUGCAUAAAGUGCAUUAAAGAAGCGUCCGCGGGAGCACCAGUGCAAAACCUGCACUGGAGCAGAAUUGCUCUCGGGGACCGGUCCCUGGCAGGGAGGGACCGGUUCCAUCAGGCUGGGCUGCGGGGGUCUCUGAUGAGACCGGUCCCUGGUGGUGAGGGACCGGUUCCCGAACGUUGGCCCAGCGAAAAUAGCCGAAAUUUGGCUAAGUCCCGAAAACUCAGCUUUCGGGAACCGGUCUCUCGGACAAGGACCGGUCUCCCGGGGACCGGUCUCUCAGGUAAGGACCGGUUCCCGAACGCAAAAUCCCCUCUGCUCGAAAUGGCAGCCUUCGGGGACCGGUCUCCCCGAGCUGGGACCGGUCCCUCACUGCGAAAAUGGCCCAGAGAGGGCUGAUUCAAAGGGUGAAAAGUUGAGGGGGCUAUUUGCAAAAUGGCCUUUAAUAGGGCUUGGGGACCCCUCUCUCUCCCUCAGUUGUUCUCUCUCCCUCUCUCUUACUCUUUCCCUCUCUCUCUCAAGAAAGAAAAGAAGGAGAAGAAGAAGGAGAAGAAAGAAAGGAAGGAAAAGAAGAAGAAGUGGAAGGAGAAGUCCAAGAAGAAGAAGAAGAAGGUCUUCUUCCCUCUCUCCUUCAAGCUAGGGCAAGCUUGGAGCUUGGCUUAGAGGUAAACUCCAAACCCAUCCAUGGUAGAUUUCUUAGGAUUGGGUUUUGUUGCUUAGAAUUGGUUCAAAUGGAACCUAGAGAAGAUAAGUAGAUGGUUCGGGCUCGCAAUCGAAGCUCGCACCACGGAUUUCUCCCUCGUUGCCAUUCUAGGGCACGGAUUUGGGAUUUUGGGAAAUCUAGGGUUUUGAUCUAUCUUAAUAGGUCGUAAACCAAAUUGCUAGGUCUCGGAACGCGUCGGCGAAGACGGUUUGCCGAUCCGACGAGCGAGUGCGGAGUUAUCGCCGAAUCGGGUACUCGAGGGCUCGCUUCGCCCCGAGGAGUUGAAGCGACGUGCAAAGACCGCAACGUCGAGUUUUCUACCAUCGCGGCAUCGCCAAGAGGUGGGUGGUGUCCAUCCCGAAGCAAUCGGGCUCCCUUCUAUGUCUUAGUACAUGUCGAUUCUUGCAUCUUGUAUUAUUGCAUUAUAGGAUGAUUGUGCAUUGCCUUUCCUUAUGCUUUCCUUGAUGAUAUCGUAGCAUGUAUUGGAUACUUGACAUAGUGGAUUGAUAAGGAUUGGGUCGAGACUUGUGAAUCCUAUAGUGCAGAGAAAGAGAUGGGCUCAAUGGUUGGUCUAAUGUUAAACAAAGAACGAGUGGCAUCUAGUCGAUAGUAAACAAUGGACGAGUGGCAAUUUAGUUGAUAGUAAGCAAAAGAACAAAUGACACAUAUGAGUCGUAGUGUAUGUGAAACCUAUGGACUAUAUGAUGAUUGUAACCCUAGAGGAUAGGGUAUUCUCGAGACGAGGAUUGGAUCAUGCUCACGGUCUUUUUUUAAAUCUUGUGAUGGAAGCCCCACACAAGUAGUGCGCUCCGGAGUUGGUCACGUGGGAUUGCCUAUUUUGGGUCCCAAGGGAUUGCCUAUUUUAGGCCCCGGCAGACGGUCUCGGUUCGUAGUGCGAGUUGACCCUCCCUACCUUCGAGAUGGCUAGUGAGCAGUAGGCUCCUUCAGGGAAGCCACGAGAUUAAGGAACAAGUGAAUAAGGUUGAUGAACAGGUACAUAGCUUUACCUUUGACAUGACGACAGGUUCGUUGCUUACCAUUUCAUUGAGCAUGCAUUCAUAUAUCUAUGAUUGGGCAUAGUAGCGUAACUUUACUUUCCUGUCUUUACCGCUUUCCUUAUCUAUCUAUCUAUCGGUUUAUCUACUUUUGCCCGCUUGGACCUAGUGGGGAGAUCGGCGGAGUCGGCGGCCGAACCCACUGGGAACUAAGGAAGUUAGUUCUCACCCCCAUUUUACUACAGGUUCGAGUUCGGGUGUCCCCGGUGAGCGUGAGGAUCGUGGUAAGGGCCCGGCGCUCUAGUCGCAUUAGCUAUCUUCCUUUUGCAUUAGCCGUCACCCCUUUUGGUAUUGAGAGUAGAUGUUGUAUAGGGUGAGGUUGAGUGAUUGUAUUUGUAUUUUGGAAGAUGUAAAAGAUGUAAUUAAAUGUAUUAAGUCAAAUGAAUGUAAUAGAUAGCCUCUUCUCUCUUUAUGUACUUGUAUAUGUUUUUAUACUUAUAUCUUGCUCUCAGCUGUUUAGCACUGUUCGUGCUCUCCUCGUUGCAGCUAUCGAUUGUGUAUGUAUUCAAGUUAUUUUCCUGGAAACUUGUUGUACACAAUCUCGUUGUUAGCCUUGGGCGGACAGGGAAGGUGCUGUCCGUUCGGCGUCUGUUCGACGCGCCCGGGCCGGACCAAAUUGGUAGCGGUCUCGGGGCGUGACAGCUUAGUUUAGGGAGAGUUUGUAUUUGUAACGUAUCGAAACCUCAAUAGUGAUUAUCGAACUUUAACCAAAUUGGUUAAAGUGCCUAGAGAAAUGAUUGGACGAGUUCCAUUUUGCAUUCCAACAAGUUUGGAAGGGCAAAAAUGAGUUAAAGAGGGGUUAGAAUGAUUUUGGCAUCGAACGACGCGAAGUAAAGUCGAGUCGAAACCAAAACAGCAUUCUGGAGUAUUGUGUACCGGUACACCAUGGUGGUUGUACCGGUACAGCAAGCGACCCGAGCACAAGCUGCUCUCGGGUUGGCCUCUACGCAGCCUUGUACCGGUACAGGAGCCCGUGUACCGGUACACCUUGGCUCGGUCAGCAGGGAUUGAUCUGCUGCAAAAUAGAAAGUUGUGGGGCCUAGUUGCAAUUGUAGCAACCUAUAAUGACCCAAAAUCCCCCUCUCUUCACAGGAAACACCCCAAACACCCAUUCCCCUCAUUUCUCUCUUUCUCUCUCUAGAAAUCUCCUCCAAGAGCAAGGCGAAGAAGAAGGAGAAGGGCUUUUUGAAGGAGUUUUGGAGGCUUGAGGGUUUGGGAUCUCUCCAACAAGAAGGAUCUUGGAGAGCUUUGGGCCAAGGUAUGGUUUUCAUGAAAACCUAGGCUAGGGUUUGGAUUUCUCCCAAGAAAACUUAGGUUUUGGAACUUCUUCUAUGAUUAGAGCACCUCGUGAGACUUGAGCUCCAUGAAAAUCCAUGGAAGCCCCAGGUCCUCUCAUGGUGAACUUCUAGGGUUCAUCUUGAAUGCCCUAGAAAUGGCUUAGUUGGCCUUAGAUGAGCACCUAGAAGCUUGACAAGCUCUCUUUUGCUUGUACAAAGGAUCAAAACCUAGGGUAUAGCAUUUGGUGACAUUAGGGCACCAAAUUUGGGGCUUUUGCCCCCGAUCGUUUCUGAGGCAAAUUGAUUUCUUAGAAACCUAAUUGGGGGUAUUCCCGAUGCGUGGGACAACUCCGUUUGACGUUACGAAAAGCCUAAGUAUGAGAUCUAGCGUAUAGGGCCUAAAUUGGCACUAUUUUGGGUAUAGGUUGCGGAAGAAGAGUCCGAAAAUUCCAAGAAACAAACCGUAACCUUCUUGCAACCAUCUAAGGUGGGUGGUGCAUACCGAAGACCUCGAACUUCCUUUUAUGUCUAAAGUGUCAUAUUUGAGCAUGCAUAUGAAUUGAACAUAUUGCAUAGUAGGGUUACUUGUGAGCAUGUAUUUGAAUGAUAGGAGCAUGAAAUGCACGAGUAAUGAUAGUAUAAGAACAAGGUAUUGUUUAACCCUAUGUAUGCAUGGCAUUGGAAAAGAACUCUUGAACUUAGAAAACAAAUGUAACAUGUGGACAUGAAUGUAGAUAGUGACAUGGACUAGUUUGGGUACUAGAAAACGAGUGUGGCAUCAGUAAAUGACAAUAAUGCUAGAGUUGGACACUUAGAGAACAAGUGUGGCAUCAAUGUGAAUACAAGAACAAAGUAGUGUAUAUGACACUAGUAUAGUAAAGAAUGCAAGUAAUUAGAGAUAGCGAUAUUAUGACAUAACAUCCUUAGAGUUAAGGGUCAUAUGUGCAUUAGUACCUUAUAGUUAAGGAAUGGAUUGGACUUGACAUCCUUAUAGAUAAGGAUGGGAUCAUACUCACCUGUAAGUCCUUGCUCGAGGGUGGUAGCUCCCCCUCAGGCGAUGUGCUCCGGAGUUGUCAUCACUGGGUCGUAGCGAGUAUCUCCCCAGAGGACGAUCCCGUCGAGUUGUAGCGGGUAUCUCCCCGAUAUUAGGGAUUUGGUUGGUGAGUCGUUGAGGGCGAAACCUACGGGUUAGCCAAGAGAUUGGGUAAUGAGAUUGUGACCUUGCAUUCAACAUGAGCAUACUAUUGAGCAUUGCAUUUAUUAUUGUUCAGGCAUAUUAGCUGCAUUUGUAUAGUUUGGUUAUUUUUCUAUAUCUCUUUCCUUCUAUUAUGCCUGAUUUAGACCUAGUGGGAAAGUCGGCGUGGUUGGUUGCCGAACCCACUGGGAACUUUGUUGUAGUUCUCACACCCCAUUUUCCACAGAGCCCGGACCGAGCGAGCCGGCGGACGAUCGCGGUAAGGGCAUCACGCCCUAGUUAGAGACCUCCCGAGUGGUUAUCAUUUUGUAGUCGCAUACCCUCUACUUAUACAUCAUCUUUUGUAUUUGCUGAUUAUAGAUGUUAAAGGAAAACAGAACAUGAAUGUUGUUAAAGACUUUAUAUUUAAAUGCAAGUACUUACAUUUGAGAUCAUGUGAUGUAAAAGAAAAGAAAUGAUGCAAAAAUUGUAAAUUAUUUUCUAAGCAUAGUUUACUUCUUUCACUAUUGGCUAUUGCUUGCCCUCGUGCAAGCCACUGUGUAUACUUCCGCUUAUGCAAACUUUAUAUUUUAUCAGUACCUGUUGUUGAGCCUUGGGCGGACAGGGGAGGCUUUGUCCAUUCGGCGUCUGUUCGACGCUCUCGAACCGGCCAAAAGGAUCGGGCUCGGGACGUGACAGUAUUAUUUUAAAAAAAAUAUAUGAAAAUUUUGUUACAAAGAAAAAAAAAACUAAUAGAAUUGAAAGAUGUGAAAAGAGUUACAUCCUAGAAAGAGUGUGAAAACUACCACCCCAGUCGUCCGGUAAGUGUGUGAAGCUAUCACAUGGAUAUCUAAUGCAUAACCGAAAAGGUUGAAAAAUUGUGCAUAUUUUAAAUUUUUCGAAGUUAUAAGGUGGUAUAGUCAAAAGAUGCUCAAAGAACCACCCCCGGUGCUUUAUUUGCUGAAUCUCAAAUUUGAACGUUUUUGUGACAAAUUGGUGUCAAUUUUAGUGAAUCUCUAUAAGUCAUUUUUCAUGAUCCAUUACAUCUUGAUAGUCUUUGAGCCGUUAGAUUAUUUUUGAUGACUUAAUUUUGAGGUUUAUAUGAAUUAAGAUAUCAUGUAAUAUUUUAUAUUCAUCAUGACAAUUUUGGAGUACAAUUCUUAAUUUUUGUGAGAUUAGCUUGAAUUGCAUGAAUUAGAUGUGAAAAUCGAUUUUUAAUGCAUUGAGUACCGAUACUAGGUAUUGGGUACCGGUAUGUGCAAUCUCUGCACAGUGCGCACAGUUCGCAGAUCUUCGAGUCGCUACCGCGCUCUCCACAGCGGACGGCUGUGCUCCAGAUUGUGAGCAUGGCCUCUGGCACGUCGAGGCCUGUCAGCAUGUGUCUCAGCCAGCCUCGAAAGCUCUCGGUUUGCACUGUCGAGCCAUAAAAUCUCGAAAAUCACAUAAAAUAAUGUGAUUUUAUGUGAUGGUAGGGACUUUUAUGCAAUUUUACGCUUCAUGGGUGUUGUGGGCUGUAUGAGUAGACUGCGGGUGAUCUUUGGACUGAUUGUCCAAGGUCUAAUGCUUUCGCGAAAAUCGGAUAUCGAUUUUCGGUGCGUUUUUCGGCGAAAGUUGCUGACGAAACGCGGUUUCGGUUCGGAUUUCUUCCAACAAUGCCUUAGUGUAAUAUACUUUGUCGCUGAGCCUUAUUGGCUGGUUAUUUACGUCGUUUCAAGGGUUCAGAGACGACGAGUGAGCGACGGUGGGUUCCAGUGUCGAAAUUGACACUUUCGGAAAUCCGGAUUGGAACGGUUAUCCGACGAUAAUUGUUUCGAUGCGAGUUUGGAUUUGCUGCCAGGACACCUUUAUUAUGGUGUUUUGUGGCAGCGGAUGACUCAUGUCACGAGUCAGUGAGUUUCGGAACACUUCGUGGGUCCCGACGAAGUCCCGGUGCGAUUUUCGGAACUUCCGGUGAGUUACGGUGAUCGGUUUUAGGAAACCGAUUCCCGUGGGAUUAAUUGUGGGGUUGUGAGCUUAGUUAUCCUUAUAUGUGGGUUAGAUACUAACCCGGUGGACCCUCCGUAGGUCUGGUUGACGUUCUUCCAUAGUCGGGAGACAGGCACUACAUUCGUACAGGUGGGUACUUCAAUCCGAAGUCGGUACAGACGUACAGUGGUGCACGCUCGGUGACAUUCUCUCCACUCUCUCUUUACUAUUACCUUGCAUAUCAUGUGAUGAGCCUAGCACCCCUUUCUAUUUCUUAUCAUUGCUCUACUUGGUUAGUUUGCAUAUCCGGUAUCAUGAUUUAGAGGUAGAGCGGAUUUUCAGUUGUACUUGAGAUCUGUGACCUAUUCGGUCGGUUCAGUGGUUCUGGUAUUGUGACCUAUUUGGUCGGUUCAGUUACUUGAUGACCUACACGGUCGAUAUACCCUGAAGGGUAGGAUUGUCGACUAGUUGCCGACGAUUGGCUAUUGAGAAUAUCAGCAUCGAUUAUCACUACUCGUUCGCAUUUCACGAACACCAGCGGUCUGAUCCACCGCAAAGGAGUAUUCUUUUUCGAAAAAGUGGUUGGAAGUGCCAACCAGUAAGCCAAGAGGCCCAGUCUGGAUUAUACGCAGGUAGAGUAGCAGUGGCACAGGCUUGAGGUCUGUGGACCGACAUGGCAGGUUUCUGAUUGGGUAUCUUUGGAACUAAUCGUCCGGUUGAUGCAUGCAUACAUUAGCGGUAGUGGUAUAUGCAUAUCCUAUUUUCCUUAUUCAUUAUUGCUACUGUAUUAUCAUGGUAUACACUUUUAGUUAUCCUCCUUGACUGGUGAGUACCCCUCGCCCUCGUCGGCUUGCGGUAUCUGCUGAGAGGGGAGACAUAUGUACAUGUUCUCACCCCCCACCAUUUUUCAGGUGACAUUGCUGGUCCGAGUCGGGACGGAGUGUGAAGCGCGUGGUUAGGGGUCGUUAGAGUGUUCCGACCCGUUGACUUACGGAUUAAUUUCUAAUCUGUUUUCUCGUAAUAAGUACUUAGAUAUUCUAUGGUUCAGUUGCUUUUAUUUUAGUUGGAUAUACAUGAUUUUGUGAAGUUAAAUAACGUACUUGUGGUUUUUAUGUGAGAUUAUGAAAAUAAUUUUUUACCUCUCGUGGUAGCUUGUUUUUUAAAAAAAAAGUUUCCGUGUGGAAAACGGUUUUAAAAAGGCUUUUACGAUUUUUAUGAUUUUUAGUAUUUUAAAAUGAGUUUCCGGGUGGGAAACAUUUUAAACUAAUAAAUGCGGAUAUAUGAUGAAAAUAUGGUAAACUUGUGAUUGAAUGAAUAUGAAUUGGUUGAUGUGAUGUGGUGAUUGUAUAUGGAUGUUUAUACACUGUGGUUGUAUCUUGUACUUGCACGACGCCAUGCAAAUAUAGGGGAGACUUUGUCCGUGUGAACAGUGGAUUUCCUGUAUUUGUGGCGACCCUGACAUACCCUAGGGUCAAGGCUUUCAAAAAAAAAAAAAAAAAAAAAAAAAGACACUUCCGCAUCAAUUUUAAAACUUCUAAGGGACCCCGGGGCGUGACAAUAUGCAUGUUCUUAAGCAGUUCUGACGCAAUAGGAAUUGUGUGCGUUCAAAAUGAAAGCAUGAGUCUAGUACACUAAACAAUUUAGUGGAAGUUAUGAGAACUAUAUAAAUUUGAAGAUUAUUUAUGAAAAAUUUUAUCUCUAAUUAGAUUAAAAAAUAAUUAAAUAUCCAUAAAUUAUAAUGAGAUGAUAUUCUAAGUAGAUUAGAUUUAAAUAUGAAUAUUUAAUUAUAAUUGGUUGAUGGGAUCCAAUCAAAUUCAGCAAAAAGAGGGAGAUAAAGAUAAAAUAAAAAGGCACAUUAUAGAUAAGUAUAAUAGUUUGAUAUUUAUCCUAGGAGUUAAUUAAUUGGAUGUCAAUCCAUUCAGUUACACCGACUCCAGAGGCCUAUAAGUAGGGACGUGCGGGUCGUGCGGCUUAAUGAAUUUGCCGCAUGAAAAUAACAUGCAAUGUCAUAAUCAAAAUGUCUAACAAACACUGCUAAGGGUUAACAACAGAAAUUGAGUGGUGCAAAUGGAGCUAACAAUCAAAUGUCAUGAUCUGGAAUGUUGUAUGAAAGCACAUUGAGGCAAUAACAACAGUCAUUGUUUUCCAUUCGAUUGAGACGAUAGGCUUAAGUCAGAUACUGCUAUUCUGAUUCUCAAAGUUCAACUAAUUAUACUCAUUUGUUUAAGCAAACUCCACAAAGUGGCUGGCACUCAAGAACUUGUUCAUAAUGAUAAGAAACGAUAAAUAAGCUCAUUGCGUUAAAAAGGAAAGACAGUACCAACACUACAGCGCAUUUUGAUGUAAAUACCUGAACUUUUAACUUUCUGAUUUAGUUGCCUAAUUCUUCACUACUUCUGAUUUGAGAAAAUUCUGUCAAUAACUCAAUGACAAUUAGAGAAAAACCAAUUUGUCAGAAAAGUUAUUGGAAGUCCCAUUAAGUAAUAGAAUAUUAUUCCACUAAUUGCAGAUUAUUUCGUGCAAAGGGUUAAAAAUACUAUGAACUUCUAAAGUUAGGCAGUAAAAACAAUCCUUUUUUAAGUUUAGGUAGACAUUUCAAAAUGCACUAAUGUUCAAGUAAGCUAAAUAAAUUUUUGCCUUCUAUAUAAAAUGAUUGAAUGAUAAAUAUACACCAAGUGACAGAAUAAAAAAAAUAUGGUGUCAAAUAACACGUCAAAAUUUUAUGCUCUCCAUGAUGCAUUUUAAUAUCUACAAGAUUUCCAAAGAUAAUGAUGAACUACUUAAAACAUCUAAAAUGCAAUGCCCACAUUGAAUAUGAGCUCUAACUACAAAUUGCUCACUUUUUGGAUAUAUUUUGUGUAAAAAUGCUAUAUAACCAUUUAUAAACAUCAUCGAGCCAACUUUAUUGUUGGGUCUACCAAAACAAUUGUACAUGUAAGUUCUGAUAGAAGAAGCUAAUAACAUCUCAAUGUAGAUUAUUACAUAUGAUUAUUGUUAGCAGAAGAGUAGUAAAUUAGAACAACAAGAAUAAACUUAUUAAAUGAUGGGAAUAAUGCUCUCAUUGUUCCAUUAAAAUGUUUACAUUGAGAUUUCGAUGUAAGUGUCUAUUUACCUCAUCAGUCAUCAAGAUCCUAGAUUCAGUUUAUUUAGGUGAUUUUAAAAUGAUCCUUUUGGCUAAAGAGGUCAAUGUCAGCCUGGUAAUCUCAAUAUGGUAAAUUCAAGAUUGUUUGAAUUUAGAUUCCGCAUUAUGAAGGAGUUGUCAUUUGAUUUCCAAUCAUCAAUUCCAACAAGAUACAAAAUAAGAGAGUCUGAUAAAAGUUUACUAUGUCCAUUGAGUACAGUGAGGUGAACUUUCUCGAAGAUGUUACAAACGCCAAAAGAAAAAGUGAGGAAGACGAGAGAGAGAUCCUCUUAAGAAAAUCUGCUCACUUUCAGACCUUACGAACACAUGAUUAAAUCACUUGAACCAACAACUAGACUAAAUGAAGACUUCUUAUUAAGGUCAUCUUUAAGGGUCUGUUUGGCUGUCAAUACAAGUUAUCCAAUUAUAACAUAUGCGCUAUGUAAAAUUUUGUUUCUAACUGCUAGCUAGGAGUUUGAUUUUCGCUUGAAACUGCCAGCUAGGAGUUUGAUUUUCAUUUGUAACUUGUGCGCUAUGUAAAAUUUCGUUUGUAACUGACAGCUAGGAGUUUGAUUUUCAUUUGUAACUUGUGCGCUAUUUAAAAUUUCAUUUGUAAUUGCCAGCUAGGAGUUUGAUUUUCACUGUUUGAAAGGUUUCAGAUCCUACGAUUUGUUAGAAGAGUGUAAUUCUCCCAAGAAGUAAUUUAUCUUAUUCCAAGAAAAGGACUUGGAGGCUGAAUAUAGUAUGAAUUUCUAGAUAUUUGACCAUACUCCUUAUUUACCAAGUACUACAAGCUUCUUGAGUAAAUAAAAGAGAUGUGUUGAACACAAUGCUCACACAUCAAAACAGGCCCAUAACUAAAUGCUAUCGCCACAUCUAACAUAGGAGCUAAGAAAAGUGCAACUUAUGAAGCUCUUGAUGAGUGGAUGUUUGGUAGCACAGAUAUUUAACGAUCCGCCACCUCCCAAAUUUUAAGGCCCCUUUCUCCAAAAUGGCUUCUCUAUUACGAAAGUUAGGAUUGUUACCCCCGCCAUCAACNCCCACCCCAAAAAAAAGGAGCAGAAGAAAAAGAACAGUUCUUAAUGUUUUGUCUCACUAUACCAAUCUAAAAAGUAAACAAAAAAUUUACGGCAAGUUUUGAUGGUUGAACAUCUUAUUUGGCGCAUCUCUUUUUUUACCGAGGGGCCUUCCAACAAUUGCUAGAUUGGGGCUACCAAUGAAUGCCUGACAACAGCAUAGUAUAUGUAACAUCUAAAUAAUUUUCUAAUUUCUAGGAAUAAGAUAAAUCACUUAUAGGUAAAAUGCAUUAUCUUGAAAAAAAUCAUGAGUGCCAGAAGCUUCCAAUGGACUAAAAUGAACUUCUAGAAUGCAAUCACAAAAAGAAAAUCUAUAUAGCACAUAAGUUACCAUGGGAUAACUUGUCCUAACAUCCAAACAACCCCUUCAUGUUGUUCAGAGAUGGUCACCAGUGGGCCGGUCGACUUUCUGGGUAUCACCAUCUUUAUCCCAAAGAAAACAAUUUUCUUUUUAUGUAUGGCUGUAUGCCCAGAUUAAAUUGCAGAUCAUCUGUUGACCAUCUAUUGUUAUAUCCUCCCACUCAUCAUGAUUGCACAAAUAAGAUUUUCAAUUUGAACACAAGUAACCACCUACUGCACUGUUGGAAAAAGCAAUACAUAAAACUCUUGACCAAACAUCUGUACAGAGUAGUCAUAUGGUCCGAGCCACUUCUUCCGACUUGCAAAUUAUUCACAAAUAUAUGAAUAACUGAUCGAAAAGCCAUACAAAACUAUCUACAACCUACGAAUUGGUCGAUCAAGGUAAUCCAAGUAUUUUAUACCCUAAACCGUAAAUGAUGAACGAUAGAUUGACUACAUAAGAACACUGUAUUUUUGUACUUUUUUUAAUUUUUUGUUAAAUUCUCCAAAACUUUGCCAGACUCCAAACUUUUGAACCCUGCUGCUGAAUUUAACCCGACCGCCAAACUUGUGACCGCAAUUUUCGUCGUACUGCGCAAUUCGUGAAUAUUUUUAUGCCAGAAAUUGCAUGCUAUUGUACAGAUAUUAUUACCUGAUGAUUAAUUCCAAAUAAUAAUAACAAUAAUAAUAAUAAUAAUAAUAAUUAGCAAGAGAGCAAAUGACAAGAGACGAUGAAUAGGUUUCGUUGAUGGUUGGGAAUAGUUACAGGAGGGUGAUGAGAAUGAAGAGGAGGAGGGCGGCGACGAGGGAGUACUUGAGGGCGGCGAGGAGGAUGGCGACGGAGAUGAGGAAGAGUUGGGCGAGCACCUGGACACUGGCCCACGUCAGCAGGCCCGCCAAUCCGACGGCCACGAUGUUCUCGGGAUCCGGGUUCAGGAGGUCGCGCCACCUCAGCUCGAACUGCUGCUGCUGCGGCGGCGGCGGCGGCGGCGGCUCACCCCGGCGAUCCCCCUUCAGUUGAUCGCCGCCGCCGGCAUUGCCCCCCGCGAACACCGCGAGCCCUAAUCGGGGCCUAGGGUUUCUCCGGAACGGGAGAGCGAGGAGAAGGGGAAAGGAGGUUAAAUUGGUCCUCUUCCAACCGGAGAUGAGAGGAGGGAUUCGCCGGUGAGCGAUUGCGGGGACUGACCCCAUCAACAGGCGGACGGAAAGCUCCUCAAUCCAGACACACCCGAAUAUGGACGGUGACUGUGAGUAUUCCACAAUCUGUACGCGGACUUUUUUCGAAAAUAACCCUAUGAAAUUUCGUAAUUGGCAAAAUAACCCUGUAAAACUUUUAUUUGUGAAACUAACCCUCCUCUCGCCACCUCAACCACCACAUCAGCAUUUCUCAUAAAGACGGUGACUCGUUCACCGUCUUUAGGUCNCCAACCUCUUGAAGACGGUGAAUGGUUCACCGUCUUCUCUAGGCGUGCUCGAGGCACCCCCUUCCCAGCAAUUCCCCCCGCCUUCUAAGUAAUUCCCCGCGUAGCCUAAGGUGCCCCAAGAAAACGGUGACUCGUUUACCGCCUUAUAAAAGCGGUGAAUCGCUUGCCGUCUUAUCGAGGCCACCGCCCUCUCAGCAAUUCCCUGCGUGGCGCAAGGCCUUCUCAGCAAUUCCCCGCGUGGCGCUAGAUGCCUACGGAAGACGGUCACUCGUUUACCGCCUUAUAUAGCCGCUGAUAAGGCGGUUAUUCAUUUACCGCCUUAUCUAUGCCGCCUUAGUGUAGAACUCCACCCAGCCUAAUUUCGCUGAGUGCUCUAGAGGGGACUAAAACACAGAUAAGACGGUGAGUUGUUCACCGUCUCAUCCGGGCUCCACUAAACACGGUUAACACCGUCUCCUAGAUAAGACGGUGAACUGUCUACCAUCUUCAUGACGCGGUGAACGAUUCACCGUCUUAUGAAGACGGUGAACCGUUCACCGUCUUCAUUAGGUUACCCCACCCCAGACCAAGCCAGAUACCUCUCCCUUCCUUUUCCCACUCACGCUUUCUCUCUCUAUCUCUCUGUCUCUCUCCACGAGCCGCCCGUCGUCGCCGCUACCCGUGCCGAGGUCGCCGCCCCCUGUCGGCACAGCCCGUGCCGAGGUCGCGCCCCCUGUCGCCGACAUCGCCGCCCGUGCCAAAGUCGCCGCCCGUGCCAAAGUCACAGCCCCCUGUUGCAGCCGCCCGUCCCAAGGUCGCCGCCCCUGCCGAGGUCGCUGCCCAUCCCUCUCUCGGGUGCAUACUCUAGUGUAGGUUUAAUGUAAAUGUAGUUGGUUUAGUUGUAAAUGGGCUUGAUCAUAGAUGACAAUCCCACUUUGAAUGACACAAAUGCACAAAUGCCCCUCAAUGCUGUCUUGUUGAGUUUCUUUGCAACAUAUGUCACAAACAUUUGAGACGACUUUAUUAGACACAAUAAAGACGAAAAAGAAACAGAUAGGAGGUCACCAGCACCUUUUCUUUGCUCUAAUCUCCUUUCGGUCGGCCUCUGAUGUUACGCCCCGAGCCCGACUAUUUGGUCGGUUUCGGACAUGCCAACAGAUCGCCGAACGGACAGGGUUUUUCCUGUACUGCGGACAGAGUCUCCCCUGUACGUUCAAGGCAUAGCAAUCAAUACAAGUACAAUGAGUUCCAACCAGGAACUGUAUUCAAGCAAGAUUGCAGAAGAAGAUAUCAACAACAUAACACAUCCUAUGUUAUUACAAGCAUUCACAUUAGAUUCAUUUUACAUCUCAAUUACAUAUUACAAUUAACCUCCAAAUACAAUCAUGCUUUUAUUACAAAUUAUUGCAACUAAGUUCUUAUUCCAUUCAUUAUCUUGCAACCCUAAGUAAAGCCGACUCAGGGUACCGCUAUCUCUGGUCUCGGUGGUAGGGCACUAACUAUGGUGCUACGCCCUCGCCUCGCGCCGCCGCGCCUCUCACGUGUGAACCUGUAACACCCCAAAAUCACGUGGAGUGAGAACCAACUCUAUGGUUCCCAGUAGGUACGGCCACCCAAGAGAAAAGCUCGACCAAUAGGUCCAAGGGAGGCAACUGCAAGUUAGUUCAAUAAACAGAUAGAUAUAUAUCUUUAUUAUGCAACUAAUAAAAUCAUACUUUGCCUCACGAAUGCAAUAAUGCCAUGCUAUAUGCGAAUCAUGCAACUAUACAAGUAGAAUAAAUGAUUUUACUUUCUAUCAUGCUAUCCAUAGCUUUUUCAUAAUUUAUACAUCUUGUCACUUUACAUCAUUGGUUAUUUGCUCCUAAGGUUUUCCUCUACCUUAGCCAAGCUAACCACCCGACUCGGUCUCGAGUCAAUCAUCUGCGGAAUACCGCAUACAUCCAAGCUCAUAAUGCAUACUUUCACACAUUCACUUUGGCCUUUACCCAAUCUUUCCGGGGUUCAUCAAGUUCGCCCCAAGCUCACAUCUCACAUGUCCCAUCUACCGGGAUUAGCAUUAGGAAAUGCCCCCGAGGGAUCCAUCCCGUCUACCGGGGAAGGCACAAGGCACUGUCACCCGAGGGAUCUUCGCCGGGCACUCUCACCCGUGGUGUCUAUACUCCGGAGUACACCGCCUGUAGAGGAGCGACCUCGCACAAGCCGGAACCGAUACAUGUGAGUACGAUCCCAUCCUCAAUUUGAGGAGGUAUAGCCAACCUGUUCCAUAUCUCUAUGCCUCAAUGCCAAUGAUAGGUUUUUACCUAAUCAUGCAUAUACCGCUAAUACCAAGCCACAAUGUCACUUUGGGUUAAACUUUGUUUAACUACUUUCUUUAACACUAGGUUCAUGUCCAACCUAUGUUCUUUAACGCUAGAUUAAAUGCCACGCAUGAUUCCAACCUAUGUUCUUUAACACUAGGUUCAAUGCCACUUGAUGUCCAACCUAUGUAUAUUCACACUAGGUUCAUAUGUCCUUCAUGUCCGACCUAGGUUUACUAACACUAGGUUCAUAUCAUUCAUAUUCAACCUAUGUUCAAGACACUAGGUUUAAUGCCACUCGAUCUAAUGUAUAUAGAUUGUCCAAAUGCACAUUAUACUAGUUUUCCAAUAUCGAGUUCUCUAAUCAAUCUAGAGUUAUCGACCCCAAGUAUAAUAUGUAAAUGUCAACUAAUAUAAUCCUCUAUAUGUCAACAUGCAUAUAUACCACUAGCAUCACAUGAUAUGUCCUUUACUUAGCAUUCUUAUUUUAGCAUCCCUAAAACAUGCUUAUCAUACAUGGACUUAGUGUUUUUAUCAUGUCAUCAUCUAUAUUCUUAGCAUUAACCACAUGCUUGCAUUUAUUAUUUUUAUAUCAUGCUUAUCAUACCAUUACUUAGCAUUAUUCACAUGCAUGCUUAUCAUAUAUACUUUAGCAUUAAUCAAUGCAUUCAUCUAGCACUAUUUACAUGGAUCAACAUGAAUUCACUUUACUUAGACAUACAGGCGACCUAGUCGCUUCAGCAAGCACAACCCACCUCAUUUCGCAUUCCGAUUGCUUGUCGACACUUGCAAUCGGCCUCCCGCGGCACCCGUAACCCGGUUUGGCCCGCUCUCUUGCGCGACCACCCGAACGGCCUCCAAUUCACGAUCCGAAAAUUAAAAGUCUUCGGUUAUGUGCCACGGUGCUUCAAAUCCGUUUUCACGAUUUUACGAUGUCGCCUCGGCCCUCCAGGCGAAAACGAAGCCUAAACGUCUGUUUCUUUAAUAACUUCGCAACGGCUCGACGAAUCGCCGAACCGUCAUCGCCCACGCAUUCGUUUACCUAGCAUUUAGGUUUACAGAGGGUCAAAUGAGAUCAAACCCUCAUGUUUACCAAAUUAACAUUUUUGAGCCCUACAUUACAACUAGAUAAAAAUCCACCAUUAGAGCCUUGGUUUCAAGCAUCAAACCUCUAAUUAGCAUGCUAGAAUACCUCUAAAUUCAUUCUUAGAGCUUAAAAACCAAACUAGAGAGAAAUGCCAUUAAAGGGUUUGAAGCUUACCUUCAAAGCUUAGUCUAAUGGAGAGGAAGAAGAUGAAGAAGAUGAAUAUCAACUUCCAAGCUUGCCUCUCCACCAAAACCUUCAAUUUUGGGAGAGAUCUAGAGAGAGAAAAGGAGCUUUCUCUCUUUCCCUUUCCUUGCGUGUGUGUGUGUGUGUCGUGUGCGUGUGUGGUGUGCGGCCCAAGGAGAAGAAGAAGCAUCAGCUUCUUUAUAAUACCCCUCAAACAUUAUUCACUCCAGACAGCUUAAAAUCUAAUAACUUUCGCCGGAGCUCUCUGAAUGUCCGUUUGAGCUCAAACUUGACAGUCAUGCUCGAUUUUACGUAAUGAGCAAGAAUAUAUUUUAAUUUUUCAGUUUCGACCCCAUUUGGUCACCGAAAACUGUACCGAACUGUAAUCUUUAUCAGAUAGUUGUCGGAUUUUAUUUCUCACUCUACGGGUGUCAGAAAAAUAUGAAACUUUAAAUCUAGCCUCAUAAAAAUAUUUCUGACUUAUCCUCCAAUUUUCAUAAUUUUCUGAGACUGUGCAUUUUCUGCUAAUUUAUCUGUCCCGUUUCCAACAGAAAAUUCUAGAUCUUCUGUUUUCAUUCCGAUUUCAGCACAAGUCACUUCUGACUUAUGUUUUACUUCUAUAAAUCUAAUAAAAAUAGUUUCUCAUACUAUUUUUAUUUAUUCUUAUUUUUACACCAAAAUCUGGUAUGUUACAUCUGAAGUGUCCAGGUUGUAAGAUAUGGAUCCCGAGGAUCUAAAAGGUAAGUAACACCUAGAGGGGGGGUGAAUAGGUGUAAUCCGGCAAACUCGAAAAAUCUCGAUGCAAACAAACACAAUUGCGGAAAAUAAAAUAACACACCGAGAAUUUAACGUGGGAAAACUCCAAUUCGGAGUGAAAAACCCACGGGACCGAUCACGCAAAGAAAAUCCACUAAGAAAACUUGAGUACAAGUGAUUUCGACCAAAAACACACGACUCAAUUUACCAAUUUCUCGUUGACGGUGAUCUUUGCCGGUCCUCGAUCGAUAGGAAUCCACCAAUCGACCUUGCUGCUACUCCUUGCAGCGUCAACGCCUCAACUCCUCGAAGCGUCCACCGAAUCCUCGGCUUCGCGCGAGAUCCACGCGCCGAACCUCCUUCCGGAGCUUGUAGAAUUGAAGAUUUGCGGUGAUUUAACUUUUGAAAACCAUAAGCUAUGAGGAUUCACCUUUAAUCAAACAUCUACUUGAUUCUCGUAAGAAGUAUCGAGCAAAAACGAAGAAUCAAGCCGAUGUUGAUUGCUAGAAACUCAUUAUGUAAAUCGAAGCAUUGAAACGGGAAGAAAACGAGUUUCUAGGGUUUGGAAUUGGUAAAAUAUUCAAAGCCUUAAUUUUAGAUGACCCACAUAGCUUAUUUAUAUGUUUAGAAGACUUAGAAGUAGACUAGGAUUGCAAAAAGUCGAUUUCAAAAACCUGUGUCGUCCUCAGAGACCGGUCCUGUCGAGGAGACCGGUCUGUGAGAGACCGGUCUCUCAAGUGAGGAACCGGUCCCUCCCUGCGUGACCAAAAACCCCACGUUCGGGAACCGGUCUCUCAAACUUGAGACCGGUCCCUCGCUGCGCGACAGAACCACCAAGGUUCGGGAACCGGUCUCUCACCACAGGGGACCGGUUGCAUCAGGAUUUACGCAGUGAGGACCUUGAGGGAACCGGUCUCUCCAUUUAAGAGACCGGUCCCAGAACACAAGAAAGUUCAGAAAAUUUGUUUAAAAACAAUCUAAGCCUUCUGAACUUAUUUUAAUCAUGUAUCUUCACCACAAAUGAUCUUUUCUACAUACCUUAGGUGUCGAUCUUUCCGAAUGAGUCUUUGUCCUCCAAUUUGAAUCUUUUCUCAAAAUCUUCUGCGAUCAACUCUUCAAGACUCCAAACAACUUUACGAAAUUCGCCAACCUAUAAAAUCCUUAACACAGGUUAUAGCUGUGAAAAAAAAAGGUUGAAACUUUAGGUCAAUGAAGUUAGCUGGUAACAGAUAGAGAAUUACAAAGACCAUAACUCUCAUCUAUCCUAUAGAUUAGCUCCAUGUCUAGUUAUGUCCUUUGCAGCAAAAAAAAUAUAGAAAAGAAAAGAGAUAUAUGUCCUUGUAAAUCACGCACGAAAAUUAACAAGGAGGACUACAGUAGCAUAUAUAGAGGCAAAGAGGGAGGAAUGGGAUGACUAAAUGAUGAGCCCAAUUUAGAGUGCUUAUAACCUCACUGCUCAAAUUAUUCGCAAUAGCAGAUAUUCCAAUCUUCUCUGCCAUAAUUUAGUCUCAUUACAGCAUGAUCUAAUUUUUUCUGUGUAGUUAAAAUGGCUAGUUGUCGGAUGUCUCUUAGUGUUCAUUGGGAUGGACAGUUAGUUAUGGAUGGUAAUGGUCCCCGAUAUUUCGGUGGUCGAAAGAAAUUGAUCGCGAUUCGUUCAAAUACGACCUAUAUGAAUUUUGAGAGGAGAAUGUAUCGUUUAGUAAAUUGUAAUAGAGAAGAAUGUUGUCUUAAAUAUAAAAUUCGAUGCCCUAUGGGAGCGAAUGAAUAUAUUGAUCAUGAUAUAGUAGAUGAUGAAUCAUUGGAGGGUUUAAUUGGAUUGUCUGAAUGUUAUGGAUGUGUGUCGUUAUAUAUCGAGAAAGAUUUAUAUCCGUCGGAGACACAAUAUCAGUCGCAAGGUUAUUACACAAGUCUGCUACAUAAUAAUAUCGAUGUGGAUUUUCCGGAUGCUCCAAGUGGUGACCGUGAAGUUAGUAAUGAACUAGACACUUAUCAGAUGACAAGGUCAGUAAGAUCUAUAGAUUGCGGUGAAUAUUUUAUUUAAUUACAAAAUAUUUUGAUAAGUUUGAAUAAUAAUUACUGCAGACAGAUUCAGUCUCCACGUGCGCAACCCUCCACCGCACGUGCGCAACCCUCGACGUCACGUGCACAACCCUCGACGUCACGUGCGCAGCCCGAGACUUCACGUGACGAACCCACGAUAUUUAAUACAUCUAAUGAAAAUUACGAUUGGGGGUAAAGAAAAUGUUGAUUAUUUUUUAAUUAAUAGUAAGUGAAAUUUGAACGUCUUCUAGUAAACAUUCGGGACCUAUUGCAGGCUAUCUACGUCCUAUACAAAUUGGAAUGAAGUUCUUGAUAAUCUAAUCGAAAAAGGAGAUGAUAACGACGGUAAUCAGGACGAUGCCCCCAUUCAUAAUGAUGGUAAUCUGGAUGAUUCACCCAUUCGUAAUGACGAUAAUCAGGAUGAUGAACCCAUUCAUGAGGACGACGAUUGGAAUGAUCUAGCUGCCGACAUUGAAGAUGAUCACGAUGGUGGAUUAAAUUGCCUCGCGAAUGCCAUUUACAGCUUGAAUGAUGAACCGCAUGUAAACAACGAAUAUGUAGACAAUCCUGACGAAGAGCUUGAUUUCAUUGACCAUCCGGAGCAAUUUCCUACAGAUAACAAUUGGAUAUAAGAGCAUGUUGUGAAUUCGAGUGAGUUCGAUGUUAGACGUACCAAUUCUGAUCUACCUAGCAUUAACGGGACUUGGCUCCGUGAAAUCUUUAAAGAUAAGGCAUCUUUAGUGGAUGCUCUAGAUCGAUGGCACAUUACUCACAAUGUUCAGAUGAAAGUUUUGAAAUCUACCAAAACAACUUAUACAGUGAAAUGCACAGUUGAGGGAUGUCCUUGGAGAUUACACGCUUCGGUUCCUAAAGAUGCAACAUAUUUCAGAGUUAAGACAUAUGGAGGUCAACACACUUGUGUUAUUCCAAUGCUAAAUGCGGCGCACUGUAAUUGUACUUCAAAUCUCAUAUACUAAGUAAUUCUCCCGUUAAUGAAGGCAAGACUAAAUAUGACGCCAAAAGAAGUGCAGGAAAUGGUGCGAUCCACUUUGCAUGUUCAAAUGAGUUAUUGGAAGGCAUGGCUGGCAAGGAGCAAAGCAUUAUAGAUUAUUUACGGGAGCUGGGAACAGUCAAACACAGACUUGCCUCAGUAUCUUACUAUGCUACAGAGUACUAAUCAUGGAACUUUUUGGCGGUUUGAUCAUAGAUGGCCAUCAGAGGGAAUAUGUCAGUUUGACCGUGUUUUCUGGUCAUUUGCUCUUUCUAUUCAGGGAUUCGCACAUUGUCGACCUGUGGUGAGCAUUGAUGCCACUCACUUAUAUGGCAAAUACGAAGGCCAUGCAUUGAUAGCGACGGCUGUCGAUGCGAAUGAUAGCAUUUUCCCCUUGGCUUUUGCAAUUUGCGAAGGCGAAAAUGGCAGAAGUUGGCGUUGGUUUUUACAUAACUUGGGGCAUUAUAUUAUACGCAAUCGACCGGUUUAUUUUAUCUCCGAUAGAUUUAGUAGCUUAAAGGAAAUAGUGGCUGAGUUAUAUCCCACUCGACAGGGGCAUGCACACCGGUGGUGUUUUCGACACAUGAAAGCAAAUAUGGCUAAGCGGUUUAAAAAUGAUUCAUUAUUAGACAAAUUCUAUUAUAUCGGCAGUGCUCCAACAUCGGUACAAUAUUAUAAACUAAAAGAUGAGUUACUCGCGCUAGAUCAAGAUGCUUGGAAGUAGGUCGAUGAGCUCGAAGUAUACAAAGAGUAUUGGGCGUGGGCAUUUGAUGGAGGUCGACGCUUCGGGUUGAUGACCACAUAUAUGUCCGAAAGUUUAAAUGGGGUACUUAAGGAAAUUCGUGCUCUCCCAGUAACGGCAUUUGUCGCGGAAACUUUUUUAUAAACUUAAUAGUUAUUUUGUAAAGCGUCGUGAAAAUGGUGAAAGCAUGACGGGUACGUUAGCACCUAAAAUACAAAGUCGGAUUACGAUGACUAUGGUGACGGCGCGGGGACACAUGCAUUGUAUAUCGAUUUGGGCCUAAUGAGUUUGAAGUCCAAAUAUGACACUCUAAUUACAAUGUUACCCUUAAUGGAACACAAGCGGAUUGUAAUUGCGGCGAAUUCAAGCUAACGGGCAUUCCUUACUCGCAUAUUUUAGCAGUUUGCAGUAAUUCACAACUAAGAAUAGAUUAUCAUAAUCUUUGUUCCCAUUAGUAUAUUGUAAAGUGUUAUUGCCAGACAUACGCACCGCUUUUCCAUCCAGUUCCAGACAGACGCUACUGGCCAUGACCCUAGGGCCCACCAAUUGUACCGCCUCCCGUGAGAAAGAAGAAAGGUCGACCACGAUCAACACGUAUUCGUAAUAUAAUAGACGAAACAAGUGGACGACGAACAAAAUGUAGCAUUUGUAAACAGGGAGGUCAUUAUAGAAACACCUGUCCACAGAAUACAGAGAUAGCACAACAAGGACGUCGACGUAGGACUUGAUACCUAACUUAAUAGUAUUUAUGAAACUUUCAAUCUUUCAAUAUUCCAUGCGCUUUUUGAUAAUAUGUUACUAAUUACAAAUUAUUUAAAAUUGCAGAUAGCAGAUCUAGAGGAGGCGAGACCAGUUGAUGAGUCCAUCCUGACAGAGCAGCAUCUCCAUAGGUCUUCAUUUAUCACGACUGAGGUGAGAGCCAAAAUUAUUGUUUUAAAUAUUUUCUUUAGUAUUGGUUUGAAUAUAUAUAUUGUUCUAACUAAUUUUUUAUCACUGUAGGGAUAUCGCGGGGUGCAGUUCAUAGAGCAUGGCCGCAAAUUAAACCAGUGGGAGCUUGAUCAUCCAGCAGUGCUAGAUUUGCUACGACAGUCUGGAUUUUAUUAUAUUUCUCGACUUAGGCGUCUACAGCUGGAUCAGGCAUUAUUAGGAGCUUUGAUCGAGCGAUGGAGACGGGAGACCCAGAUAUUUCACUUCCGCCACGGUGAGAUGACGAUUACACUUUAGGAUGUGGCGGUUAUUUCGGGUCUUCGUGUCGAUGGAGCGCCGGUCACUGGGACUACAGUGUAUCCGUGGCCAGAUAUUUGUCAGGCGCUUUUAGGGGUUGUGCCGGAUGACAUCCGAGCUGGACAAAUUAGAUUAGAUUAGAUAUACCAGCAGUUUCAUCACCUACAUUUGGAUGCUCCGGCUGGAUUAGUUGCAGCCACUGCACGUGCAUAUAUAUUAUAUCAGAUUGGCUGUAGUCUAUUUCCAAACCCCACCGGAUAUAGGGUUCAUCUUAAGUGGCUGCCACUUAUAGCGGAUUUUGAUGCAUGCGGCGCUUUAGCUUGGGGUGCAGCAGCACUGGCCUAUCUAUAUCGAGCUUUGGGAUCGGCUGCAUUAAAAGGAAGGGUCGAAUGCUGUUGCUUCGCGACAUUAGUACAGGUAUUAUGAGUAAUAUAUAAUAAUUGUUAUAUAAAGCUUCUUUUAUUUAAGUUCAACAGUUUAAUUUAUUGUCAUUUAUUUAUAAAUUUGGGUGUAGGACCAUCUACAUGUCGGCCGACCUACUAGCGUUGGAGCUGUUGCCGACAUGGCUGAUUGCCCUAUGGGUUGCCGGUAUGACAUAUAAAUUUGAUACCGAAUAUAUUUCUAUAUAUAUAUAUAUAUACAUUUGCAACUGUCACAGCCCGCGACCACCCGCCUAUUUGGCCGAGGUCGCGGCGCCGACGACAGUGCCAAAUGGACAGGGUUUCCCCUGUACUGCGGACAGAGUCUCCCCUGUACAUUCAAGGCAACGCAAUCAAUACAAUACGAAGGUUCCAACCAGGAACUGAUAUCAAUCAAGAUUGCAUAAAGGAAGGUAUCAACAACAUAUCACAUCCUACGUUAUUACAUGCAUUCUCAUUCAUAUGUUUUUACAUCACAGUUCUUUUUACAUUCAUUUUCUUUUUCAUCCAAAUGCAAUCUAGUUAUUACAAAUUUAUUUACAAAUUGAUACAUUGUGUUCUUUCCAUUUUCUAUACCCCUAGCCACGUCGACGGGGUACUGCUAGCUCUGGUCUCUGGGUAAGGCGCUAUCUACGGAGCUACGCCCUCGCCUCGUGCCGCCGCGCCACACUCGUACAACCUGUAAACACCCCAAAACAACGUGGGGUGAAAACCAAUUCCAUGGUUUCCAGUGGGUACGGCCACCCAAGGGAAAAGCUCGACCAAAAGGUCUAAGUAGGCCCUGCAACAUGUUAGUUCAACAAUAUACAACAGAUAUAUAUAUAUAUAUNNNNNNNNNNNNNNNNNNNNNNNNNAUAUAUAUAUAUAUAUUCAAUUGAAAUACAUGUCAGGCCUAACAAUAUGCAAUAUGCAACUCAUGCAACUCUAGUAGAUCAUUUGAUUCUACGUUUACUUGGCUACUUUUAGCUCAUAACUUUACUCUAAGGUUUCUAUUACCUUAGUUCACAACUCAAGUUCACAUUGCCUCUAAGGUCUUUAUUACCUUAGCUCUUAUCUUUAUCACUAGUUUAUAAGGUUUCUAUUAACCUAAUCAAGCUAACCACCCGACUCGGCCUCGAGUCAAUCAUUCGCGGAUAGUCCGCGCACUGGCCGCUCUCGGUGACUUAACCAGCUGGCGGCGAAAUCGUCGCACACGCCGAACACUAGUUCAAGUCCCUUGACUUGGCCAUCUGGCGGCGAACGAAUCGCACCUCACCCAACAAUAGCCCAAGUUGAUCUAGCGGCUGUCACGCCCCGCCCCGAGUCCGCUACCUAUUUGGCACGAUUCGGGCACGGCGAACGGACCGCCGAACGAACAGAGUUUCCUCUGUUCGCCCAAGGCUCCACGACUAGAUUGUGUACACAAGUUCCCAGGAAACAACUUGGCGACAUACACAAUCAACUAACCACCACAAUUACGAGAGCACAAACAGUGCUAAUCAAAUAAGGGCAAGCAACACAUGUAAAGCUUACAAGUGAUAAAAGAGAGAUGUACUUAAUUAUAAACUCAUUAAUUUACACAACUAUCCAUUCUUUUACAUUCUUUCCAAACCUGUACAACAUGUAUAUAAUACAAUUCACUCAAACCUCACCCUUUACAUCAGUCUACUCUCAAAAUAGGUACAGGGUGAUCUAAUGCAUAGGAAGUAAGCUACCAAAAUGCUCAGGGCGCCAAGCGCUUGCCGCGAUCCUCGCCGGGGACGCUCGAACUCGGACCUGCAACAUGGUGGAGUGAGAACUACGAAUAGUUCCCAGUGGGUUCGGCCACCGACUCCGCCGAUCUCCCCACUAGGUCUUAAGCAGGCAUAAAUAGAUAUGCAAAUAGAGAGAUAUGUAUAUAAAACUGAAAGCAGUAACGAACAACUAUAAUCUAUCAAUGCCUCAAUCUAGUGAAAUGCAUGCAUGGAACUCAUAGUAAGAAGGCUGACUAUCAUACUACCAUGUUCAACAACAAAGUCAUUCAACUGAUUACCCAAUCUCUCGGUGAACACGAAGCUCGCUCACAACUCACAUGUAUCAAUCUCCUAGGGAGGUGGCUAGCUUUUCACCAUCCCCGAGACCGCCUGCGGACACUACACUGGUCCAAGGGCAUCUACACUGGCCCCCUUCGCGUGCUAGGCUCCGGAGUGCACUAUCUGUGAGGAGCUACCUCCACAGGUGCAGACAGGCUAAGUGAGCUCGGUCCAAUCUCAUGUACUGGGAACAACCUAACCAACCAGGGGUGAUAGCAACCUAGUAUCUCACUAUACUAGUGUUCUCAUGCCACUCUCGCACUAUUUAAUGCCACUCGUUCAAGGUUUAGGGUUAACUAGAUGCCACUCGUUCUGGUUCUCUAUUCAUAUAAUCAUAUUCAUCAGAUAUAGGGUUAACUGUCUCGCAACGCUCGGCUCAUGCAUACUAGGUUCAUAAUCAUGUAACCAUAAUUCACACUAUCACUAGCAUGCAAGGAUAUGUACAAUUGCAUUUAACACCCUAUAAAGCUAUGUACAAUAUGUAAAGGGAUCGACGAUGACACUCAGACAUAAAAGGCAGCCCGACUGCUUCGGGAUGGCACUCCCCCACCUCGUGGUGAUGCCGCGACUCCUCGCUUGCAAUUCACCGAUCUCUCGACGCCUCGCUAGACCGCCGAGCGAAACCGAAGCUCCGGGGUCACCGUGGCUCUAACUUUGCAGCCGCUUGACGGAUCGACGCGCCGUCUUCGCCGACGCGUUCAGGGACCUAGCAAUUAGGUUUAGGACCCAUCAAUCGAGAUCAAAACCCUAGAUUUCUCGGUAUCCAAAAUCGUGCCCUGGAAUAGCAACGGCGGGAAAACCCGUGGUGCGAGCUUCGAUUGCGAGCUCGAACCACCACUCUAGCUUUAAUAGGUUCCAUUCGAACCACUUCCUAGCUACAAAACCUCAAAACCCGAGAAAUACCAUUAAAGGGUUAGAAGCUUACCUCUAAAGGCCUAGCUCCAACAAGAGAAGAAGAUGGUGAAGAGGUUCACCACUUUGAUCUUCUUCUUCUUCUACUUCUUCUCCUACUUCUCCUCUUCUUUCUUCUCCUUUCCUUUUUCUUCUCCUUCUCUCUCUUUUUUUUUUGUUUCUAGAGAGAGAGAACGUGAGAGUGAGAGGGAGAGAGAGACAUCUGAGAGAGGGAAGGAGGUCCCCCAACCCUAAUAUAAGCCAUUUUGCAUCUAAGCCCCUCAACUUUUCAAUUUCCGAAUCAGCCCUCACAGGGCAUUUUCGCAGUGAGGGACCGGUCCCAGGUCGGGGAGACCGGUCCCCGAAAGCUGCACAACCAGGCAGAGGGGAUUUCGCGUUCGGGAACCGGUCCUUGCCUGAGAGACCGGUCCCCGGGAGACCGGUCCUUGUCCGAGAGACCGGUUCCUGAGAGCAACACUUCCGGGACUUAGCCAAAUUUCGGCUUCUCUCGCUGGACCAACGUUCGGGAACCGGUCCUUGUUCGCCAGGGACCGGUUGCACCAAGGAUCCUCGCCAGCCCAGCCCGAUGGGACCGGUCCCUCUCCGCCAGGGACCGGUCCCCGAGAGCAUUUCUGCUCCAGUGCAGCUUUUGCACUGGUGCUCUCGCGGACACCUCCUCAAUGCACCUUAUACAUUGUGAUCAUCUUCGGACUUUCCAAAGCACACCAACUCGACAAAUAGUCGAUCCCACUCGAAGUCUAAUCCUCGGAUUUCGAUAAUUCACUUCCCUUACAGCGGCAUAAUCCACAAACUUGCUUAACCAUCUGGCGGCGAAAUCGUCGCACACGCCACGACAAUGGUUCAAGCCCCGGGAGGUGAUCUUUGCGCAUUCACCCCCAGUCCAUCCUUGGUAUCAACCUCGACGGCGAAAUCGUCGCACACGCCCUAGCCUUGAUACCAAGGUUAGCAUAGCACAAGUCCUGGGAUUCCGGAAUCCACUUCCACAGGUCGAGGGUCCAUAGCCAACCCUAUGCUGUCGACCUAAAACAUCCUAAUGGUUGCUACCACUAUACUCAACAACCUAGGUUCAAUGCCACUCUAGGUUUACUAUUCAACCUAUGUUCACUAACACUAGGUUGUUCAACAUCACUAUGUCCGACCUAUGUUUAUUCACAUUAGGUUAGAUGCCACUCGAUCUAUUUGCUUCUAGGUCUACUCACGACCUAUGUUCUUUAACAAUAAGUUAGAUGCCACUCGAUCUAUUUGAUUCUAGGUCUACUCACGACCUAUGUUCUUUAACAAUAGUUAGAUGCCACUCGAUCUAGUUCACAUGCUACCUGUCCAUACCGAGUGUUCCAAUUAUACAAUCCUAUUUUCCAAUGUCAUUUCUCUAAUCAAGCUAGAGUUAUCAACCAAGUUCAUGUUUCAUAAAUCUAGCAUAAUAUCCUACAUUAGUAGGCACUUUAUCUAACAUUCAUUUCUACAUGAAUAUGUUAUCAACAUGCAUUUCAUUCUAUGCAUUAUAUUUACAUGCAUCCUUCUAGUUUACAUGCGUAUAUAUAUAAUCUUUUAUAUACAUCUAUUUCAGCAUUUACAUCAUAUCAUGCAUUACUAGCAUUACAUUAUUAUCAUGCAUUACUAGCAUUAUGUAACUUGCACACUUUAACUCUAACUAGCUCUUUAUGCUAGUUUCAUAAGUUCAAUCUCAAUGCUAACCAAUACUCUGAUUAUAGUGUCACAAAUCCACUAUUGUCUUGGUUCACAAUAAAUUCAUGCAUUCAUAGGUUUUUAUGUUCACAUACUACUAUUCAUUGGUUCUCAACAUUGAUAGAAAUUCAAAUAUUUCAUUAUCAUUGGUAUAGUGCCAAUACCCUAUAAUGCAUGAAUACUAAUAAUAUGCUCAAUGAAACAUUAUAGACAUAAUACUAGCAUUAUGUAACUUGCUCACUAUGCAUUUCUACUUAGCAUUUACAUUAACACGCAUUAUUUAACGCUUAUAUGCAUCAACCCGAAUUCUUAAUUUGCUUAGACAUAAAGGCGACCUAGUCGCUUCGGUAAGCACAACCCACCUCGAUUCGCGUUCCGAUUGCUUGUCGACACUUGCAAUCGGCCUCCCGCGGCGCCCGGUACCCGUUUGGGCCCGAUUUCGUAGUUGCGCCUCAACCGUCCUCCGCUUCGCAGCCCCGAAAAUUAUAGGUCUUCGGUUUGAUGCCACGAUGCUACAAAUCCAUUUUCACGACUUUACAACAUCGCCUCGGCCCUGCAGGCGGAUACGAAGCCUAACGUCCGUUUCUUUAAUAACUUCGCAACGGCUCGACGAAUCGCCGAACCGUCUUCGCCAACGCGUUUGUUUACCUAACAAUUAGGUUUACGAAGGGUCAAAUGAGAUCAAACCCUACUAGUAGCAAAAUUUGCAUUUUGAACCCUAGGUUUCAAGUAUUGCAAGAAUACACAAUAUAACCUUGGAUUCAAGCAAUAGAACUUCUAAUUAGCAUAUAGGAAUGCUACUAAAUCCAUUUCUAUGAAUUAUACAUAAAGCUUUGGAGAUCUACCAUGAGAGGGAUCGAGAAGCUCAUCUCAAAAAUAGCUCCAAACCAUGGAGAAGAUGAAGAAGAUGAAGACGAUUCAUCGCCAAGCUUCAAUCUCCACCAAUUUCUCUCUUUUUGGGAGAGAUUUAGAGAGAGAAAGAGAGCUUUCUCCUUUCCAUUCCAUGCGUGUUUGUUUGUGUGUGUGAUGCGGUUUGGGGCAGCCUCGGUUGGGGAAGGAGAAGAAGAAAGGGUUUUAAACCCUUUUUACCAUUUUGCCCCUCAACUACGCACUAUUCACUACGGACAGUUUAUUUUUCGCCGGAGCCCUUCUGAAUGUCCGAUUGAGCUCAAAUUUGACAGGCAUGCUCGGUUUUACUUAAUAAGUCCAAAGAAAUUUUAAUAUUUCAGUUUCGACCCCGUUUGGUCACUGAAAACUGUACCGAACUGCAAUCUUUAUCAGAUAGCUUUCGGAUGCUAUUUCUCUCUCUACGGGCGUCAGAAAAAUAUGAAACUUCAAAUCUAGCCUCAUAAAAAUAUUUCUGACUUAUCCUCCAAUUUUCAUAAUUUUCUGAGACUGUGCAUUUUCUGCUAAUUUAUCUGCCCCGUUUCCAACAGAAAAUUCUAAAUCUUCUGUUUUCAGUCCGAUUUCAGCACAAGUCAUUUUUGACUUAUGUUUUACUCCUCUAAAUCUAAUAAAAAUAGUAUCUCACACUAUUUUAUUUAUUUUCAUUUUUAUAUUUAAAAUUCGGUAUGUUACAUUCCACCGCAACUUCACCGGAACCAUUUAAAUGUAUACCGUGACUUCAUGAUUUUAGAAGUUCGGUAUGUUACAGCAACUAACAAAUAUACUUUUUAAAUAUUAGGUAGACGAAUGCCGGUGGGUUACGUUUUGCAGCAAACGUUAGAACAACAGAUAUUGAGUUCUACAGUGAUGAGUUAGACCAACAGAGAGAGACUCAGGUACAUAUUAAUGCAACCAUUUUUUGACUAUUUCAACUGAUAUUUUAGCUGACUAAUAUUGGAUUUUUCACAGAUGACAUGGCGGCCAUACACAGAUGCUAUUAUAAAUGCGCUACCUGUAUUCUGUGUAUAGGGCAGUGAGGUAUAGCGAUCUCGGAUGACACUGAUUUGUUUUCAUAUCGUUGAGCUUCACGUGCCGGAUCGAGUCCUACGGCAGUUUGGUCUCCUCCAACAUAUACCCAUUCCGGUGGAGACCAUCCGACGCUACACUUCUCAGGGGCGGCCAGAUGAGGGUUGGGCUCACUUUCAUGCUGCACACAUCGAGAGAUGGGGAGAUAGAUUACAGGCCAUUAUUGACCAGCAUCCGAUUGUCGGUGAUGACUCGGUACAGGCGACCUCGAUUUAUAUGAAGUGGUACUGGCAUAUCACGAGACGAUAGAUUUCUCGUCCAGUACAGCGUCCACCAUUGACUUACCAGCCUCGUGGCCAGAUCGAGAGAGCUUUGGUACGAUCACUCAGCCCAUUUAUUAUUUUUUUAAUCUUUUGUAUAAUAUAGAUUGCCAAAAGUGAGUUAUUAUCUAUAAUGCAGGUGGACACUAUAUGACAGACACAGUAUAGCAUCAGAAGCCUAGUUCAUGAUCGACCUUCUUACGAUGCAGUGAUGGAGGCAUUGACGGGCAUGGAUAUCGAUCUUGAUAGUGUACCGGAGUACAUUCCUACUAUACCUAUCGCCACUGAUAUCAGAGGUCGAGAUUUUGGACAUGCAUCGACAUCUGGUCAUCACCACCGUCAGACACCGACAUCUGCUGGAUCUCCAUCUCCUAGUGAUGUUGCUGAUAUGCCCGCUGCCCCUGAGAGAUUUCCUACUAGGCCAUUGGACUUGGACUUGCUUUUGCCGCCGCCAGUCUCUAGAGAGCACUUUACAUUCGUCUAUUCUCGAUGUCAUGCCGCGUCUUCAUCACAGACCCGCCCAACAUCUAGACCAGCCACUAUUGAGGAGACUCAGGCGAUACCGGAGCAUCGCGAGGGCAUUAUGAUUGCGGAUCUCGAUGAGAUGGCCGAUAUCGAGGCAAUUGAUGACAUACCUAUUGCUGAUCUCGUUGUAGAGGGUGGCCGUAGACGUGGACGUGGCCGUGCACGAGGACGUGGCCGAGGACGUCGAGGGAGAGGACGAUCGAGAGGCUAAUUGUAUAUCUUUGAUUUCGAUAAUUUAGACUUUGUAUAAUAUUAUAUAAUACUUAAUUUAGUGCAUAUUUGUAUAUUUCUCGGGGUUUUUUUUGAUAUUUUUAUCCUGUUGAAUGUAUCUUUUUAUUCCACUCGAUCUGUUGUGUUUCUUGUUGGAAUAUUUAUUAUCGUAAAAAAACUUGCGUUAAACUUGUUAAAAUUUUUUAAAAAACCAAGCUUAAAUCAGUACCUGGUGCUGUUUGCACUAAAGGCGGUGAAUGGUUCACCGUUCACCGCCUUUAGUGCAAAUCCACAAACACGGGAAAAAAAAGGGCUAAGUCCUGGACUGCGUUGUGUUUGCACUAAAGACGGUGAACGAGUCAUCGUCGUCAGAUAAGACGGUGAACGCUUCACCGUCUUAUCUAUGCCACAAACCCGGGCGGUUGGGCGGGGGAUUUGCUGAGAAGGCGGUGAAUGGUUUACGCCUAGAUAAGGCGAUAAACGAUUCAUCGCCUUUACCUACUUUAGAUAAGACGGUGAACAAUUCACCGUCUUAUCUAUGACACAAACCCGGGCUGUUGGGCGGGGGAUUUGCUGAGAAGACGGUGAAUGGUUUACGCCUAGAUAAGGCGAUAAACGAUUCACCGCCUUUACCUACUUUAGAUAAAAGACGGUGAACAAUUCACCGUCUUGUCAUAACCGUCUUAUCUAUGACACAAACCCGGGCUGUUGGGCGGGGGAUUUGCUGAGAAGGAGGUGAAUGGUUUACGCCUAGAUAAGGCGGUAGACGAUUCACCGCCUUUGUUAAGGCGGUAAACGAGUAACCGUCUUCUCAGGCACCUUAAGCUACGCGGGGAAUUGCUGAGAAGGCGGGUGAUACGCGGGGAAUUGCUGAGAAGGCGGUGAAUGGUCCACGCCUAGAGAAGACGAUGAACCAUUCACCGUCUUCGUGACGCUAGACUAAAGACGGUGAACGAGUCACCGUCUUUGUGAGAAAUGCUCAUGUGGCGGCCGAGGUGGCGAGAGGACGGUUAGUUUCACAAAUAAAAGUUUCACAGGGUUAUUUUGCCAAUUACGAAAUUUCAAAGGGUUAUUUUCGAAAAAAGUCCUCUAUACGCAGCUAGGCAAUUUUAUUUUUGACUGAGAGCUCUCUCCAUUUUUCCCUUUUUUUCAAUUAAUUAAUUAUUUAUUUGCUUAAUUAUGCUCCACUGUAUUACACUUUCACCCGUUUAGCAUAGUUUCUGAAAAAGUAAUUUUUAAAAAAAGUGAUUUACUUUGGAGAAGUAAUUUUGAUUAAAAGCUGUAGGGCGUUUGACUAAGUUUAGAUAAAAGUGAUUUAUCUGAAGUGAUUUUAAGUUGUUUGCCAAAAUUUUUUUGAUGUUUUCAAAAAUUAAUUUUCUUAUUAAAUUUUAUUUUAAAAUAAUUUAAAAUCCAUUUANNNNNNNNNNNNNNNNNNNNNNNNNNNNNNNNNNNNNNNNNNNNNNNNNNNNNNNNNNNNNNNNNNNNNNNNNNNNNNNNNNNNNNNNNNNNNNNNNNNNNNNNNNNNNNNNNNNNNNNNNNNNNNNNNNNNNNNNNNNNNNNNNNNNNNNNNNNNNNNNNNNNNNNNNNNNNNNNNNNNNNNNNNNNNNNNNNNNNNNNNNNNNNNNNNNNNNNNNNNNNNNNNNNNNNNNNNNNNNNNNNNNNNNNNNNNNNNNNNNNNNNNNNNNNNNNNNNNNNNNNNNNNNNNNNNNNNNNNNNNNNNNNNNNNNNNNNNNNNNNNNNNNNNNNNNNNNNNNNNNNNNNNNNNNNNNNNNNNNNNNNNNNNNNNNNNNNNNNNNNNNNNNNNNNNNNNNNNNNNNNNNNNNNNNNNNNNNNNNNNNNNNNNNNNNNNNNNNNNNNNNNNNNNNNNNNNNNNNNNNNNNNNNNNNNNNNNNNNNNNNNNNNNNNNNNNNNNNNNNNNNNNNNNNNNNNNNNNNNNNNNNNNNNNNNNNNNNNNNNNNNNNNNNNNNNNNNNNNNNNNNNNNNNNNNNNNNNNNNNNNNNNNNNNNNNNNNNNNNNNNNNNNNNNNNNNNNNNNNNNNNNNNNNNNNNNNNNNNNNNNNNNNNNNNNNNNNNNNNNNNNNNNNNNNNNNNNNNNNNNNNNNNNNNNNNNNNNNNNNNNNNNNNNNNNNNNNNNNNNNNNNNNNNNNNNNNNNNNNNNNNNNNNNNNNNNNNNNNNNNNNNNNNNNNNNNNNNNNNNNNNNNNNNNNNNNNNNNNNNNNNNNNNNNNNNNNNNNNNNNNNNNNNNNNNNNNNNNNNNNNNNNNNNNNNNNNNNNNNNNNNNNNNNNNNNNNNNNNNNNNNNNNNNNNNNNNNNNNNNNNNNNNNNNNNNNNNNNNNNNNNNNNNNNNNNNNNNNNNNNNNNNNNNNNNNNNNNNNNNNNNNNNNNNNNNNNNNNNNNNNNNNNNNNNNNNNNNNNNNNNNNNNNNNNNNNNNNNNNNNNNNNNNNNNNNNNNNNNNNNNNNNNNNNNNNNNNNNNNNNNNNNNNNNNNNNNNNNNNNNNNNNNNNNNNNNNNNNNNNNNNNNNNNNNNNNNNNNNNNNNNNNNNNNNNNNNNNNNNNNNNNNNNNNNNNNNNNNNNNNNNNNNNNNNNNNNNNNNNNNNNNNNNNNNNNNNNNNNNNNNNNNNNNNNNNNNNNNNNNNNNNNNNNNNNNNNNNNNNNNNNNNNNNNNNNNNNNNNNNNNNNNNNNNNNNNNNNNNNNNNNNNNNNNNNNNNNNNNNNNNNNNNNNNNNNNNNNNNNNNNNNNNNNNNNNNNNNNNNNNNNNNNNNNNNNNNNNNNNNNNNNNNNNNNNNNNNNNNNNNNNNNNNNNNNNNNNNNNNNNNNNNNNNNNNNNNNNNNNNNNNNNNNNNNNNNNNNNNNNNNNNNNNNNNNNNNNNNNNNNNNNNNNNNNNNNNNNNNNNNNNNNNNNNNNNNNNNNNNNNNNNNNNNNNNNNNNNNNNNNNNNNNNNNNNNNNNNNNNNNNNNNNNNNNNNNNNNNNNNNNNNNNNNNNNNNNNNNNNNNNNNNNNNNNNNNNNNNNNNNNNNNNNNNNNNNNNNNNNNNNNNNNNNNNNNNNNNNNNNNNNNNNNNNNNNNNNNNNNNNNNNNNNNNNNNNNNNNNNNNNNNNNNNNNNNNNNNNNNNNNNNNNNNNNNNNNNNNNNNNNNNNNNNNNNNNNNNNNNNNNNNNNNNNNNNNNNNNNNNNNNNNNNNNNNNNNNNNNNNNNNNNNNNNNNNNNNNNNNNNNNNNNNNNNNNNNNNNNNNNNNNNNNNNNNNNNNNNNNNNNNNNNNNNNNNNNNNNNNNNNNNNNNNNNNNNNNNNNNNNNNNNNNNNNNNNNNNNNNNNNNNNNNNNNNNNNNNNNNNNNNNNNNNNNNNNNNNNNNNNNNNNNNNNNNNNNNNNNNNNNNNNNNNNNNNNNNNNNNNNNNNNNNNNNNNNNNNNNNNNNNNNNNNNNNNNNNNNNNNNNNNNNNNNNNNNNNNNNNNNNNNNNNNNNNNNNNNNNNNNNNNNNNNNNNNNNNNNNNNNNNNNNNNNNNNNNNNNNNNNNNNNNNNNNNNNNNNNNNNNNNNNNNNNNNNNNNNNNNNNNNNNNNNNNNNNNNNNNNNNNNNNNNNNNNNNNNNNNNNNNNNNNNNNNNNNNNNNNNNNNNNNNNNNNNNNNNNNNNNNNNNNNNNNNNNNNNNNNNNNNNNNNNNNNNNNNNNNNNNNNNNNNNNNNNNNNNNNNNNNNNNNNNNNNNNNNNNNNNNNNNNNNNNNNNNNNNNNNNNNNNNNNNNNNNNNNNNNNNNNNNNNNNNNNNNNNNNNNNNNNNNNNNNNNNNNNNNNNNNNNNNNNNNNNNNNNNNNNNNNNNNNNNNNNNNNNNNNNNNNNNNNNNNNNNNNNNNNNNNNNNNNNNNNNNNNNNNNNNNNNNNNNNNNNNNNNNNNNNNNNNNNNNNNNNNNNNNNNNNNNNNNNNNNNNNNNNNNNNNNNNNNNNNNNNNNNNNNNNNNNNNNNNNNNNNNNNNNNNNNNNNNNNNNNNNNNNNNNNNNNNNNNNNNNNNNNNNNNNNNNNNNNNNNNNUAUAUAUAUAUAUAUAUAUAUAUAUAUAUAUAUAUAUAUAUAUAUAUGCUGGAAUACUAUUAAUAGCACCAAUGACUUGGUGCUAUUAAGUUUUCUACCGUUGGAUUAAAAGAUGUGCGGUUAGAAUGAUGUGGGCCCCCUAGGGUUGAGUGAGUGGUUGGUUGAAUAGUAUAAUCUAACGGGUAAAAAUGAUCAAAAGGGUUAAUCUAAUGGCAGAAAACUUGAUAGCACCAACUACUUCGUGCUAUUGAUAGUAUCCCAGCUGGACUCAUAUAUAUAUAUAUAUAUAGUACUAACUUGAUACACUUUAAACCACAAGUUACUAAAGUGAUAAAGUGAGAAACCACAAAAUACUAAAGUGAUAAAGUGAGAAACCAUAUGGUACAAACUUAAUACACUUUAAAUCACAAGUUACUUAAAUAAAAAAAUGUGAAACCACAUGGAGUUUUUUAAANAAAAUUUAAAAUAAUUAUGAAAUUUAAAAUAUAAAAAUUAAAAUUUAAAAUUAUAAAUUUAAAUUUAAAAAUAUAAAUAUGUAAAGGUGUUGUUUGGCUUAGCUUUUAAAAAGCACUUUUGGGUUGAAAAGUGAUUUUCGGCUCAAUAAAACGUUUGACAACCUCAUUUUUUUUAAAUCUGAUUCUGCUUUUCAGAAUCAGAAAACUGAUUUUGAAAGUCCAGAAUCAGAAACAGAAAAAAACUACUUCUUGAAAUCUGAUUCUAAUUUUGGACACCAAAUUCAAAUUUUUAUUUUNNNNNNNNNNNNNNNNNNNNNNNNNNNNNNNNNNNNNNNNNNNNNNNNNNNNNNNNNNNNNNNNNNNNNNNNNNNNNNNNNNNNNNNNNNNNNNNNNNNNNNNNNNNNNNNNNNNNNNNNNNNNNNNNNNNNNNNNNNNNNNNNNNNNNNNNNNNNNNNNNNNNNNNNNNNNNNNNNNNNNNNNNNNNNNNNNNNNNNNNNNNNNNNNNNNNNNNNNNNNNNNNNNNNNNNNNNNNNNNNNNNNNNNNNNNNNNNNNNNNNNNNNNNNNNNNNNNNNNNNNNNNNNNNNNNNNNNNNNNNNNNNNNNNNNNNNNNNNNNNNNNNNNNNNNNNNNNNNNNNNNNNNNNNNNNNNNNNNNNNNNNNNNNNNNNNNNNNNNNNNNNNNNNNNNNNNNNNNNNNNNNNNNNNNNNNNNNNNNNNNNNNNNNNNNNNNNNNNNNNNNNNNNNNNNNNNNNNNNNNNNNNNNNNNNNNNNNNNNNNNNNNNNNNNNNNNNNNNNNNNNNNNNNNNNNNNNNNNNNNNNNNNNNNNNNNNNNNNNNNNNNNNNNNNNNNNNNNNNNNNNNNNNNNNNNNNNNNNNNNNNNNNNNNNNNNNNNNNNNNNNNNNNNNNNNNNNNNNNNNNNNNNNNNNNNNNNNNNNNNNNNNNNNNNNNNNNNNNNNNNNNNNNNNNNNNNNNNNNNNNNNNNNNNNNNNNNNNNNNNNNNNNNNNNNNNNNNNNNNNNNNNNNNNNNNNNNNNNNNNNNNNNNNNNNNNNNNNNNNNNNNNNNNNNNNNNNNNNNNNNNNNNNNNNNNNNNNNNNNNNNNNNNNNNNNNNNNNNNNNNNNNNNNNNNNNNNNNNNNNNNNNNNNNNNNNNNNNNNNNNNNNNNNNNNNNNNNNNNNNNNNNNNNNNNNNNNNNNNNNNNNNNNNNNNNNNNNNNNNNNNNNNNNNNNNNNNNNNNNNNNNNNNNNNNNNNNNNNNNNNNNNNNNNNNNNNNNNNNNNNNNNNNNNNNNNNNNNNNNNNNNNNNNNNNNNNNNNNNNNNNNNNNNNNNNNNNNNNNNNNNNNNNNNNNNNNNNNNNNNNNNNNNNNNNNNNNNNNNNNNNNNNNNNNNNNNNNNNNNNNNNNNNNNNNNNNNNNNNNNNNNNNNNNNNNNNNNNNNNNNNNNNNNNNNNNNNNNNNNNNNNNNNNNNNNNNNNNNNNNNNNNNNNNNNNNNNNNNNNNNNNNNNNNNNNNNNNNNNNNNNNNNNNNNNNNNNNNNNNNNNNNNNNNNNNNNNNNNNNNNNNNNNNNNNNNNNNNNNNNNNNNNNNNNNNNNNNNNNNNNNNNNNNNNNNNNNNNNNNNNNNNNNNNNNNNNNNNNNNNNNNNNNNNNNNNNNNNNNNNNNNNNNNNNNNNNNNNNNNNNNNNNNNNNNNNNNNNNNNNNNNNNNNNNNNNNNNNNNNNNNNNNNNNNNNNNNNNNNNNNNNNNNNNNNNNNNNNNNNNNNNNNNNNNNNNNNNNNNNNNNNNNNNNNNNNNNNNNNNNNNNNNNNNNNNNNNNNNNNNNNNNNNNNNNNNNNNNNNNNNNNNNNNNNNNNNNNNNNNNNNNNNNNNNNNNNNNNNNNNNNNNNNNNNNNNNNNNNNNNNNNNNNNNNNNNNNNNNNNNNNNNNNNNNNNNNNNNNNNNNNNNNNNNNNNNNNNNNNNNNNNNNNNNNNNNNNNNNNNNNNNNNNNNNNNNNNNNNNNNNNNNNNNNNNNNNNNNNNNNNNNNNNNNNNNNNNNNNNNNNNNNNNNNNNNNNNNNNNNNNNNNNNNNNNNNNNNNNNNNNNNNNNNNNNNNNNNNNNNNNNNNNNNNNNNNNNNNNNNNNNNNNNNNNNNNNNNNNNNNNNNNNNNNNNNNNNNNNNNNNNNNNNNNNNNNNNNNNNNNNNNNNNNNNNNNNNNNNNNNNNNNNNNNNNNNNNNNNNNNNNNNNNNNNNNNNNNNNNNNNNNNNNNNNNNNNNNNNNNNNNNNNNNNNNNNNNNNNNNNNNNNNNNNNNNNNNNNNNNNNNNNNNNNNNNNNNNNNNNNNNNNNNNNNNNNNNNNNNNNNNNNNNNNNNNNNNNNNNNNNNNNNNNNNNNNNNNNNNNNNNNNNNNNNNNNNNNNNNNNNNNNNNNNNNNNNNNNNNNNNNNNNNNNNNNNNNNNNNNNNNNNNNNNNNNNNNNNNNNNNNNNNNNNNNNNNNNNNNNNNNNNNNNNNNNNNNNNNNNNNNNNUGGUAUACCAAAGAGUGAAAUAGUGAAAUCAUAAAACACCAAAGAGUGAAAUAGUGAAAUCAUUGAACACCAAAUUUCACAUAGUUCAAUCAUGAUAUAUCUAUAUAUAUAUACUCAGGUCGACCCUAUGAUAGUUAUCGUGUUUCAUCAACCAUGAUAGUUUAAAAGAUGGUAAUCUAAUUGGAGAAAACUAGUAAAAGUUGGCAAUCUAAUAUGAUAAGUUGGUUGGUGGGUGAGUUGGGAUCUCCCGGGUGUAGUAGUAUUGGCGUGUAGAGAGUUAGGUUGCCGAUCUUUUUAAUUAUCGUGGUUCAUUGAACCAUGAUAAUUAUCAUAAGGUCGUAUAUAUAUAUAUANNNNNNNNNNNNNNNNNNNNNNNNNUAUAUAUGAGCUAGUUAGGGUUUUCAUGGAAAAAAAAACUCUUAACGCUAGCUCCAGCUGACCUCAGCCGCCUCUCAUUCCUCACCCACGUGCGCAGCGCACUCCCCGGCCGCCGGCGAUCGAGCGGCCGGCUAGCCGCCACCUGCGCCAUUUUCUCCACCACCACCUCCCUUCACCUAUGUUCGAGCACAACUAGGAGGGCUACUUACCCUCGAGCUCCUCCUCUGGCUGUGCCCCGACCUCCAGCGACCUCCCCCGACCUCUAGCUAUGCCGCCGUCCCCGCACACCGCCAUUGCCGGCCCCGGCAACCUGCGGCCAUCUAAGGCAAGUUUAGGCCGAGGCAGACCCAACUCCUUUCCCUCGCCCCGCCGCCUCUCGGGGCCACCUUGGUCGCCCUCUCCCGACCUUCGGCAACAUUCCCCGCCGAUCACCACCGUCCCCGCGUGUAACACACUGGGCCUUUGCAAAUUACGAGGUUCGAGUUUUGAUCAGUGUUCCGAGCCUUUCCAUAGUUUCUGGAGGGUCAUUGACAGAGCUCCGACCUAUGGUUCGUAUCUCGAGAAUUCUAGUAUUUGAAGUAGCUCUAAGGUCACCAAAGCGAUGGCUUAGGCUGUUCUCGGGUUGCAGUUUUCUGAAAAGUGUACCGGUACACCUUGAUGGUUGUACCGGUACAGAAAGUGUACCGGUGACUAUUCGAUGGUUGUACCGGUACAAAUGAAAUUUUCUGCCAACCCGAGGCUCGGGUUGCUGUCGCGCAGGAUUUGUACCGGUACACUUUCUCAUGUACCGGUACACUUUGCUUUGCGAGCUGUUUUUGUUGAGGGGUGUUUUUGCAUUUGUUGCAACACUAUUUAUACACACCCCAGCCCCCUUAGGAGCUCUUUUGAGCCCUAACCAGAGGAGAAACAAGGUGAGGCUUCCUCCACUUAUUUGAUUUUUAUUUUUGAUGGAUUAUUGCAUGUUUUGAUCUCCUCUCUCUUACUUUUCCUUACUUUUGUUGGUUUCCUCCAUGGGAGAAGCUUGGAUUUCGGGUUUGGAGCUUGCUUGAGAUUUGAUCUUCAACCCUAGCUCACUUGCUAGCUUGAAUUGGUGCUUUGGAGAGGUUAGUAAGCUUAAACUCCUAUUUGAUCCAUGUUUUAGUGGAUUUUACUUGUGGGAACCCUAGAUUGAGCUUAGUAGAGUUAGAAAUGGGGAUUUUUGAUUAAAGACUUUGGAACCUAAUUGAUGGGUUUACAACCUUUGUUUAGGUUGGAUUUAUGGGCCUCUAACUCCUUUUUGGAGAUCAAGAGAGCGUUCUUCGCAUUCGAUGAGUUUUCUUCACCAUAGCUUGAGUUACUUAAUGAUUGAGCCAAUGAUUGUUCGUAACGUUCGUGUAUCCCUCCUUUUGUUACCUUUAGUAGGAGAGUAGUGGACACUUUCGUCGGCGCAAACGAAGGGUUUCGCGAGUCUCGGUGGGUUUGACUUAAUGGAUUUGGGGAGAAAUGUCCCCUAUGUCAUUUGUACUUGUCGUUUCAUCGAAAUGCAUGUAUAUUCAUGCUAGAUAGAAAUUUUAUAGAUUUUAGAAUACUUAAAAUGCAUGUGUUAUGUAUCAUGAAAAUUCAACUCUAUAUAGUAGAGCCAUAUGUGUACUAAGCAUGCGUAUGAAAAGUAUUCUUAUUGUAUGAUGGAAACAUGUCUUUUGUGAGGAAAAUGUCUUAGUAGAGCCAGGACGGGAAGAAUUCACCUAUCGGGCUUGUCAGAGCUCGUGCUUCAUCGCGACGGUGUCGGCGACGAGAGCAAGAAAGUUGGUGAGCAACGGUUAUGCGCCGUUCUUGGCAACUGUUGUAGAGGUGGAUCGAGUGGCUCCAACAUUGGAGGAGUUAUCGGUGGUGCAGGAGUUUCCAGAUGUAUUUCCCACGGAGUUGCCAGGGAUACCACCGGAUCGGGAGAUCGAGUUCGUCAUAGACUUGGUUCCCAGUACCGCACCGAUCUCGAAAGCGCUAUACCGAUGGCGCCGGCGGAACUAAAGGAUUUGAGGAGUCAAUUGCAGGAUCUCCUCGACAAGCAAUUUAUCCAGCCAAGUAUAUCACCGUGGGGGAGCCCCGGUGUUGUUUGUGCGGAAAAAGGAUGGAUCGUUUCGACUCUAUGUGGAUUAUCGAGAGUUGAACAGAGUCACGAUCAAGAACAAAUACCCACUACCCCAAAUCGAUGACCUGUUCGUUCAGCUGCAAGGGUCGUGUGUAUACUCGAAAAUAGAUCUGCAAUCCGGCUAUCACCAGUUGAAGAUCAAGCCGGAGGAUGUACAGAAAAUUGCGUUUUGCACGCGGUAUGGACACUAUGAAUUCACGGUCAUGCCAUUUGGACUCACGAAUGCUCCAGCGUCGUUCAUGGAUUUGAUGAACCGUGUCUUCAAGAAGUUUUUGGAUUGAUUUUUCGUGGUCUUCAUAGACGACAUAUUGGUCUAUUCUCGUAGUGACGAGGAACACGCCGAGCAUUUGAGAAUGGUGCUUCAAGUCCUUCGGGAGGAGAAGCUAUAUGCUAAGCUGAAGGAGUGUGACUUCUGGCUCCGAGAAGUCGCAUUUCUAGGGCAUGUGAUUUCCAAGGGUGGGGUUUCUGUAGACCCGAGGAAGGUUGAGGCAAUCAAAGAUUGGCCGCGCCCGACGAACGUCACGGAGGUUCGAAGCUUCGUGGGUUUAGCGGGCUAUUAUAGGCGGUUUGUGGAAGCCUUUUCGAAGAUAGUAAUUCUACUUACCCGCCUGACUCAGAAAGGCGCCAACUUUGUUUGGAGCGAGGAGUGCGACCAGAGUUUCAAAGAGUUGAAGCAAAGAUUAACUUCGACUCCGAUGCUGGCUCUACCGGUGCAGGGCAAAGAUUUCGUGGUUUACAGCGAUGCCUCCUAUCUUGGAUUGGGGUGUGUAUUGAUGCAAAACGGGAAAGUAAUCGCUUAUGCAUCCCGUCAGCUGAAGAGCUACGAGAAAAACUACCCCAUCCAUGAUUUGGAGUUAGCGGCGGUGAUUUUCGCCUUGAAGCUAUGGAGGCACUACUUAUAUAGUGCCCAUUGUGAGAUCUAUACCGACCACAAGAGCUUGAAGUAUCCGUUUACACAGAAGGAGCUCAAUAUGCGUCAGCGGCGGUUGUUAGAGUUGUUAAAGGAUUAUGACGUUGAUAUCCUCUACCACCCCGGGAAGGCAAAUGUGGUCACGGAUGCGCUGAGUAGGAAGUCAGCGGAGAACCUUGCCUUGUGGAUUACCAAUCAAUCACCCCUAUGGCUGGAGAUGGAGCGGCUGGACCUCGAAGUAGUUAUUCCUGAGGCUCUAGCUCAAUUGAUGGCACUCGUGGUCCAACCGACCUUAUUGGAGAGGAUCAAAGAUCUGCAACCCGCAGACCUCGAACUCCAAAAGGUGCGGCGAAACAUCGAGGAAGGGCGUGGCGGCGAUUUCAGUAUAAACGCCGAUGGUACGCUUCGGUUUAGAAACCAAUGGUGUGUACCGAAAGAUGGAGAGCUUCGUGAAUUGAUUCUACAAGAAGCACACCGAUCACCAUAUGCCGAUCACCCGGGCGGCACCAAGAUGUAUCAAGGACUAAAAAUGCACUAUUCGUGGCCGGGAAUGAAAGGCAAUGUCGAACACUUCGUGGUAAGGUGCUUAACGUGUCAGCAAGUGAAGACCAAGCGUCGAUUUCCAGCGGGAAAGCUUCAAAGCCUACAAAUCCCCGUUUGGAAAUGGGAGGAUAUAUCGAUGGACUUCGUGGUCGGCUUGCCUCGCUCAACGGGCGGCCACGAUGCAAUUUGGGUGAUCGUGGACCGAUUGACGAAGUCGGCUCACUUCUUGCCGAUCCACACCACGUGGGCAGGCGACAAGUUGGCGUAGGUAUACCUCGACGAGAUAGUGAGACUACACGGGGUGCCGAAAUCGAUCGUGUCGGAUCGUGACCUCCGGUUCACUUCACACUUCUGAAAGAGCCUGCAAGAAGACCUUGGCACACGGCUCGACUUUAGCACCGCGUUUCAUCCUCAGAUCAAUGGGAAAUAGAGAGAACCAUUCAAACUCUGGAGGACAUGUUGUGAGCGUGUGUCAUCGACUAUAAAGGAAGUUGGUGUGAUCACCUACCGAUGGCCGAGUUCGCCUACAACAACAGUUAUCAUGCUAGUGUGGAGAUGGCACCGUUCGAGGCUCUCUACAGGCGGACGUGUCGGUCUCCCAUACACUGGAGCGAUGUGGGUCAGCGUGCGGAGUUCGGCCCUGAUGUGUUGCGAGAAGUGGAGGAGAAAGUCCGCCUUGCUCGCAAGAGAUUGCUCACGGCGCAGUCGAGACAGCAAAGCUAUGCAGAAAGGCACUGUCGGAAUAUAGAGUUCGCGGUGGGUGACCGCGUAUUCUUGAAGGUUUCACCAAUGCGGGGUGUGAAGCGGUUUGGAGUGCGGGGAAAGUUAAGUCCACGGUACAUUGGGCCAUAUGAGAUAUUGGAGCGAGUCGGCACGGUGGCUUAUCGACUCGCUUUGCCGCCAAAGCUUGCGGAUGUACACAAUGUAUUCCAUGUCUCUAAUCUCCGUAAGUACAUUUACGACCCCGAGUAUGCGAUGCUAUUUGAACCGCCGGAACUCCAAGAAGACUUGAGCUAUGAAGAGUUUCCGGUAGGGGUAAUCGCCUGAGAGGUGCGAAAGUUGAGAAAUCGAGAAAUCCCCUAUGUGAAGAUUCGGUGGAGCAAUCAUGAUGAUCGCUAGGCCACCUGGGAGCUCGAGGAACUGAUGAGAAAGCACCAUCCUCAUCUAUUUGAGGAGUAAGGUAUGAGUUUGAGUUAGGUUUGGAAUUGAGUUCGUUUCGAGGACGAAACUCCUUUUAAGGAGGGGAGGAUGUAAAGAAGUGAAUUCUCGAAAUUCGAGAGUUGUACUUCAUCCAGGAUCGACUAAUUGUCGAGAGAAUACCCUUUGGGGAAGUUAAAAAUGUCCAAAACACAAAAAUUGCUUUGGAGUUGAGUCCGCGAGAGCAAAUAUGCGAAAAUCUGGACUUAGCAGAUUUUGCUCUUGGGGACCGGUCCAUGGAGGGGAGGACCGGUCCCCGUAGCUACAGUAGCGGGGUUGCUUGAUGCAACCGGUCCCUGGCAGUAAAGGACCGGUCCCCGAACGUGGUCCCAGCGAGAAAUGCCGAAAUUUGACUAAGUCCUGAAAAUCAAGCUCUCGGGGACCGGUCUCCCGAGGACCGGUCUCCCGGGGAGAGACCAGUUCCCGAACGCGUGCGCCCGAGGGAAGCUCUCGGGGACCGGUCCCAAGUCGGGGAGAUCAGUCCCUCUGGGUGAAAGCAGCCCCGUGACAGCUGUUUGAGAGAUGAAAAGUUGAGGGGUUUAAGUGCAAAAUGACCAUCAUGUGAGGGGUGUAUAUGGGAAAUAACCCUCUCCCUCAGCCCCCUCUCAUCUCAUUUCCCUCUCUCACUCUCUUUCUCUCUUGCUCUCUCUCUCUAGAAAGGAAAGGAGAAGAAGAAGAACAAGAAGGAGAGGAAGGAAAGGAAGAAGAAGAACAAGAAGGAGAAGAAGAAGGAGAUCAAGAGGAAGGCAUUGGACACCUUCAUCUCCCUCUCCUCUUCCCAUUGGUGUAGCUCAAGAGAUAAGCUACAAACCCUAGCUUGUAGAACUUAGGGCUUGUUUGGUUCAAGGGUGGAAUUGGAAUGGAUAAUGGAAUGGGAAUGAAUUGGAAUGGUAAUUGGAAUGGCCCACUCCCCCAAGACCUUUGGUUUAUUUGUGGAUUGGGAAAUGGAAUGAGUUAUUCACAUUUUAUUGUUUGGUUCGUAUAAACUAAAAAAAUUAUAGAAUACUAUAAUACUAAUUUUACUUUCAAAUAUAAAUUUAUAUUAUUUAAAAUUUAUAAAAAAUAUANAAUUUUACUUUCAAAUAUAAAUUUAUAUUAUUUAAAAUUUAUAAAAAAUAUAAUACUAUUCUCUAAUAAGUUUUCUAAAAAAAAUAUCAAAUUUAUUUUUAAAAACUUUUAUUGAUGUGGAUAAGGGAUAGGGUUUUGAGAGAGGAUAUGUUUUUUUUUUUUUAUGAGAAAUGGGUGAAGAGAAGGAGGGUGAGAUGGUCACAUGGGCUUCGGGAACUUAGUGGGCUUCCGGAAUGAAAUCUCAAUCCGGGCUAGAAGACCGGAAUCAAGUUGAAGGCUAAUGGGCCAUUCCCAUUCCAGUCCGGAAUAGGAAUCCCAAACCGAUUCAUACGAACCAAACAAAAUUAACCGGAUUUGAUCAAACCGAUUCCCAUUCCAUAUCCAAAAUGGAUGAACCAAACAAGCCCUUAGCGUUAGAUACGCUUUAGUAUAUACCAAACAGGGUCUUACCGGUUACCAUGAGUGAAGAUUAGGGAUAAUCUGCGGUGUACAAGUGAAGGACAGCGCACUAUUUGAAGCGCUCCUGAAAAUUAAUCUUAUUAUUAUAAUGAAGGAUAUCAAGGAAAUAUUACCCUCUUCGUAUAUAAUAAUAGUUAUCCAUUAAUCCUCCCUCGCACGCUAUAUAAUAACAGCUAUCAAGGAUAUCCAUUAGUCCUAAUUGAUUCAUAUUUUCAACUCUCUCAAAAAAGAAAAAAAAAAAAUCCUCCUCGUUGUCUAAAAUAUGAGUAGUAGAUCUACUAUAUUUUUUAAAGUAUAAAAAAGUUGGUGCUUCUAACUGUUCGACCCUUGGAUCAACUCCAAUGAUCAUUUUUGAUCUUUUGAAUAAUAUGAUUAUCUCAAGAAAACCACUCAAUCCUAAGGGGGAUCACUAUCAUUCCGACCCUACAAUUUUUAAUCCAAUAACCAAAAAGUCAGAAGCACCAAUUUUCUUAUAUUUUCAACAGUAUAAUAACUCUAUACUUAAAAUAUUAUAAACUGUAAAAUAAACCGUCCUUAAAAUGAGUCUAAGGCUUCGUUUGGGAUUACAGGGAGAUUGCGUUACGUGCGAUGAGAAAGUACGAUAGAAAAAUACCCUAUUUGUUUUCGUACGUAAUACUGCUUUCGUAUGUUAUGAUGAGUCGGUUAUGAUAUAUUUUUUGCGUUCCCACCGGAGAACGCAGAAGUACAUCUCAUAUGCUUUUUUUUUUCUAUCUCUAUUUUAUUUAACAGCAUUAGAUAGACCUCAAUACCAAACUAAGUCUAAGUUACUACUGUAUUAUAUUUGCAAAGUUCUAAAGCACUCAAGUAUUUAGUGACGGCAUGAGGCGGAUUUAGAUUGGUUUAUCCCCGUACUACCCUGCAGAAGAAAAGAAGGGGGAAAAUAAAAAAAAAGAAAAAAAAAAAAUCCGUUCCUCUCGUACCCUGUUGUGGAGUUUGAAACUUUCCACGCUUGUUAUCAUCCGACCCGUUGUACAAAAUUCCUCACACUUGCAAUCACAAAUAUCUAAAAAAUGAAAAAAUUACAACAUUGUUAAUUUGAUGAAUUGUUCUACCAUUGAUAUCUAUAACAUAUAUAGUUUCUGUUUGAAUAGAAAAAACAUUUUAUUCCAUAUUUUGUUUAUUUAUUUAUUUAAAAAGUUCAUAGUAUUUGGCUCAAAAAGGGGGCGAUCAAAUGUUUCUAGAAUUUAGUCUUCAAGUUAUUUUUUCAGAAUAAAAAAAAUCAAUCUAGAAAACAGACACUUGCAAAUCAAAACCGAUUGUACAAACAAUAUAUAUAAAAAAUGGGAGCAGAAAGAUAACGCAUAUAUAAACUUCCAAAAUUAAUAUAUAUAUAUUAUAUCUAUAUAUAUAUAUCGUAUAUAUAUAUACUAUACUAUAUAUAUAUAUAUAUAUAUAAUCUAGCAGAAGAAAUGAUCGUGUUAAAAUCGAAACGGCAAAAAAAAUAGAUCCAGAAAAUAAUUUAAUGCAGGAAACGAAAAAAGAUAAGGAAAGAACACACCGAUAUUUACGUGGUUCAGCCAACGGCCUACGUCCACGGGCAAAGACAGAGCAAAUACUUUAUUAAUGUCGAAAAGGUGAAGUACAAAGAAAAUCUUUCAAAAGAACCAAACUUAAUUAGAUCGGAAAUGCUGCAACAAGCAACUCCAAAGCGGCUUCUCUCUCAACCCGUACGGACGAAAAAUUGGCCUUAAUUUGCCGGCGGCUUAGCUCUCUCUAAUAUGCAAUGCACAAUAGCUUCGUCUCGGCUCGGGUCACGACACGCAAGAAUGCACAAUACACCUUGGGUUGGGUUGACUUAAUUAAUUAAGCACCAACAGAGUACCCUGAGCCAAGCACCAAGAGCAACCCCUUAAUUAAUUUGCUUGGCCCUUAAUUUGGUCGCCGCAAGAUUAAUUUGAUCGUAGCAUGUAUUUAUAAUACAUGUCUCCUAACUAGAGUCUAAUUCUAAUUCAAUUAGAAUUACACUCCUAAUAAUAAUCCAUAUAUAUGUCAAAUUAAAUCUAAAUAAUAUCUAAUCCUAAUUAGAUUAGGAUUUAUCCUCAAUUUACAUAACUACAAAUCUAAACCAAAAUUUAACAAUCUCCACCUUUGUUUAAUUUGUAGUUUAGCCGCUGUGUCGAGAUCGCCAUAAAACUCCACCUUGAAUUUCAUUCGCCUCAAUAUUGCUUAACGCUCCGUGUUAUGUCUUCUCCAAACGCCCCAUAUGACCUCAAAUGCUACCAACUGCCACCAAGUCCAAACAAUGCUUGAACUUGGCAAUAUUAAGAGACUUAGUAAGCAUAUCCGCUGGAUUGUCCUCAGUACCAAUUUUCUUAACAGUCACUGUACGCUUCCCAAUCACAUCCCAAACAAAGUGAAACUUUGUAUCGAUGUGCUUUAUCCUCUCAUGAAACAUCUGAUCUUUCGACAAAUGAAUAGCACUUUGACUGUCUAAAUAAACAAUCGUUGUAUCCCAACUAGAAGUAAGCUCUCCAAAUAAGCCUCUUAGCCACAUAGCUUCCUUCACACCCUCUGUCAUAGCAAUAUAUUCCGCCUCUGUCGUCAACAAGGCGACAAUAGGUUGUAGUGAAGCUUUCCAACUAACUGCACAUCCGCCAAUAGAGAAUACAUAACCUGAAAGUGAUCUCCUCCUAUCCAAAUCACCUACAAAAUCCGAAUCAACAUAUCCAACCACACCAUCCUUACAUCUCCCAAACUCUAAACAAGUGCUAGUGGUACCUCGUAAGUAUCUCAAAAUCCACUUAACAGCUUGCCAAUGAGCCUUACCAGGAUUGGUCAUAUAUCUGCUAACCAUGCUUACUGCGUAGGAGAUGUCCGGCCGUGUGCAAACCAUGUCGUACAUGAUGCUCCCGACAGCACUAGAAUAGAGAAUAUGUGACAUGUACUCCCGCUCAUCAUCGGACUGCAGUGCUAACUCGGUGAAAAGUCUGAAAUGCGCCGCAAAAGGAGUGCUCACCGGUUUUGCGUCUGUCAUCCCGAAACGCUUUAAAAUCUUCUCUAUAUAUUUUUCCUGUGUCAAAUGCAGUAGUCCUAAUUUGUUGUCCCUCUUAAUUUUCAUACCAAGAAUUUUCUUAGCAGCACCUAGAUCUUUCAUCUCAAACUCACCCUUUAGUAAAGCAUUAAGUUUAUUUAUCUCAACUAUGUCGCUAGAAGCAAUUAACAUAUCAUCGACAUAGAGCAAAAAAUAUAUGAAAGAUCCCUUAUAAAGCUUUCUGAAGAACACACAACUGUCACGGUUGCUUCUGGAAUAUCCGUGACCUGUCAUGAAGGAGUCGAACCGCUUAUACCAUUGUCGAGGAGGCUGCUUUAAGCCAUAAAGUGAUUUCUUUAACAGGCAAACAUAGUCCUCCUUCCCUUCAACAAUGAAUCCCUCCGGCUGUUUCAUAUAAAUUUGCUCCUCAAGUUCUCCAUGUAGAAAAGCUGUCUUAACAUCAAGCUGCUCAAGAUACAGGCCAUUCAUGGCUACUAACAAUAAAAGAAUACGAAUAGAAGUAUGCUUCACGACGGAUAAGAAAAUAUCAUUAAAGUUAACACCUUCUACCUGACUGUAGCCCUUAGCAACUAAACGAGCUUUAUACCUUGUAUCUCCCACGCCGGGGAUUCCGUCCUUUUUCUUGAAGACCCACUUACAGCCGACAAUUUUCUUGCCUGUAGGCGAUUUUACCAACUCCCAUGUGCGAUUCUUAUGGAGAGACUCCAUCUCCUCAUUCAUCGCCACCAACCACUCUGCAGAACUGGCAUCAGAAAUAGCUUGAUUAUAUGUGGAAGGCUCACCUUAUUCUUCUGUGUCUUAUGCCACUGAAAAAGCGUACGCAACCAUAUCUUCAUAACCGUAUCUCUGCGGUGGUUUGAUCUGUCUCCUCGCUCUGCCUGUAGCAAUGCUGCCUCUCAACUUGUGGGGUUUCAGUUACUAAGGUGUCUGCCGACUAAACUUGUUCUGACUGAGAAGAAUCCUGCGACUAAACUAUACCAUCGGUCUCUACCUCCACCUACUUGCUAGCACUCGGUGUCUCAUCAGAAGAAUUAUGGUUAGUAUAUAAUAUAGCAAAUUCAUCAAAUGUGACAUCCCUACUAAUAAUUAAUUUAGACGAUUCAGGACACCACAAUAUAUAUCUCUUAACCCCCGAUGCAUAACCAAUAAAAAUGCACUUUUUAGCCCUAGGUUCUAACUUGCCUUCAUUAAUAUAAACAUAAGCAAGACAACCAAAUAUGCGUAAAUUAGAAUAAUUAGAAGGGCUGUCAGACCAUACCUCCUCCGGAGUUUUGCAAUCAAGUGCUGAAUGUGGAGAUCGAUUCACCAAAUAGCAUGCCAUAGAGAUCGCCUCUACCCAGAAACUCUUCGCUAAGCCAGCAUUAGAGAGCAUACAACGGGCCCUCUCUAAAAGAGUUAUAUUCAUCCAUUCGGCCACCCCGUUCUGCUGUGGAGUAUGCCUAACGGCCUUAUGUCGAACGAUCACUUCCUUCUUGUAGAAUUCUUCAAACUUUGACGAACAGAAUUCCAAACCAUUGUCGGUUUUUAAUCUCUUGAUCUUCUUUUCAGUUUGCUUCUCAAUCAUGACCUUUGUAAGGUACCGGACUUCUAAAAUCAUGAAGUUAUGGUUUAUAUGAGGUUAGAAAGCCAUUUGAAUGGUUUCGGUGAAGUUCGGUGAAGUUCGGGAGCUAUCGGGCGUUUCGGUGCGCGUAGGCGCGGAAACGGAACCCGAAAGGCUAUGUUGGGCCGUGAGCUAAAUCCGACAUUAAUGUGGAUGGAAAGAUGAUGAAAACAUGUUUGGAAACAUGUUUGAAGAGUCUCGGUUCGAUUUGAAGUGAAUCGGAGGUCAAACGAGCGAAAACGGACGAAAACGGUGAAAAAGGCUGAAAUUUGGCUAAGUCCUUGAGGCUGAGUACUGGACCUUCGGGGACCGGUCUCUCACCGCAAGGACCGGUCUCUCAGGGACCGGUCUCUCACCGCAAGGACCGGUCCCCGAGCGCGAAAAUGCCCAUUUUGGGCUGUUGCAAGAAGAGGCUUGUUGAGGGGCUUAAGUGCAAUUUUGCACUUAUUAGAGUGUAUAGAAGUGGGUUUUAACCCAUUUCUCUCUUCUCCCUCACCCCAACCGUGCCCCUCUCUCUCUCUAAACGAAAUAGAAGGAGAGGAAGAAGAAGAGAAAGGAGAAGGAGAGAAAGAAGAAGAAGAAGGAGAAGAAGAUCAAGAAAGGGAUCCUCGUCACCUCCUUCGUCUUCCUCGCGCUUGGAGCAACCUAGAGAGGUAAGCUUUGUUACCCUCUCAUGGUAGAUCUCUAGAAAUAGGUCUAAUUGCUCUAGGAAUGGAUUUAGUAGGCUCCUUUGAUGCUUAUGAGUAGAUUAUUGCAUGAAUCGGAGAUCGAUUUGGUGGUUUUUGCCGUAGUCGCAAACUAGGGCUCAAAAAUAGGAUUUUUGUAAAUAGAUGGGUUUGAUCUCUUUUAACCCUCUGUAAACCUAAUUGGUAGGUCUACGAACGCAACGGUGCGCUCGGUUCGGCGAUCCGACGAGUGUACGCGGAGAUAUUGAGGAUCAAAGCCGUUAAGGUACAGAUUGCCGCAGCUCGCGGCGAAAGCUUCCAAAAAUCAUGGAAAUGGAAUCGUAGAAUCGUGGUGUCGGGGAAUAAACUCCAGAACAGACGGAUCGCGGAUAGGAGGUCAUUUGGCAGUCGCGCGUGAGUUUGGUCGAGCCGUGCGGCGUGCGCCGCAGGAGGCCGAUUGCGAGUGACUACGAGCAAUCGGAACGCUAUAAAAGGUGGUUGUGUUUACGCGAAGCGACUAAGGUCGCCUUAUGUUAAGAUGAUUAAGGAACCACGUUGAUGCAUAUGCAUGUAUAAUGAUGCAUAUAGAUGAAUGCAUAUAAAGUAAAUAAUGCAUGUUAAUAGAAUAUGCAUGCUAAAUCUGCUAAGUAGAUCUCAUGUAAACAGUGAUGUAUGUUGUGUAUUGGAAUAUACUGCUAGUUUCACUUAGCAUUAUGAGUUCAUUGCUAGAUUAGGUAAAUGCAUAUUGCAUCAACGAACUUAUGCGAGAUGAAAUGUGAUAUCAUAGAAAUACCUCGAUAUAUUGGACGAAUAGAUUCAAGUAGAUCGAGUGGCAUUAACCUAGUGUUAAUAAACAUUGGUUCUGGACAUAGGAUUAUCAUUGGAACCUACACGUUGUUGAACCUAGGAUAAAUAACGAGUGCGCUCUAACCUAGUGUUAAGAACAUUAAGGUUUGAGAACUGAACCUAGAUUAAGGUAAAUCCUAGGUUUUCGACAUGGCGAGGCAUUAGACCUAGAGUCUGUUGGAACCUAGGUGGAAAGUGCAUUGGACCUUAAGAUAGUCAACAUGUAUACGGUUGAAUAUGGACCCCUUGACUUGUGAAGUCGAUUCCGGAAUCCCAAGUACUUGUGAACUCAAUAGUUCUUGGCCGGGUGUAUGCGGCGAUGUCCUCUCCCACCGGAAAGAACUUUGAGAUUAUGACUAAGCAAAACGAAAAUCCCCGCAGCGCUAGGUGCAGCUGCAUGUUCCUCUCCCUAAUCGGGGAUCUUGCGCUCUGGUGUACGCGGCUAUUUCAUCUCCCCACUAUGCGAAUCCUGACCACGGUGCACGGACCUUCGGCGAACGUUCGGGCGGCUGUGGUUCUUGCUUGCAGGCCUGAGGUGCAUGGCGAAGGAUCCUUCACCUCCGACCCAGAGCUGGGAUAUCCGCUGUUGAUUGACUCGAGCCCGAUGUCGGUGGCUAGCUGGAAUAUAGGUAGAUAAGAACAUUGAGGCUAGAUGGUAACUUGUGAUAAACUUAAGUAGGGAAACCUUAAGUUUGGAUACAUGGGUUAAAGAUUAGCGAGAUUGAUUGUAGAAUCAAUAAUUCUAUUAGUUGUUGCAUAAUUCCUGUUGCAUAAUAGCAUGCACGUGCAGUUGUGAGGAAAGCAAGUUAAGUUAGUGCAUGUUUAGAUAUACAUAUCUAUCUGUUUAUUGAGCUAACUUGUAAUUUGCCUCCUUGACUGUUUGUCGAGCUCCCUCCCUUGGGCUGGCCGUACCCACUGGGAACCAUGGAGCUUUGGCUCACCCACGUUUGUUUUGGGUUUUAGCAGUUCGCACCGUGAGGCGGCGGCGCGCGCGCAGGCUAAUAAAAAAAGGGCGUAGCUCCAUACAUAGCUGCCUCAACCCAAGACCAAGAGCUAGCGUACCUCCGUCACGUACUUAGAAAGCCAAGCAAAUGUAUUCAAAUUUAUAAAUAAAUCGUUGGUAAUAAACAUUAAUUGCAUUGGAGGUUGAAUGUAAUUGUAAAAAUGAAUCUAUAUGUAUGUUGUUAAUAUUUAGAUGUGUUUAUGCUUGUAUGAUACCUUCUUAGCAAUCAUCGAAUUUGAUAAUCUGUCCUGUUGGAACCUUGUAAUGUACAUUGUUUUGUGAUUGCUGACGCUUAGACAUACAGGGGAGACUCUGUCCGCGUACAGGGGAAACCCCCGUUAAGUUCGGCGUCUGUCGCAGUGCCCGAACCGGACCAAAUUGGGAGCGGUCUCGGGGCGUGACAACCUUCCACUGCUUGAAAUAAUUGAACAACUCAUCCUUACUUUUCAGAAAGAACGCCCAUACUUUACGAGAAUAAUCGUCAAUAAAAGUCAACAUAUAUCUAGCACCACCAUGAGUCGGAGUACGAGAAGGUCCCAGAAGAUCAGAAUAGAUGCAGUCCAGAGUUCCUUUUGUCUAAUGAACUGCGGCCUUAAAGCUGACUCUCUUUUGUUUGCCAAGAAUACAGUGCUCGCAGAAGUCCAACUUUUCUAAACUCUGAUUACCAAGUAGAUCUCUCUUGCCCAACUUCAUCAUACCAUAUUCGCUCAUAUAGCCUAGUCGCAUAUGCCAUAAUCUGGUGCUAUCAGAAUCUGACUUAGAGGAAGAAGUUACCGCUGCUGAACCUGUCACAGUGGAACCUUGUAGAACAUAUAACAUGUCGGACAACUUGGCAUUCAUCACUAUAAGAUUCCCUUUAGCAGCCUUCAUUAAUCCAUCAGCUGAAGAAUACUUUUAAUAUCAAGUGUACCCAACGAGAUCAGAUUUUUUCUCGUAUCCGGAACAUGCCGAACCUCAGAUAUAGUCCUCACAACUCCAUCGAAUAUCUGUACCCGAAUAGUGCCAAUUUCAAUAACUGUGCACUUAGAGUGAGUCGAGAACAUUCUUUAUGCAUGCAGAUAUGGAAGGAACAUGCGGAGUCCAUAAGCCACUCAUCCUGUUUGCGUGUCUUAUCUGUAACUGUAAAAACGAUAUCAUUUUUAUCUGAUUCUCCUGCUGCAACACUUGCUUCAGCUUUAGUAUUGGUGUUUUUCUGACCCUGAAUUUUAUCACCGUUAUUCUUCCGCUGCUUUUUAUUUUUCAACUUGAAACACUCAGCUUUUAUGUGACCCUUAUUCUUACAAUAACCACAAAUUAGAUACCUAUGUUUUGACUUUGAUCUAAAUAUACCUCUAUUAUCGGAACCCUUCUCGCGAGACCUCCCUCUAGCGACCAAAUCUUGUCCUGAAGCUCCAUCUGUCUCGUUGCUUAUCUGCAUGUCAAUUUUCUCUUUUGAAAGUAAAGAGGAUUUAACAUCAUCGAGACAUAGAGUAUCUCGUCCAAACAAGAAGGUCUCACGAAAAUUCUUAUAAAAGGGCAGUAGAAAACAUAAUAAUAAAAGGGCUUCAUCUUCCUUCUCGAUUUUAACAUCUAUCGAGCGGAGAUCCAUAAUAAUAGAAUUAAAUUCAUCUAAAUGCGACUUAAUAAAGAUAUCUUCCACUAUACGCAACAUGAAGAGACGUUACUUCAAAUAUAACUUGUUGGUGAGAGACUUCGUCAUGUGGAGAGACUCCAAUUUAAGCCAAAACCCUGCAGCGGUCUUUUCAUCAAAAACCUCGCGCAAUACCUCAUUGGAUAAAUAUAAUUGUAUUGCCAUAAGAGUUUUGUCAUCAAUCUCCUCCUUCUGCUCUGCCGUUAACGAAUCGGACAUUUUUUCUUUUCCCAAUAGUGCCUUCUGCAAUCCUUACUGCGUCAAUAUAGCACGCAUCUUGACUUGCCAUAAUGCAAAACUGUUGGUCCUGUCAAAUUUCUGAAUCUCGAACUUCGUCGUCAUCUUAUUUCUCAAAGGGAAUAGAAAGACUCUGAUACCAGUUUGUUAAAAUCGGAACGGCGAAAAAAUAGAACCAAAAAAUAAUUUAAUGCAGGAAACGAAAAAAGAUAAGGAAAGAGCACACCGAUAUUUACGUAGCUCUGCCAACGGCCUACGUCUACGGACGAAGACAGAGCAAAUAUUUUAUUAAUAUCAAAAAGGGGGAGUAUAAAGAAGAUCUCUCAAAAGAGCCAAACUUAAUUAGAUCGGAAACGCCGCAACAAGCAACUCCAAAGCGGCUUCUCUCUCAACCCGUACGGACCAAAAAUUGGCCUUAAUUUGCCGGCGGCUUGGCCCUCUCUAAUAUGCAAUACACAAUAGCUGCAUCUCGGCUCGGGUCACGACACGCAAGAAUGCACGAUACACCUUGGGUUGGGUUGACUUAAUUAAUUAAGCACCAACAGAGAACCCUGAGCCGAGCACCAAGAGCAACCCCUUAAUUAAUUUGCUUGGCCCUUAAUUUGGUCGCCGCAAGACUAAUUUGGCCGUAGCAUGUAUUUAUAAUACAUAUUUCCUAACUAGAGUCUAAUUUUAAUUCAAUUAGAAUUACACUUCUAAUAAUAAUCCAUAUAUACGUCAAAUUAAAUCUAAAUAAUAUCUAAUCCCAAUUAGAUUAGGAUUUAUUCUCAAUUUAGAUAACUACAAAUCUAAACCAAAAUUAAACAAAUCGAGCAAAAAUAGAGGACGGUAAAGAGAAUGAAAAAAUUUGAGGACUGUAAAAAACAUUUAAAAACUUAUAAAAUAAACACACGUGAUUCCGAGAUCAAAAUCAAACCAACAAAAUUUAGCUUAUCCACCAUAGCAACUGUACACACGGUCGCAGGGUGUUUAUGUAUGCACACUAUGCUUCCCAAACAAAUUUAUUCUGCAGGAAACUAAGAAUAUCAAAUCGCUAUGCUUAUUUAAUGCUUACACAAAGUCCCCUUUACACACCCACUAUCUAUUAUCUAUUAUCUAUUAUCUAUUAUCUAUUACUUUACAUUAUUUCUUAAAAAAUUUGCUACAUGGCAACACAAGCUUCAAUGUUGUUGGGUGUGGGCUCCACCGGUUCUUUCUCUUUAGUGGAAACGAACCGAAUUGUCGAGUAUGAGUCCCAUCCUGAACCAGCUCAAGUCCUCCAAAUAAUUUUACCUUUUUUUGUUUGAACCAAACAUGAUUGAGUGAGGCCUCUAUACUAAACCGGUUUCUGUUUCCUGUUUUUUGUUUGCCUGAACCAAACCGGUGCUCUUUUUCUUUGCUUGAACCAAUCUGUUUUAUUAGACUGAACCAGACCAAUUGAUUUAUAUCAUUUAUUAUUCGGCAAACUUGCAUUACAUGUUAAUUAAUUAUAAUAAUUCGAAGAAAAAAAACUUCAAUUAUCAAUCAUAUAUAUAUUUUAUUUAUUUAUUUAUUUAUUUAUAUAUUAUUUCUUCUAAAGUUGCCACAUGGUAAUUUUUCCUUCAUUUUUGAGUGUGUGCUCCACCCGAACGAGCUAAAGUCCUUUCUCUUCCUCUUCCUUCGGCUGCUAUUUUCGUUCAAUGGCAAAAUGAAUCCCACCCCUCAUUAUCGUUUUUUUAUCGCUGCUUUCUUUUUUUUUUAUCGAUACUUUCUAUAUAUAUUUUCUCUAAUUAUCUAUCCGUGGCAUCGCACGGGAUACUACGCUAGUUUUUAGAUGAAUUGUUGAACUAAAAGUUUCAAAUAGAAUGAAAGACAAUCUGAUUAUGCAGUCUUUGCAUGCCUAGCAAUAGUUUUUCGCGAGAUGAGAUCAACGUGUUAAGUUAUUUAUAUCUAACAAACUCAGCCCAACCACUUCAUACAUUUGAAGACGCACUGUUUCCACCUAAAUCAAACACUCUGUAUGGGAUUACACAAAACUUCAUGAAAAGAACAGUUCUAUUGCAAAUUAAUUUAUGACAUAUUGAGUGUUGCCAACAACAAAAUUGACAUUUUUUUUUUUUUUUGCGUAGGAAAAUUGCCCCAAAAAAAUCUACUUAUUAAAAUUUCACUAUAAAGUAAUUAAGAAUUGAAAUAUAGAUAAAUUAUUCAUUAAUAGUCCUCGGCUCCAUAAAUUGGAGUAUGCCAAGCACCAGCCUAUUGUCACUUGGUGAGGAAAUAAUAAAUAUAUCAAAAGAAAACAAAAGAAGACAAAAGAAAAAAAAGAAAAGAAAAAAACAUGUUUUUUCUUAAAGCUAGUGAAAUUUGGAAAAAAUAUGAGGACCAACGGAGUAAAAAAAUACAAACAAUCCAAGCACCCAAACAAACAAAUAAAUAUAAAAAAUAAUUCAUCGUGUGGCCCAAAAAGCAAAUAAGUUACUUCCUAUAAAACUAAAGAUAUAUUCUUGCUCAGUCUUACAGAAAAACCCCUUGUCAAUAUCCACUUUUUCACUUUCUCCUCUGUCAUUCAAAAACCUACAUUUUGCCCCCCUUAAAAAAUAAAAAAUGUUCACUUUGAUCCCCACCGUCAGUGUUCCAUUAGAGUUCCGUUUAUAUCCUUUUUUUACACCAAAAAUACCUCUGAAACCCUUCUCCUUCUUCAUCCUCGGCCACACCGCCUCACCCUCCACUGCCUCGCCCUCGCUCACCUCUUUGUCCAUGCCCACACACACACCCUCGCCCGCCUCCGCUGCCUCACCCUCGCCCUCACCCACCUCUCUGUCCAUGCCCGCCCCAAAGAAGAUGAAGGGCAAUUUGGUUAUUUUGUUACAGCGUAUCCUCCUGUGAACAAUUUAUAUUUUUUAAGGGGAUAAAGUGUAGAUUUUUGAAUGACAUAAGGGAAAGAAAAAUAAGUGGGUAUUGACAGAGAGAUUUUCUGUAAUUUAGCCUUAUACUUAAUAAAUUUUCAUAAUAAAGUAAUUGAGAAUUGAAAUAUAGAUAAAUUUAUUCAUUGGAAGUCCUCAGCUCCAUAUUGGAAUAUGCCAAGCAGCGGCCCAUUAUCACUGGGUGAGGAAAUAAUAAAUACAUUAAAAGGAGACAAAAGAAAAGGCCUUUUUGCAUAAAAAAUCCAUUUAUUUUGGGCUUUUGCAAAAUCGGGCCAUUUUUUUCGUUUUUACAGAUUCGGUCCGCUUUUUCAGCAAACUGACCAAAAUACCCUUAUAUAUUUUUCUCUCUUCUCUUUUUUUUUUUUCUCGUUCCUUUUUUCUUUCUUUUCCCAGAGACGUCGUCGUCCCCGGCCGUGCUCGCCCGUGGCUCCAUGGACACCGCCCGCGCCGUGCUGGAGCGGAGCGACCCGGAGUGGCGCCCGGCCGACGCCGUCGACGCGUCCGGCNAGGUAAAAAAAUUGUGAAGAAGAGGAAGAAGAAGGAGACGACGAAGAGAGAGACGGAGAGAGAGAGAGAGAAAAAAAAAGAAAAUUGAGGAGACGACGAAGAGAGAGACGAAGAGAGAGACGGAGAUGGGAGCGGCGGCGGGGAGGACGUCGGCACGACCGGGCGGGGCCCGCACACCUCGAAGGAAUCGAGGAGGCUCGAGGCGCGGUUACCGCAGCAGCUGCCACCUCUGCUCGCUGUUUCACUUCUGGAAAAUGGUGUAAUGGUGCAAAAUGGAAUAAUAGUGUAAUGGUGCAAAAUUGUAAUGGUGUAAUGGUGUAAUGGUACAAAAUAGUGUAAUGGUGUAAUGGUGUAAUAGUGCAAAUGGUGUAAUGGUGUAAUGGUGCAACAUUAUAAUGGUGUAAUGGUGUAAUGGUCCAGAUUGCACCACUAGGACCAGAUUGCACCAUUUAAAAAAAUUUUACACUAUUUUUUUUUCCCUCUUUCUCUUCUUUUUCUUCUUCUUCCUCUAGAUUGCACCAUUAGCUUUUUUUUUUUUUUUCCUCUUUCUCUUCUUCUUCUUCUUCUUCUUCUUCUUCGACGGAGGCGUCGGAUCGGUGGUGGGAGACGUAGGGGGAGACGGAUCGGGAGGCCACGAGGCGCAGCGGAGACGAUGGGCGAUGGGGCUUCAAGGUGCGGCGGCUCGGGGCCGGGGGGGCCUCGUUGUCGUCGUCGUCACUGGGCAACUAGUAGGAAAGCGUAGGAACGCGCGGCGCCGGCGCCUAGUAGGAACGUGCGGCGCCGGCGCCGGCGCGGCGGUGGUCGGGCUCGAGGUCUGCGCGGGGGAGGUCGACGAGGAAGUAGAGCUUUCCCGGCUUGAGCGGGGCGUCGGGGUCGAGCGGUCGGGCUCGGAGUCCGACGCGCUUGACCUCCUCGGACUCGCGCACGGCGAAUCUCGGGUGGUCUCGGAGGUCGACGUCGGCGCCAAACUCCAGCAGCAGCUGGACGAGGUCCGGCCGGCCCUGCGCAAUGGCCGAGUGCAGCAGGCCGACGCCGGACGCGUCGACGGCGUCGGCCGGGCGCCACUCCGGGUCGCUCCGCUCCAGCACGGCGCAGCGGCGUCCAUGGGAAAGAAAGAAAAAAGAACGAGAAAAAAAAAAGAGGAGAGAGAAAGAGGAAAGAGAAAAAUGUAUAAGAGUAUUUUGGUCAGUUUGCUGAAAAAGCAGACCGAAUCUGCAAAAACGAAAAAGGUGGCCCGAUUUUGCAAAAGCCCAAAAUAAGUGGAUUUUUUAUGCAAAAAGGCCAAAAGAAAACAAAAGAAAAAAAAAAGAAAAAAACAUGUUUUUUCUUAAAGCUAGUGAAAUUUGGAAAAAAAUAUGAGGACCAACGGAGUAAAAAAAUAUAAACAAUCCAAGCACCCAAACAAAUAAAUAAACAUAAAAAAUAAUUCACCAUGUGGCCCAAAAAAGUAAGUAAGUUACUUUCUGUAAAACUAAAAUAUAUUUUUGCUCAGUCUUACUCAUAUAUUUGGCUAAAAAACGGAAGCAAAUAGUUGCUUCAUGACCACGUUGGCCGAGCUUCUACUAAAUAGGAUCGACGGUGGCAAGGCAACGAAGCCAAUGCCAGGCGGCGGAAGAUGCGAGGGAGAGGAUGAAGAUGAAAAGGUUGUUGGGGAGGUGAGUCUGGGAGACAGUGAAGAAUGUGCGUGAGAGAGAGCGAGAGAGAAAGAGAGAGGGAGGGAGAUGGGAGAGGGUAAGAGGGAGUCGAGUAGGUAAGGGGGAGAUGUAAAUUGUCUGUAAAGAGGAAUAGGAGGAAGCAUGCGGCUGGUCCCACAUAUGAUUUGCAAAUAUUUUCUAACACUGUAGCGGGCCACAUAGGGAUGCAAAUGGAUCCGGGUUGGUGGAGCUUCGCCCCGAUCCGCCCCGAAUGGGGUGGUAAGUGGGAACAAAAAAUAUAAAAAAAUAUAACCCGCCCCGAAUCCGCCCCGAUCCGCCAAGUAAAUGGAGCGGGAGGUGGGAGACUCUUUUCUUCCUUCAAUCCGCCUCGAUCCGUCAAAAAUCCGGCUCCCGCCCCGAUCCGCCCCGAAUGGAGCGGUAAGUGGGAGCCAAAAAUAAAAUGAAAAGUAACCCGCCCCGAAUCCGCCCCGCCCCGAUAAGAAAUGGAGCGGGAGGUGGGGGAACUCUCCCGCCCCCGGAUCCGCCCCGUUUGCAUCCCUAGGGCCACACAUAGAGUAAAUGCGGAGAGCGUUUCAAGUUGCCAAAUUAUAAGUUUAUACUUAGGCUAAAUUACGGAAAACCCCUUCUGUCAAUAUCCUCCUUUUCACUUACCCCUCUGUCAUUCAAAAACAUGCACUUUGCCCCCUUAAAAAAUAAAAAAUAUUUACUUUGACCCUCACCAUUAAUAUUCCGUUAGGAUUCUAUUUUAUAUCCUAAUUUUUACACCCAAAAUACAUCUAAAACCCUUCUCCUUCCUCAUCCUCGACUGCACCACCUCGCUCUCGCCUAUCUCUCUGUCCAUGCCCACACACACUCCCUCGCCUGCCUCCGUAGCCUCACCCUCACCCUCACCCUCACCCUUGCCUAUCUCUCCGUCCACGCCAACGCCAAAGAAGAUGAGGGGCAAUUUGAUCAUUUUGCCACAACGUACCCUCCUAUGAACAAUUUUUAUUUUUUAAGGGGGUAAAGAGUAUAGGUUUUUAAAUAACAUGAAGAAAAAGUGAAAAAGAGGGUAUUGACAAGAGGGUUUUCUGUACUUUAACCUUAUACUUAUUAAAAUUUCAUAAUAAAGUGUUUAAGAAUUGAAAUAUAGAUAAAUUAUUCAUUUGGAGUCCUCGGCUCCAUAGAUUGGAGUAUGCCAAGCACCAGCCUAUCGUCACUGAGAGAGGAAAUAAUAAAUACAUCAAAAGGAAACAUAAGAAGACAAAAGCAAAAAAAGAAAAAAACAUAUUUUCCUUGAAGCCAGUGAAAUUUGGAAAAAAAUAUAAGGACCAAUAGAGUAAAAAAUACAAACAAUCAAAGCACCAAAAUAAACAAAUAAAUAAAAAAAAAUAACUCAUCAUGUGGCCCAAAAAGCAAGUUACUUCCUAUAAAAUUAAAAAUAUAUUUUUUGCUCAGUCUUACUCAUAUAUUUGGCUAAAAAACGGAAGCAAAUGGUUGCUUGAUGAGCAGGAGGGCGAAGCUUCUCCUAGAUCGGAUCAACGACGGCAGGUAGCGAAGCCGAUGCCAGGGCGAAAGAUGCGAGGAGGGAGAGAAUGAAGAUGAAAAAGUUGUUGAGAAGGUGAGUCUUGGAGACAUUGAAGAAUGAGAGAGAGAGAGAAAGAGAGAGAGAGAGAGAGAGAGAGAGAGGGGUAAGAGGGAGUCCAGGAGUAGGUGGUGGGUCCAACAUAUGCUUUGCAAAUAUCUUCUAACACUGUAGCGGGCCCCACAUAGAGUUAAUGCGGAGAGCGUUUCAAGUUGCCAAAUUAUAAGUUUAUUCUUAUGAUAAAUUACAGAAAACCCCCAUGACAAUAUCCGCUUUUUCACUUUCUUCCUCCUCUGUCAUUCAAAAACCUAUACUUUGCCUCCUUAAAAAAUAAAAAAUGUUGACUUUGACCUCCACCGUCAGUAUUCCGUUAGGAUUCCAUUUAUAUCCUAUUUUUUACACCCAAAAUAUUCCUGAAACCCUUCUCUUUCUUUAUCCUCAGUCACGCCACCUCGCCCUUGCCUACCUCUCUGUCCAUACCCACACACACGCCUCGGCCCACCUCCGCCGCCUCACCCUAGCCCUCACCCUCGCCCACCUCUCCGUCCACGCCCACCCCAAAGAAGAUAAAGGGCAAGUUGUUUAUUAUGUCACAAUGUACCUUCCUACGAAUAAUUUUUAUUUUUUAAGGGGGUAGAGUGUAGGUUUUUGAAUGACAUAGAGAAAAAGUGAAAAAGUGGGUAUUGACCGGAGGAUUUUCUGCAAUUUAACCUUAUACUUAUUAAAAUUUCAUAAUAAAGUAAUUAAGAAUUGAAAUAUAGAUAAAUUAUUCAUUGGGAGUCCUCGGCUCCAUAGAUUGGAGUAUGCCAAGCACCAGCCUAUUGUCACCGAGAGAGGAAAUAAUAAAUACAUCAAAAGGAAACAAAAAAAGAUGAAAAAAAAAAGAAAAAAACAUGUUUUUCCUUGAAGCCCGUGAAAUUUGGCAAAAAAUAUGAGGACCAGCAGAGUAAAAAAAACAAACAAUCCAAGCACCCCAAACAAACAAAUAAAUAUAAAACAUAAUUCAUCAUGUGGCCCUAAAAGCAAGUAAGUUACUUCCUGUAAAACUAAAAAUAUAUUUUUGCUCAGUCUUACUCAUAUAUUUGGCUAAAAAACGGAAGCAAAUGGUUUCUUGAUGAGCACGCCGACGGAGCUUCUCUGAGAUAGGAUCGACAACGGCAAGGUAGCGAAGCUGAUGCCAGGCUGCGGAAGAUGCAAGGAGGGAGGGGAAGAAGACGAAAAAGUUGUUGAGGAGGUGAGUCUGGGAGACAGUGAAGAAUGUGUGUGUGUGUGAGAGAGAGAGAGAGAGAGAGAGAGAGAGAGAGAGGGGGGGGAGGAGAAGGGAGAGGGUAAGAGAGAGUCAAGAGUAGGUCAGGAAAAGAUGUAAAUUGUAUGUAAAGAUAAAUGGGAGGAAAAGGUUUUAAGUACCCGUCGGUACGGAUCGUAUCUACCGAGUCAUACCGUGCCAAUAAGAUAUCGGCACGAUACAGACUCCGUGCCGAUGGCAUAACUCAAAACCCUCUAUUCUUUAAAUUAGUAAGUAGUUUCCUCAAUAAAGUUCGAAAGAUGUGAUAAAAAGACAUAAUAAAUAGUUAUAAUAUUUUAUUGUUAAAAAAAAUAAAUAUUUCAUGCUAUUAUGCGUCGACACACAAAAUUUUUUUUGAUCGGCACGCAUCUUCUGCACGCACUGUCCGUACCGUACCGGCAAGUUUUUGGCACGACUCCGUAUCAUGGCACUUAAAUUCUUGGGAGACAGCAUGCGGCGGGUCCCAUAUAUGCUUUGCAAGUAUCUUCUAAUACUGUAGUAGGCCCCACAUAGAGUGAAAUGCCAAGUGUUUCAGGUUGUCAAUGUUUCAGGUUGUCAAAUUAUAAGUUUAUAAAAAUAGGAGUAUUGAAUGGGUCAUAACUAGACCAUCUAUUUUAGCACACAUUAUGUACGAUCUAUAUCAUGUCAUCCCUAAAAGCAGCAGCUGCUGACUGCGACCGAAUUAUGCAUUGAAAGGUCCAAAAGCCUUCUGCAAUAAAAUAGUUAGAUGUUUCAUACUGUUCUGUCCUUUGCCUCAAGCUGGCCUGCUAUGGCAAUCCGGACUUCCCCUUUAUGUACAGUUGGGAACUUGUGCUCCUUUUCCUCACAAAAGAAUCUUUUAAUUUUUAACGACCUUAUAUAGGUUAAAUGACUAAAAGGUUGAUGGUUUGUAUAUGAGAUCUCAAGUUUCGAAACCUGCUUCAUAUUUUUAAGUGAGUUCAUUUAACAAAAAAAAUAAAUAAAACAGAUAGUUUGCUAUCUUUUUCUCUGAAAAAUAAAAUAAAUAUUUUCUUGUUACUGGACUAACAUUAUUAUUAUUAUUUUUUUUUUUUUGUUCCAGAACUAACAUUCUCCUGUUGUCCAUAAUAAUUUUCAGCACAUACCAUAAUGUCCCUAGCGCAGGCGGGGAAAGACAUAAUGAUUGGUAUCAUCGAGUGGGCCAUGGCUCGCAUCAUCGAAAGCCCAACCAUCCAAGCCCGUUUGAAUGAGGACAUUGCCGCAAAUGUCGGGAAUAACCGGCCCGUGAAUAAGACAGACAUAGAGAACAUGCCAUACCUACAGGCUUUCAUAGAAGAGCUGUUACGGAAGCAUCCGCGGACCCACUUUGUACUGAGCCACGUAGUGUCGGCCAACUCGGCCUAUCCAGCCCAAUUGAGUGGGUAUGACAUCCCAACCAAUGCGAGGACCCGAAGCUAUGGACCCAACCCGUGGAGUUCAACCCAGACCGGUUCCUGACAGAUGGAGAGAGACGCAGAUUUGACAGGCUCAAGACGGAUACGGAUGACACCAUUCUGGGCCGGCAGAAGGAUCUGUCCCAGGCUGGCCCUCGGCAUAACCCACAUUGUGCUGAUAGUGGCGAGGAUGGUGCAGGCCUUCAAAUGGCAGGCCCACCCAUUGCAACCCGACCUGAAUUUUAAGGAUGACCAGUUUGAGUUCACCGUCGUCAUUAAAAGGCUGCUCCUCGCCAUGGUCAGGCCCCGAAAUAUGAACAAAGUACAGCAUUUGAGUUCACCUUCAUCGCCGCCGUACCAGAUCUUUUAACUUCUUGUGAUUUUACGUUUGUUACUAGUAAGCAGUUGAAGGAGAGCGAGAGACCAACCCUACCACCUGUUUAACAACUCAUUUACUCGUGUCAAUAAAUAUCUUUUUCAGGGUUUUUUUAUAAAAUGACCCUCCAAAAAUUUCAAAUUGGUAAAAUAACCCUAUCAAAAUUUUAUUUGAAAAACUAACUUUCCUUUCGCCACGUUGAAUUUUUACUAUAAAGACAGUAAAUCAUUCACCAAAAUAUAUAUAUAAUGAAGGCUUGAUUCACCGCCUUCAUUAUAUAUAUGUGAAGACGGCGAAUGAUUCACCAUUUUAUCUGUGUUUAACUUCAUGACUCAGAUAAAUUUCGAUAAAUUUAAGAUAUUUUGCACUAAAGACGGUGAAUGAUUCACUGUCUUCACAUAUAUAUUAUGAAUACGGUAAAUCAUUCACCGCCUUCAUUAUAUAUAUGUGAAGGCGGUGAAUGAUUCACCACAUCAUAGUAAAAAUCUGACGUGCGCCUACGUGGUGAAAGGAGGAUUAUUUUUCCAAAUAAAAUUUUGACAGAAUUAUUUCUCCAAUUUUAAAAUUUUAGAAGGUUUAUUUUAUAAAAAAAAAACCCUCUUUUUCAUCUUUUUCUUGAGGGCCCAUUAGGCCCAGUUGGAGCUUCCGCACGAGCACUAACAAAAUGGUUUUACUAAAAAAACAACCCCAAAAUCUACCGACCUCCCCAAAUUUGAGUUUUUGGGCAUCCGAAACACAUUUCAAUUACCUAGUAUUACCAAGCAUCUGAAUAGCUGCGUUAGUAGCAAAACAAAAGAUAAGUUCGCUUUUGCACUACUCAAGUGCCGUCAAAAUUUGAGACAAAUAGCAGAGAGAAGAACAUUAGAAUGCCCUGAUUUCUGUAUGCUGACAAAGUGUCUAACAUCAUCUGUAAAACGCAUUUAAACAUCCAACUACUACAAGUGUACAUACAAGAUUCCACAUUCUAGAAGCUGGCGAAAACAUAAAUAACAUCUACAGUUUCUUUUUUUGCAUCGAAUUCAUAGGGUCGCUAUUUUCAACUUAAAACCUAAAACUUCAGCCACUCAAAUACUUAAAUCACACUCUGACUUUCAAAACAAACAAAGUUCUAAUAAUUCAACUAUAACAGGGAUGGGAACCUGACCUGACAGUAUGCACUUGUCAUGUAUUAGCUGGCAACUCUGCGUUUGUGAAACGCGGCAUUUGCUCUACCAUGUAGGAACUUAAACUCUUCGUCUUCUUUAAUCCAGAUAUUCUUUUUCUAUGUCCUUUCCCUCGUUUGUGUUGCUCCCACUCAUGCGCCCCUCGCAAGAUCCGAUUACCACAGGCCUAUCAUACAACAUCCAACAAACGAAGAAGUCAUACAGUGCCUACUAACAUACUGGUCAUUGUGUAAUAUGCAGGUUUCAAAUACUUUUUAGUUUUUACAUAAAGAAAUUAGAUCGAAUUUCUUUCAAAAUAAUUUGACUCUCAAUGCAAAACAAAAGCACAAGAUCUAAAAUCAAGGAAAAUAAAAAGAAUCUUGUAUUUCAACGUGUUUGGAACGACUAGCAAGUGGAACAAGACAAAAACAAAUAACUGGUACAGAAACAUUCUUUUCCCCCCUUUUAUUUGUUUUGUUUUGCAUUGUUUCUGUUGGGUUGAGUACUUAGCUGGUUUGGUUUCCUUUCGUAGCCCUUUUUUAUAUUUCCCUCAGAAUUCAAGGUCUCUUAUGUAAAUGUUCCAUUUAUAUCUUAAAUAGUAUGUGGGGUUGUAGCGAAAACAGAGCCCUAUACCCCUUCCUCUAGUCUACUUCUCUUUAAAGCAUCAUGGUAUCAGAGCAAACCCUAAAUAGAGUUAAUUAAGAAAUUAAUAUAGAUAAGAGAACAAAAGAAGGCCCGAUCAGAUUCUUCACUUACCAAUCGGGCCUCCCGAAGAACAUCCAACCAUCAUCACUCCUUUUCCUAAUCUCUUGUUGCCAUUGUAAUCCUUGUGUGGCCACAAGCUUCGCUCCUUGUGUAUAACCACUGUUGCCACAAGCUUCGCUUGACUGCUGCUGCUUGCUCUACGGAGCUGUUGUCGCAUGUAUUAGCAGCCGGCAGUCAUCUUUUCUUGUGCUACCUUGUAUGUCCCUGCUGCUCACCUUGGUUGCCGCUGCUUGCUCUGCCAUCGCAGCCCAUCUAGCUGACGUAGCCUUAUAGCCUCUAGCACCUACCUUGACUGCCACUGCUCUCCUCAUUGCUGUUGAUCACCAUCAAUCAUCUCAGCCGUGCAGACCUGGCUGAAUGCAGUGCGAACUUGGAAACUUGGCAUUUAAUUGGUUGACAUUGGUAGCUAGCCUCUAGAUCUGUCGUCGCUUUCUUCUUCUCACACUGAUAUCAUUGGUAACAAGUAUCUUCAUAGCUGCAUUCAACUGGAACCAACGACUAUGUCAUGCAUUACAUGAUUCAUGCAUUACAUGAUUCGAAUUUUCCUUUUUCUAUAUAAUAUGAAGAUUAUUUUAUAAUACAAGUUUGACUAUUCUUCUUUCUUGCCGGCUGCAUCUGUCAAAUCAGUAUGUCUAACAGGUGCGACAAUCAACUGAGUGAAAGAUUAUUGUUUCAUCAAGUGGACCAAAAAUGAUUACCACAGUAACUGAUAGUCCCUUUCUACAAAUUAUUGCGAUAAACUUGACGGGCAAAAUUAUCUUGAACGGUCUUGAUCCUGUUUGAUAUUUAUUAAAUCCUGAAAGCUGUACGAUUAUAUAACAGGUAGCAAAAAGAGAUCGGCAGAAGAGGAUCUGUCCUUAAGCCAAUGGAAGUCCCUAGUGACGUCAUGGCUUUUGAAUUCGAUGCAACAGCAAUUGCGUGGAUAUUGUUUUGUGACUCAGCCUGCAAACUUGGAGUGCUGCCUCACAAACGUGCUCCAAGGUGGGAAAUGAUGCACUGAUGUAUAAAAUCAGGAAGGUGCAAGAUAUAAUAGAACUAAACUUAUUAACCCAGCUAAGCAUUUUGGGCGGUGGAUAGGCCCAAAAAGUUAAGAGGGUUAAGCGUACUAGGGCUAAAGUAGUUCUAGAAUUGGGUGACCCCCUAGGAACGGGGCAUCCUAGUUGGUACCAAAGCCAAUCACUAGCCAAAAGAGUGAGAUGAGUCUCGACUGAGUUAGGGUCAUACAGUGGGUAGAGCAUGGCUUUCUGGUUGACAAUCGUUGUAGGUGGAACGCGGUCCCCACAAGGUUGGCUAAGGCUAGCGAGACGAGUAUCAUAUCGCCUAGUGCUUGUGAGUGUGCUUGAGCCUAAUGAGGACGUCAGGGCUUGAAAGGUGGCAAAAUGUGAUACUCCUAGGAUUUGAAAUAGUCCUAUAUAUAAGACAUAAUAGGACUAAACAUUUUAACCCGAGUAUAACAUUUUGGACGGUAGCUAGUUCCAAGAGGUUAACAGGAUUAAACGUGCUAGGGCUAGAGUAAUUUUAGGAUGGGUGACCCCCCUAGGAAGUGCAGUGUCACAUCUUGCAAGUCAAUAGGCAAAGUAUGAUCCAAUAAGGGUACAAAAUCUCAGAAAGGAGCUAUUCUGACAUUAAGGUAGGUAUAUGCUUAUGUGCAACAAGAGUAGAAGGAAUAUCAUGUUACAUCAAAUUACUUCCAAAAAAUCAGCAUUGGUAACUAGCUCUACCUCGAAAGUUAGCAAAGAAAAUCAAGCAAGGUGACAUAAUUUGGGCAUAGGAGGAACGGAUCUACUCAAAUGUGAUCACUGUGGGUGAACUAAGCACAUGUGACAGAUGUGCUGGAAGCUACUUCGACAUCCCCCUAGAGGACGUGGAGUAAAAAAUGGUGGUGACCCUAGACGAGAAUUUCGCAGGUCACAUGCCUAUAGUCCAAGGCGGUUAAAAAUCUCUCUCAAGAAGGGAAUUGUUCAAAAGCAGGUAGCUUAUCUCAAGACAACCUUCAAACUGUCUGCAAGUUGAUGUUGAAACUUGACUCUUUUCAAUUCCACUUCUCCAUCAACACCUACUGCUACAUCUAAUUUUGCUCUCUUAGGUUUAUCUUCUUUUGCAUUCAAUUCUAUCAAAACUAACUCUCGACCUUGGAUCAUUAUAUCUGAACUGGUUUCUCAGAACUUUUCUAACCCUAUGUUUCUUGCAAAGUUUAAGUCUGUAUAACUGAUGGUUCUCUGUCCUCUAUUUUUGGUAAAGGUUCAAUAAUUUGUACUCCUAAUCAAACUCUAUUCUCAGUCUUGCAUGUUCCUAGCUGUCCAAACAAUCUUCUAUCCAAGGAUUUAAGAGCCCAUCGGCACAGGCCGUAUCCACCGUGCCGUAUCAUGCUAACAAAAUACCGGCACAAUAUAGCGCCCGUGCCAAUGGUACAGCUCAAAACCCUUUUACUUAAAAUAAGUAAUUUUCUCAAUAAAGUUCAAAAUAUUUUUAAGAGAUACAAAAUAAGAAAUUAGAAAAAUUUGUAGCUAAAUAAAAUAAAUAUUUCAUACCAUUAUGUGUUGGCACACAUGUACUUUUUUGUGACCGGUACUCAUCGGCACGGCCCAGCACGCACUGUACCGUACCGUGCCAAUAAGUUUACGGCACGAUCCCGUGCCACGAUACUUAAAUCCUUACUUCUAUCCAUUUUCUAUUAUAGUAGGGACCUUAAUUGUAAAGUCAACCUUCUUCCUUUCUCAUUUUGUGCUGUAAGAAUUGGAGACUAAAGCAUGAUUGGCUAUGGUAGAGUGCAUGAUGAAUUGUAGAGUGCAUGGACUUUUUAUCAUGGGUGGAUGAUCAAUUCAGUUACUAGGAUAUCCACUCUACAAAUGUUAAGUUUUCUCAGAGAGAGAUAUUUGUGCCAUCUUGACUCAGGAAUUCAUCAUUUCUAAUAAUGGAGAAAUUGUUUCCGAACUUAUUUCAACAUUGCACUCAACAUUUUAAGUGUAAUGCUUGCAAGUUUGCAAAGCAUAUAUGCAUACAUUUUCAAUAAAUGAAAAUAAGAGUGUUGUUCCCAUUCACAUUGUGCAUUCUAUUGUAUGAGGUCCUUGUGGGAUACCUUCUACUGCUGACUAUAGAUGAUGUGUUUCUUAUAUGGUGUACCUGAUGCAUAACAAUAAUGAAGUAUUCUCUUGUUUCCAAUCAUUUGACAAAAUGCUCGAAAACCAGUUCAAUGUCAAGAUUAAAAUUCUAAGAUCUGAUAAUGGCACAGAGUAUAGUAAGCAUCUCUUUCAAAAUUAUCUAGAUGACCAUGGAAUCUAUAUGUGAAUCUUCCAGCACAAAAUAGUGCCAGAAAGGAAGAAUUAACAUCCUCGUCAGGUCGCAAAAUCCUUAUUGUUUGCCACUAACAUGUGCACAAAUUACCCGGACAUAGUCUUGUCAGGUACAUAUUUAAUCAAUCGAAUUCCUCUGCGAGCAAUUGAGUACAUGACUUGAAAAGUUAAUUGGUUCUUACGGUAAUACUAUACUCCCUAAACUGUUUGGUUGUACAUUUCUCGUGCAUGAUCAUAAAAGGACAAAUGACAAGCUUCACACCCAUGCUAUAAAUAGUAUGUUCAUUGGGUACAGCUUCUCAAAGAGGACAUAAAAGCUAUCACCCUAUGACGCAAAAGUUAGAUUACACGAUGGAUGUGUCCUUCAAAGACUAUUGAGCUUUACUAUCAUCAAUCAUCUCUUCAGGGGGAGCGUUAAUGUCAGGAUGAAGAGAUGAAUAUUAGUGCCAAGAAUAUCUUGAACUUGCACCGAUGAGGAUCUCUUAAUUCGAAGAAGAUGAGGGAGAGAACGAGAGAGCAAGUGCUGCUGGGCAGAAAGAAAAUAAUGGUGUAGAAUACAAGGGAGAGAAGGAGAUAAAUAAUAUUGAGAAGGAGAAACAAGUUGAUAUUGAAAAUGGUGCUGGAAAAAAAAAAGUCAGAGUUAAUGAGAGAUAAUGGAAUUUCAAACACAACAAGACAAUGAAAAGUUAUCAUGCACUCACACCAUGGAUUUAAGUAUCGUGGCACAGGGUUGUGCUGGAAACUUGUCAGCACUGUACGGCACGGUGCGUGUCAGGCCGUGCCGGUCACAAAAAUUACAUGUGUGCCGACACAUAAUGGCAUGAAAUAUUUAUUUUCUUUAGCAACGAAAUAUUCUAAUGGUUUAUUAUGUAUCUUUAUCAAAUCUUUUGAACUUUAUCGAGAAAAUUACUUACUAAUUUGAAGAAUAGAAGGUUUUGAGCUAUGCCAUCGGCACAAAGAUUGUAUCGUGCCAAUAUCUUAUUGGCAUGAUACAGCACGGUAAAUACAGCCCGUGCCAAUAGGCACUCAAAUCCUUACUGCAUAAAGUCAAAUGUCACAAGGUCUGCAGAGAGGCUCAGAAUUGUUGCUUGGUCUAUGUUUGCCGAUGAGUAUUUGAUCAAUGUACUAUACCCAUUGCUUGUUGGAUUCUUCUACAAGACAGACGAGGAGCUUUGUUUUUGCUUUGUCGGGUGACAAGAUAUGGAGUUGGCUAUCAAUUUAAGUUGCUUCUGUUUUGGCCAUCAUUUUAAUUCUUGUUUGGUGGCGGACAUGCGGUUGGGACAAUACUGCUUUUACACUAUCCAAUAGACUCCAAUAGUGUCCGGUUCACAUACUAUAUUCCGCUAAGUUUCCAUGAGCAUACCGUAAUUUUUGCUACCAACCAUUCCCCAUUUUUGGUCAUUUGCUUUAUUGCCGAAGGAGCCUACAAACAAGGACUUCCGGUCGGUAGUUCUUGCUAGGAUUGACUUUAAUUUUCAAUAAAAGCACAUAAUCUUCCAUAACUUGCCACUCGAAUAGCACCUUCAUUGGUCAAACCUUCUGCGUACCCCGAGGACACUUCAAUUCAGUGGUACCUUUUACGAUUGUUGCAGUAGGAAAUUUCUUGGCGUGGAAGCUACAAUAUUAUGUAUUCUCAUGAUCCGUAAUCUCUUGAUCGACAUUCUAGUGCGCCCCCCGAUUUUUUACCAUAGUUGGGACAGAGGCCAACAGCUUGUGUUUCCUGCAUUUGUUUCACAUUUGCGGAGCUAUCUCUUCAUGUGGUAGUUAUAAGAAUUGAUAAAAGAGUGGUACCUGUUUGGUCCAAGUCAUCAUAGGGUACAAACUUUGCCUGUCUUGUUUGAUCCAAUAGUGAUGCGUCAAAUCAUAGAUUUUGUAAGGUAUUGGCUCCCUAGAGUGUUGUACCAACUUUGAUCUAAUUGAUCAAUGCGUGGUAAAGAGAGCUAUUGGGCAUGUUUCAUAUCUGGUCCUGAGGGCUUUGGAGUUGUUAGAAGUGACCUCAGGUAGUGUUAGAGUGGUUUUAGCAUUAUUCGGCGCUAAAACGGACUCGAACAUUGAAAAACUACAGAACUGGUGUUGGGUACCGGUAUUGGAACCUAGUACCGGAACCCCCAUGCAAGUGCAGAAAUGUCUGCUCUCAGGUUUGGGUUUUGGGCCUGGAGUGCCAGUAUUAAACUUGGGAGUACCGGUACUAAAGGUCGGGCACCAGAACUUUAUAGGAAGCACAAAUAACCAACGUUCGGGUUGAGGUACUCGAUGGAUGGUACUGGUACUGGGGAGGCCAUGUACCAAUACUUGAGCCCGUGUACUGAUACUCAACAAAAAACUCAGAUAAUCUGCUCUCGGGUUGUGGCAUUAGCCCGGGGGUACCGGUACUCAAGCCCGAGUACCGGUACCCAGUGUUGCGUAAGGCAGAAUCUGAACUGUUGCAAAUAUAAAUUCUUGGAGGGCUUAAGUGCAAUUGUGGGAACUUAUAAAUAGUCCUAACACCCUCCUCUCUUCGCCACAGCUGAGAACACCCUUCUUUCUUCCCCUCUUGACAUCUCCUUCUCCUUCUCUCUCUAGAACCUCUCCAACAAAGUGGUUUAGAGGAGUUUUGAAGGAGUUGGAGCUUUUGUGGAGUGGAAGAGGCUCUCCUACAGCGUGGAGUUUGAGGUGUAGAAGUGGCCAAGGUAAGGUUUUAGUAAGUUUAACCUAGGGUUUGCUUUUGUUAACCUAGAAUCCAUGUUUUUGAGAUUCUUGUGGCUUAGAAACCUAGAAUAAUCCAUGGUUUCUCAUGGUGUUUGGUUUAUGGCCUUGGUAUGGGAACCCUAGGUUGAAAUUAGGGUUUUUGUAGAUAUGGGGUUUAUAAUGAAAUUGAUCCCUUAAUUCCUUAAUUGAAGGAUAAAUCGACACGUUAAGCAACUUGAAUCGAAGUUCCUACGAGACUACGACACUCCGUUGAAGAAAAACACCGAUUUGCUUUCGUUGGGUCGAGCCAACACAGUGUUAGUAAAUCGCGGGACUUGGCUUCUCGCCUAUUAGCAUCGGUAUAAGAUGGGUGGUGCUAUCCGAAACAGUUGGAUUUCUAUGUCUAUGGUACUAUUGUUGGCCAUAUAUGUACAUGUGUAGAAUUCAUGCAUUGUAGAGUAGUAUGUGUUGUGUAUUCAAUUCCUUGCAUGCUCUCAUGAUAAAGAUAGAAAACAUGAAAUAGAACAUAGAUGUUAGAUGCAUGAGAAUUGGGUCUUGAACAUUGGAAACUCUAUCGUGUCGUAAACCGAAUGUAAACUUAGACAACAUAGUGACAUGGAACGGUGGCAUUGGACUAGAGAUGUUGAUAGCACUCAUGACACUAGAUGUUAGGGAUGGAUAGAUCCCCGAGUAUCGUUGCCCUUAGUUGGUAGGAUAUCCUCUAGUUGGAGGAUUGGAUUGUACUCACAUAUCGUUUGUCGGCUUGGCAGUGGUCGCUCCAACCAAGCAGUUAGCUCUGGAGUGGUCACACACUGGGUUAGCGUAGCUACCCAGCAGACCGUCCCCAAUGAGCAUAGCGGGCAUCUCCCAUCCGUGGGAUUGGUUGUGAGUUUGGCUCAAUCUUCGGGUUAGCCGGCAUGAUUUGGUUACAAGGAUAUGAAUGACAUGCAUCAGGAGCAUAAUGGUUACCUUAUUCAUCAUAUCAUAUUAUUGAGGCAUAGUAGGAUGUUAGUACUCAUUACUUUUGCUGUCCUUUUCUACUUAUGCCUACUUAGACCUAGUGAGACGGCAGGGUCGGCAGCCGAAUCGCUGGGAACUUCUUUUAAUUCUCACCCCAUUGUUUUGCAGAUCCCUAUCCUAGCGGAGCGGCCGAGGAUCGUGGCAAAGGCAUAGCGCCCGAAGUAGUGGACUUCCCCAUGCAUUAGAGUGCCAUAUGAAUAUAUGUGAGAGACUUGUUGUAUUUUGGAGUGAACUUGUAGUGAGAUGAAAACUAUGUAUGUUAAAAGAAUGGUUGUAUUUUGGUGAGUUGCAAAUGGUUAAGCAAUGAAUGACUGUAAUAGCUAAGUUAAUCUUCUCUUUGCUCUUGUAUAUUGCCCUCGUGCAGAUCAUGUAUAUUAUUUGUUUUUCCCUAGGCAAAACUCGUUGUUGUUGAGCCUUGGGCGGAUAGGGAAAACUCUAUCCGUUCGGCGGUCUGUGUGCGUAUCCGAACCGAUCAAAUUGGCGGUUGCGGGGCGUGACAGAUUUGAUACUCCAUGACCAUGACAUACUUCAUUCCCCUACCUACCAUACCAAAACCUUAGAAUUUGGUGAGUGGCGCAGCAUGAUCCUAUUCAGGAUGUGAGAUAAUAUGAGAUUUUCGAUUUAUAUGUUCCACUUGGCAAUUAGGUUAAGAGAAGGAUUCGAUAUGAAACUAAAUGGACAACACUGCUUCCAUUCAAUCCAUGUGAGAUGGAUUCCCCAAAUUGGGAAGACUUGUAGAUUUACAUUUAUAGAUAUAUAAAUACUUUUAUUUUUUAUUUUUCUCUAUUGUGCACAUAGACAAUCUACUUCCAUCGCAGUAUUUUUAGUGUGACUCAUACUUAGCAAGAAGCAUUAGAUGGUGUAGUAAGCCGAGAUGUUACUAUGAUUAUUCAUUCAUUCAUUUUUUCUUGCAAGGAGUAAGGGUCCAGUCUUUGCUGUAAGGAGUAAGGUUCUCAUGUUUCAUUUGCUACAGAAUGAAAUAAUCUAUUAGUCCUUGCACAAAAUAAAUGGAGGAAUGAAAAGUUACUAACAUCUCAAGAUACUACACCAUUUAAUGCCUCCACACAAGUAAAGACCACACUGAAAAUACUCUGAUGAAAGUAGGUUGUUUAUGUUCACAAUAGAGGGGGAAAAAGUAGAAGCAUCUAUAUACUUACACAUCUAUAUUUACAAGCCCUCACAAUUUUGGCUUAAUCUCAUAUCAAUUGAAAUGAAUGAACGAAACCAUCGUCCUCGAUCUCAUAUUGAAUCCUCCUCUCGAGUCGUCUGGUUGUCAUAUGGAACAUAUAAACUGAAUCCCUAUAUAGUCUCGCAUGCUCAAGAGGAUCAUGUUGCUGUUAAAAAUUAGUACUAAACUUAUUUUUUGUUUCCUUUUGAUUUACUAGAAUUAAUAAGUGUAGAAGCCCAUUUGACCUUUUAGAUGGGUCUUUUCUUGUUCUUUUGAGUCAAGUCAUGUGGGUUAUUUUGGGUUAAACGAGUCAAGUUGGGCCACAUGGGCUUAAUUAGGGGGUCAAAAGAAUAAAAGAGUCAAGUAGAGCAUUAAGGAGAUUGUUUGAGAAAAGUAGCUUCUUCUCCUUCUUCAUUCCCUUGUAUAGUGUUUCUUUCAAAAGCAAUGAAAGUGUGAAAAAGGGUCCAAAAUUUGUGGGGGUUUCGCUAGGUUCAAGAGGGGUGACCUCUAAUUUGCCUUUUUCCUCUCUUGUGAACAUUCAUUGUAAGUUGGUUUUGGUUGAAAUUUUUAUUUGGUGAUUUUCUGUUUCUCUUUGUAUGAUGUUUUGAUACUCUUGGUGAAAUUAAUUGAUCUCAUCUUUAGAGUUGUUUGAGAUUGUUAUUGUGAGCUUUUUAUUUCUCCAUUCUUAUCUUUUAUGGCGGUUGUGCGAUCUUGGGCAUACAGGAAACUCGUAUUUUCGAUUUCAAUAUCGGAGAAAAGGGUGAGCUCAAAUUGGAGCCAUUUGUGCUUUUCUCUUCAAUCAUUGCACUGCCCAAGUCCUAAGAUUCUGGCGCAGUAGGUAGGAGUAUAAUGUAUAUCAUGGCCAUAGAGUCUCAAAUCUAUGAUCUAACUCAGCACCAUCGGAUCAAAACAAGACAGGCAAUGUAACAUACCGAAUCUCCGAGUUACGAUGCUAACUUUGAUUGAAUUGAUCAAAGUGAAGCAAAUGCGUGAUGUGCGACAUCCCCAAGUCAUUUUGGAGGCGUGGGGAUGGGUAGUUGCGAGUUUAGGAGUUUCAGUGUUUCCGGCGCAAAUUGGCCACGAAAACAGACUCCGAAGUAGUGUUACUAUUAGAGUGCAGAAGUAACACUUGGUACCGAUACCAGAGCAAUGCGGUACCGGUACCCAGCCAGUGUGUGUUGAUAAAGCUCUCAGGAUCCGGACUGUACGAGGCUGUGUACCGGUACUGGUCUUGUGUACCGGUAUUGCGAAGCGUGCAGGAAUUUGCGUAGCCUCAGGUUGAAUGGGUAGUACCGGUAUUGUUGUCAGGUACCGAUACUAGAAAUCUCUGGUACCAGUACUCCAACCCAAGUACCGGUACCCAGUCUGCGACGGACUAAAAUGUUAAGGUUGAGAGUGAGUUUUUGUAAGGAAGUGAAUUCUUGAAAUCCGAAAAUUAUACUUCGUCCAGGAUCGACUAAUGGUCGAGUGGGUAGGCUUCGGAGGAGCUAAAGAUGUCCAAAACACAAAAAGUGCUUUGGAAAUCGAAUCCACGAGAGCGAAUAGUGCAAGAUCUGCACUUGGCAGAUUCUGCUCUAGGGGACCGGUCCCUGGCGGGAGUGUAACGCACUGGACCUUUGCAAAUUGCGAGAUUCGAGUGUUUGAUGAGUGUUCUGAGUUUUUCCAGGUAUUCUGGAGGACUUAGAGCUUGGAUUGAAGCUUCUAAGAGGUAAGCAACUUGUUCUCUCCCCAAGAUUUCAAGAUUUGAUGGUUUCUUUGAGAUGAAACCCUAGAAUGAGGUUUUAGGGUUGAUUGGCUUUUUUAUUAGAAGCAUUUAGAGCUAAUCUAAUUGGAUUAGAACCUUGGUCUAGGUUGCUUUGGAAUGGAUUUAGCUUCCUUUUGAGCUUUGGAAAGGAAUUUCUCCACUAUAGGUGUGAUUUUAGCCCCUUUGUAUAGAUGGUUAAUGUUUGAUCUUGUAGUUGUUCGUAAGGUUCGUUUAACCUUUGUUUCUAUACCUCUAGGGUGCUAGGAGGCUAGUUGACACCCUCGUUGGGGUAAACGAAGAGUUGCGCAAGUUUCGGUGGGUUUGACCUAGCCUACAAUAUGAGAAAUUCUCAUAUUUGGUGAUUUAUGUUUCGUAAAGUAGAAAUUCAUGCAUUUUCAUGUUAAAUGUAUUUAUUGUGAAUUUUAGAAUGCUUAACAUUCCUAUGUCAUGUAUAAUGAAUUUUCGGACCUCCAUAUAGUAGAGAGAGAGUUGCAUGUGAAGCUUGCACUAGCAUUGGGCAUUCUUAUGUUGGACUCGGGACCAUGUUUCUUACAAUGAAAUUGAGCAUUGCUUCAUGCAUUUAAAUCUAAACCUAAUUGAGACAUAAGGAACUUUAGUAAGCCUUAAGAGGCUUGGGGACUUGUACUACUUGAGAAUGAUUGGGCUAAUAUCAUAAAGGGGCAUUGAGCUCGGGUUAAAUGAGAACCUAGUACUAAUGUCAUGAAUGGAACAUAGAAUAUGAAAUGUGUUUAACUUAUAACAAACUUAAGUGUCAUAAAGAGGCACUAAGCAUAGUGAGUGUUGGAACAUCACCUUGAGACAUUGAACUAGAUCUUUGAGAUGCUAGUGACUUCUACCAUGUUAGAGACAUGAUGAUUGGACUUUUGAGACGUUGACUACGCUUGCUUGCCAUUUGUGCUCAUUCGCACAUACUUGUGAAGGUCGCUCCCUACAAGCCGGCACUCCGGAGUUUGCCUACGGGACUUAUGCUCGCUCGUACGGUAUCGAGAAACCUACGGGGUCGGGAGAGAGACUCAUUCCUAGAGUGGGAAUGCUAGAGCUACCACCGACACUUAGGUAGAGUGGGAAUGCUAGAGCUACCACCGACACUUAGGUGGCACAAGCUGAACUACAUUUAUGUAGGUCUUAGAACAUGAUUAAACAAUGACAUUGAACCGAGAAAUGACAAUCACUACUAGAUAGGCUUAGUAGUUUGAUUACUUUGACAUGCUUAUAGCAUGGUGUUGGGACAUAUAGUAUACAUGAUAGUCUUAUUUGUUACAUCAUAGUAUACUUGGCUGCCAUGAUAGAGCAUAUUCAACAUAUACUGAUAUAUUGGAUCAUGAUACCUACUUGCUCGAUAUGUUGGGACAUAUUAGUCAUGCUUGGACAUACUUCAUUUUGAUAAAGUAAAUGUACAACACAUUGAAAUCAUGUUUAUUUACGAGAUAAUAGCUUAGCAUUUUAUUUAUGCUUUCAAAAAUGCAAUCUAUUCAUUAUUAUUGUUGCUUUUUGGACUUACCUUUUUCUUUUGGAGCCUAAUGGUGCAUUGUGCUGAGGUCAGUAAUUGCCCACUGGGAACUAUAAAUUAUAUUUCUCACGCCCUCUGUUUCAUGUCAUUAUUUCAGAGCCUUCCACGCCGGGAGAGGCUAGGGACCGCGGAAAGGGUAUCGCCUCGAGCUAGCUUGCUAUCGAGGGACGCGUUGAUAGGUGGUCUACCUCUCGUUGUUUUCUUUUUGGAGAGGUUGAGAGUUGUAUCCAUGUAUAGAGACCACCCUUUUGUGUACCCCUUUUGGAGACGGUUAUUGUAUAACUUAUGAUUCACCUUUAUUGUUUAGUAUAUUCCUUCUACCUUGUUAUAAAUGAUAGAUUUACUCUUGUUCUGAUAUCUCUAGUUGUAGAUUAUCUUUGGCUUUAUUUUUCGCUGUUGUUGUAGACGCCUUAUAUGUGUUGACAUAUGGCGGGUCUGGGCGCGCUCCCGGGAGGGUCUCUGCCAGUUCCGGGGCGUGACAGUUCCGACCUAUAGCUCGUAUCCCGAGAUUUAUAGUAUCUUAAGUAGCGCUAAGGCCACCAAAGAGGAAGACUUAGGCUGCUCUCGGGUUGCCUCUGCAGGUCUGUGUACCGAUACAGCCUUGAUGGUUGUACCGGUACAGAAAGUGUACCGGUACACCUUGAUGGUUGUACCGGUACAGAUGUGGUGAAUUGCCAACCCGAGGCUCGAGUUCGCUGUUUCGCAUGAUUUGUACCGGUACACUUUUUCGUGUACCAGUACACUUUGCCAGACUGCGAACAGGCUGUGUUUGAGGGGUGUUUUUGCAUUUGUGGCAUCUCUAUAUGAUCCCCACGGCCCCUAGGGCUUCUCCUGAGCUGAGAACCAGAGGAAAGCAAGGUAGGGAGCUCUUCUCUCACCUUCUUUGGAUUUCCUUCCCUUUUUCUUGGAUUCCCUUGGCUUAAUCCCUCUCUUUUGCUUCUUGAAGCAAAUCUCACCUUGUUAAAGGCUUGAGGAUUGGAAUUGGAGCUUAAUUGAGGGGAGAUCUUGGGAGCUUGUGAACUUUGGGCUUGGUUGGAAGCUUCUAUGAGGUUAGUAGCAAGUUUCUUUCCUCUAGAUUCGAGUUUUGGUGCUUUGUUUGAGAUGAAACCCUAGAAAUGAGAUUUAGGGUUAUUUUUGGGGAUUUUGGAUUUGCAACUUCUAGAACCUAAUUGAUGGGUUUAGAACCUUUGUUUAGGUUGGAUUUGAGGGCCUCUAACUCCUUUUUAGAAAUCGUGAGGAAUUUCUUCGCAUUUGGUCAGUUUUUCACCCUUAUGCAUGAGUAGCUUAAUGUUUGAACUUGGUGUUGUUCAUAAGGUCCAUUUAACUCUUGUUUUUAUACCUCUAGAGUACUAGGGGACUAGUGGACACCUUCGUCGGAGCAAACGAAGGGGUUGCGAGAGUUGUGAUGGGUUUGACUUCAUGAAACCGGGGCAAAAUGCCCCUUAUGAGUGUUAUACUUGUCGUAACGUUAAAAUUCAUGCAUAUUCAUGCUAAAUAGAAUUUCUAUGAAUUUUAAAAUACUUAAAAUGCAUGCCUUAUGUAUUAUGAAAAUUUCACUCUAUAUAGUAGAGCAUUCUGGGGUUUUUGCAUGCAUGUAAGAAGUAUUCAUGUUAGCAAUGGAAAAACUUGUCUUCUAUGUUCAAAAUGACUUAGAUUAUGUAUUCAUGAACACCAAAAUCAUGCUUGGACUCAUUGGACAAAUGUGCCAUAAAGGGGCACUUGAGCUAGUAAAUUAUGAAACUGCAACAUAGAGACGUAGUAAUAGGCCAUUGGACAUCGACUAUAUUCCGUGUUUUAGACAUGAUGACAUAGUGAUAGGCCAUCGACACAGUUGCUAUAUUCCAUGUUUUCGACAUGAUAACUUGAGACUUGAGACAGACAUAUAUGCUUACUUGCCUUUGUGCUCAUUCGCACAUGCUUGUGAGGGUCGCUCCCUACAAGCCAGCACUCCGGAGAUAGCCAUCGAUAUACAUACUCGCCGUGCGGGAUUGGGCGCCGAAGUGGAUUGCCGUAGGAAAGGCUCAUUCCUAGAGUGGGGAUGUUGACUACCACGGGGCCAUUAGGCACGGCACCGGCCAGACAGCCUACUGGGGGGUCUUCAGGCCAGACAACCUUCGGGUGGGUCUUACAAGAUUUAAACUUUACGUAGUUAACAUGCCAAGUGAACAUCGAUAGAAUAGUAAACAAUGACAUUGUGCUAUUUAGCUUGGGGACAUUAUGUUAGUUACACUCAUGCACUUCCAUGUUACAGUAGCUUCAUUACUAAUGCAAAUUCAUGCUAAGUAGAGACAUCAUGUGGUAGCAAGUUUACAUGUUUACUUACAUGUCGUUCAUAUCGCAUUUACUUGUUUACUUACCUAUUUUAGCUCUUUUGGGACUAGUGUUGCUUUUCACUAAAGUCAGUAAUUGCCCACUGGGAACUAUUAAUUAAUAGUUCUCAUGCCCCCUGUUUUAUGGAUUUAUUUCAGAGCCUUCAGCACCGGCGGAGGCACGGGAUCGCGGCAAGGGUGUCGCCUAGCUAGAUAGCAGGGAGCUACUUGCUCUUAGGUGGUUUACUCUUUCUUUUGUUGUAGUGAGAGAGAUUUUUGUAACAUGUAUAGAGACCACCUAUGUACUUUUUUUAGCACUUAUUCUGGGACAUCUCUUGUAUUACUUAUGACUUCUUUUUGGUGGUUUUGGACUUCUUUUACCUUAUCAUGAUGAAGAAAUCUAGAUGUACUUUGCUCUGAUAUCGCUAGAUCUCUUCGUAUUAUUAUUUUAUUUAUUGCUUUAUCCUAGACGCCUUAUAUGUUUUAGAGAUAUGGCGGAUCUGGACACGUGCUGGGCGGGCUCCCGCUGGGUCCCGGGGCGUGACAGGGAAGGACCGGUUCCGUAAGCAGGUCUAACAGAGAAGGGGUCUGUGCAGAGUUGCUCUCGGGGAUCGGUCCCUGGUGGGAGGGACCGGUCCCCGUAGCUGAGGUCGCGGCAGACAGCUGAUGCAACCGGUCCCAGACCAGAGGGACCGGUUCCCGUAAGCGUAUCUGGCUGAGGUGCUCUCGGGGACCGGUCCCUCAUCGGGAGGACCGGUCCCUCCGCGCGAAAAUUGCCCAGGCAGAGCUGUUUGAGAGAAGCAAAGUUGAGGGGCUUAGUUGCAUUUGUUACAAUAGAUGGAGGGUAUUAGAGAGAAAAGCUCUCUCUUUCUCUCAUCUACUCCCAAACACUCCCCUCACUCUCUCUCUCUCACUCUAAGCUCUAUCUCUCUCCUCUCUUGAAGCAAAGUAGAAGGAGAAGAAGGAGAGGAAGAAGAAGGAGGAAAGAAAGGUGGAGAAGAAGAAGGAGAUCAAGGAGAAGGCCUUGGACACCUUCACCUCCCUCUCCUCUCCCCUUUGGUGUAGCUCAAGAGGUAAGCUACUAAACCCUAGCAUGUAGAACUAAGGGUUUUGGGUUUUUGGCUUUGGAAAUGGGUCAAAUGGACCUCUAGCAUGCUUCUAAAUAGAUCAAUGCUAAAAUCUAGGGUUUGGAUGGAAUGGUUUGCUAUAGGUGCAAACCUAGGGCUCCAACUUGGGGUCUUUGGUAAAUUAUCAGAUUGAUCUCAUUUAGUGGCUUGUAAACCUAAUUGAUAGGUGUCUAAACGCGGGGGCGAAGUCGAAUUUUCGAUUCGUCGAGCGGGUGAAAAGCUUUCGGCGAAAUAUAGCCGAUUGAGCGCCGUUUUGGACCAAGGAGGCCGAGACCUCGUCGUAACGUUCGUUGGGAAGCGGUUCUAGAACCUUUAUACCCUCAAAAGGUGGGGGGUGUCAUUCCGAAGCAACCGAGCUCUUUUCUAUGUCUUAGAAAUACAUGAUUUUCAUCUUUUGCAUGUUGCAUUGUAGGAUUGCAUUGUAGUACCUUUUCCUUAUGCUUCUGAAUGUUAACCUAGUGUGCAUGGAAUACUUGGUGAAAUGGAUAGGUAAGGAUUGAGUCGGAACAUGGAUCCUAUAGUGCCAAAAAAAAGAGAUGAACUCGAUGGUUAUUCAGUGACAUAGAGAGUGGCAUUAAUGUAAUGUACUUGACACUAGAGGUUCAUGAACUUAGGGAUAGAUGGAUUCCCUAGUAAACGACUCGUGAACAAUGAACUUAGUAUAGCUAAGUAAUUAUACAUGAAUGUCGGAAUAGAUGAGUUCCGAGAGAAUGUUGGCCCUAGUUCAUAGGGUAUCCUCACGUGGAGAGGAUAGAUCAAGCUCACGGUCUGUUAUUCGGGAUGGUAAAGCCAUCCAUAUCCUCACAUGGAGCGGAAUUGUUGUCGAGUACUCCGGAGUGUCGGGCGAUUAGGACAGAAUUGAUGUCCGCAGGCAGUCCCGAGUUCGGGGGAACAUGGAGUCUCCUUACCCUAUGGGAUGGAUAUGUGAGGCGUAGGCAAACCCAAGGAUUUCGCCACAGAUUGGGUAAAUGAAAAGUUAAUAUUGUCAUCGAACAUUCCUUAUCGAACAUGGAUCGAACUUGUUAGCAUGAUAGUAAACUGUUACUAAAUGAUGCAUGCAUUCAUUUCACAUGAUUAUGGGCAUAGUAGUAUAGUUUUCCUAUUAUGUCUUUACAGCUUCGAUAUAUAUAUCUAUCUGUUUCGUUGUUACUUUUGCCCACUUGGACCUAGUGGGGAGAUCGGCGGAGUCGGCGGCCGAGCCCACUGGGAACUAUGGAAGAUAGUUCUCACCCCACUUUAUUUCCAGGGCUAGGUAUAGGUUUGCCGGGCGAGGACCGCGGCAAGGGCAUCGCGCCCGACCAGUGAGGAUUAUUGGUAGAGUAGUAGCUUUCCUUUUGCAUUAGUACACCUAUGUAUUUGAGAGAGAUUCAUGUAGGUGAGGACUUUGGAGAGCUAUGUACUUGAUGAGCAUGUACUAAUUUUGAGAAAGAAAAUGUAAUUGUAUAAAGAAUGUAAAUAUGGUGUAAUAGUUAGUAGUUCUUUCUUUAUUUCACUUGUGUAUCUUGUAGAUUACUUGCUCUUCGUUGUUGGCACUAUUUCUGCCUCGUUGAUCGUGUAUGUAUGAAUUUAAUUUUCCUGGGUAAAUUCUUAUACAUGAUCAGGUUGUGAGCCUUGGGCGGGCAGGGGAGUUGCUGCCCGUUCGGCGUCCGUUCGCCGCGCCCGAACCGUGCCAAAUUGGUAGGGGUUUCUGGUGGGGGGCGUGACAGUUUUUGGGGGGCUUAUUUACAAUUGUUGAAACCUAUAUAAAUACCCCAACUCUACACAUGUACAUUUCAUGCAUAAGAAGGACUUUGUUAACUCCUCUUCUUCUUCUUCUCUCUCUAGAACUCUCCUCCAUGGUGGAUUUGAGAGAGAAUUGAAGCUUGGAAUUGGGGAUUUUGGUGAAGUAGAAGCUUUGGGACGAGGAGGAUUUCUUAGAGCAAGAACCUAAGGUAGGUUUCUUGCCAUUUCUUUGUUAGGGUUUAGUUAUAUACCCUAAUUGAGUUGGUUUUGAGUUUCUUGGAUUUGUAGAGCCUAUUCUAUGCUAUGAAAUCCUAGAAAAGUGGAGUUUUGGGUAUCUUGUAUGAACCCUAGAGUUAAAUUGGGGUUUUGUAAAGUAUGAGAUCUAACAUAGGUUUGAUCUCUUGUAGCCCUAAUUGAAGUGUAAACUGACACGUUGGGAGGCUCGGAUCGAGAUUCCAACAAGUCUACGUCGAGUUAUCGAGGAAAAGCCUCGUUUCGGCUUCGUUUGUCGUGGGUGGAGAGUAGCAAACGUCCAUAAAUCGGGAGAAGUGGUUUCUCGCACUCCAACAUCACUACAAAGUGGGUGGUGCUAUCCGAAAUCUUCGAAUCCUUCAUUAUGUCUUCGUCACCUUUUGAGCAUCUAUGCAUGUGUAUAGUUGAUAUUCAUGCAUUAUAGGGUUGAUGUUAUUGUGUGGCUAAGAUGUGGGUUUUCAAUGUAGAAAACAUGUGAAAUCAUAAUGGACCAUGACAUAGAACCGUAUGGAUGUGUGAACAUGUAUUAGAUCAUGACAAUAGUAAACAAGGUGACACGAUGACUAGUGGGAACGAAUAGCAACAAGAACUGUGAAUACUAGGCAAGGAAAACUAUAUGUGAACUUGUGGCAAUUGUGGAAUAGUAUCCUCUAAGUGAGGAUUGGAUCAUACUCACAGGUAGUCUAAAUGCUUGAGGUAGAUCGCUCCACCUCGAGCGAUGAGCUCCAGAGUGGUCAUCAACUGGGCUGGUAGUAGAAUUCUCCCCAACAGACGGUCCCGUCAGGUCCAGCGGUAUUCUCCCUGACAAAAAGAAAUUUGGUUUGGUAAGUUGAGGUUUAACCAAAUGGUUAAACAAGUGAAUUGGGUAAAGGUAAAAGAGCAUGCAUGCAUCAUGAAUAUAUUAUCUCUAUUCCAGUUUGUGCAGGCAUUGUAGUAGCAUUAGUUUGGUUACCUAUCUGUUCUUUCUUUCUACAUAUGCCUCAGUAGACUUAAUGGGUGAGUCCGCGAGGUCGGCGGCCGAACCAACUGGGAACUUUCAUUAGUUCUCACCCUACUAACCUUGCAGAUCCUAGCGCGAGCGAGACAGUCGAGGAUCGCGGCAAGGGCAUCGCGCCCUAGGUAGCGGGCCACCGUCGAGUUUAGCUAUGUACCUAGUGUAUUUUCAUCUUUUGUAGUAUGAUGAAAAGAGCUAUGUAAAUGAAUUAUGUAUAAAGAAGGAUGUAUGUACUUGAAGAACAUAUGAUGUAAAUUUUGGAAAACAAUAUAAUUAAGUUGAGAGCUUUGUAUUUUGUUUAAAAGUAUUCAAGAUACAAUGUAUGCAUAGUUAGUACUUUCACUUAUGUUUGCUGCUUGCCCUCGUGCAAGCCAUGUAUAAUGAAAUUCAUCCUGGGCGAAUUUAUUAUACAUGUAGUUGUUGUGCAGCCUUGGACGGACAGAGGAGCCUUGGACGUGCCCGUACCGACCAAAUUGGCGGUCACAAGGCGGGACAGGCAAGUUUGUAAUUUGCGCUUCAAACCAAACAAUUGUCACUCUUAUUCAUGUUUGCAACUACUACAUAAAGAGAUAGGUGAGUAAUAUGAAACAAACACACAAAGCUCAAGCCGCUGACUUUUUUCCUAGCUAAGUGUAAUAUCUGGAAUAUUUAAAUAAGGGAAAUUCGAAUUUGAUUUGAAUUUGAAUUUGAAUUCAAAUUCUAUAUAUAUGUGAGAUAC
rnacentral:lncRNA from 1 species